UAAUAUGUGAAUGCUUUUGCCUUUUUGAGUCCUUGGGCGUCAGCUGGUUGCUUGUGUUUCCUCUGCGCUUUAGUUCAUAUACCAGAGUGCAUACUUCCUUGAGUUCCAUAUCCCACUGCCAAGUGUGUUGUCCAUGAUGUGUAAAGCAGUUAAUUUGUAUACCUGGCCUUCAGUUCCUCUCUAGAUAACUUUGAACUCUCUUUAUGAAUGAAAUGUUGUGAGAAAAACUGGAGUUGAUUUUCACAUUUGAGGUCGUUAAUGGUGAUUUUUCUUAAUGUAAUUGUGAUGGAAAAGAAAUUUGAUCAAGGAGUCGAAACCAUAAGCAGAGUCGAUCUCAUUCAACAUUGCAUUAUAAUUUGGUACCCCUCACAGAUCGCUCCAAAUAGCAUUGGAAAGUACUUUCAUUUUCCUUCAGUGGAGGCUUCUUUUUCUUUGCUGGUUAAUAUUCAUAGCUUCAGUGCUUGAUAAAAUUUCGUUACUUGACAUUGUUCACUCUUGUCCCUCCUGCUCUAAUCACAAACAAAUGCCCCAAUAAAUAAGAAUGAUUUGUUCAAGAAAUUUGAAAAUACUUGAACAAUAAAAGAAAAGAAUAGGAGAGAAAGGAAAAGAAAUUCAGAAAGCAAAUACUUGGUAGUUUCCAUUUCAAUUAACCGAUCUUUGAAACUAAAAUGUAAUUCUUGCAGUAGAAUAAAAGAAGACACGCAACAUCUUGAGAAGAUUCAUCUAAUGGAACAUACCAUGCUACAAUUGGCAACUGAGACUAAAUAGUAGUUUUUGGUAGAAUAGAUAUCGCAUGCCAAAAAGAAUGUCUUGUAGCUCUGACUACUUCAAAAUUCUUGUACGUAUAGCCCACAAAGCUUUCGAGAUCAUACUUGUUUAUUCAGGCCUGUUUGAACAUACGACCCUAGCGGAAGAUCUUACAACUUUAGGAGUUCAUAGUGUCCAUGAAAUCACAGGAAAAGAAAAGGAUAUAUAGUCAAGUUCAUGAAAAAUAAAGAGAUGGCUUAUUAAAGUUCACAAAUCUGGACAUCUAAAACACUUUAAUUGUGUUUGGUUGAGUCUCCAUUUAUUUGGCAAUUCCCAUCAAGUCUAAUGAUUGACCACCGAUGACUUGAAAAUCGAAGCAUUGGAUGUGCCGCAUGUAGUUGAUGUUGCAUUAUUGAGGGUGGUUAUAUUAUAAAUUAAAUAGACAUGAUAAGAGCAUGAGUUAUAGAUUACCCGAUCCUGACUUGUCUCAUUUAUAUUAAUCUAUUCUCAUUCCUAUCCUAACAAAAAAUUUUAAAUGAGGAUGGAUGGAUAUGAGAAUUUCUCAUCUUAUACCAUUUAUUUAUUUAUUUUAGUUUUUUAACAAUUAAAAAUAAAAAUAUUUUAUAAAUAAAUAAAAUUUAUAAAUUUUAUAACUUAUUUUAUUUAAAUAUAUAAUUAUUUCAUGUGUUCAAAAGAAGAAAAUGAAAAACAAUAAAUUAAAUUAAUUUUAAAUUUAAUUAUACGGCUUGGAAAGUAGUGGGUUAGUACAAGGCAUAUCUUGAACCCUGCCCCUAACCAACCCUAGUUUUAAAACAAAAAAAAAUGUUGAAUUUGUAUCUAAUCAAUUUAUUUUCAUUUAAACUUGUCUUCUUGAAGUAAGUAUUUGAAAAAACUAGUCUCAUUAUCAUCUUUAAUCAUAAUUUUUUUUAAUUUAAAUUUAGAUACCAACAAACAUUUAAAUUAAAUUAAAAAUUCUUAUGCAAACAAGGGCUUUUUAGUUGCAGAAAAAUUGUGUACCUUCUUUGACAUUCUAGAUCCAGUUAUUGCAUUUUUUGGAGGAUCCACAUGAGGAACAAUUUAAAUUUAUUCACAUAUACAAUUAUUCAAAAAGGCAUCAUACUGAACACAAGCAAAAUAACUACAAAUGUUAAUAGAAAUGGAUGGAAGCAUACAGGAAGAAUAUAAAAAAGGAUUUUGAAGCCAAAAAAAUAAAAAAAAAUCAAAAUAAAUAAAAGUAUAUGGUGGCUUAUUAUUGCUCAGGCCUAAUAAUUGAUUGUACAUGUCAAUGGGCCUAAUAUUAUUGCUCCGGCCUUUAUUCUAGAUGUCCAGGCCCUGUCAUUGCCUGAGUGUGAGGUCAUGGCUCGUUCUCUGUAUAGGUAGGUUCAUCCCUUGUCCAUUUGUAUACUUUUGAUCCAUGUGGUCAAGCCAACUUGGCUAUUGGGUACUUCAGGUGCGAUACCUUCUAUCUUACUUCUUACCCAAUUGAGUGAUUUAUCUUAGACGUCAUGGGGUCAUACACCUCUAAAACUUGAGUUGGUGUACUACUACCUUUCCCAGUGCUGAUCUCUCAGAUUCUUUCAUGGGCUUGAGUUCUAGCAUUAGCUUCCUGUUCUCCCCUACCCUGGUCCUAUAGUACUAUUUAUUUUUCAAACUUGGCCCUAGAUUUUUUUUAGUGUAAAAAGUACUAUUUUGUUGAAUUUAAAAAAACUAAUAGGGAACAUAACCUUUCAAUAAGCUUAAACCUCUAUCUCUCAAAACUUUCAAAAUCCUUCUUGAAAGUCUCUUUUGGCUAAAACAAAUAUUUGAGACUCGCAUUGUAUAUGCUUUAAUAAGGGCUUUGAGGGACUCGCUAAAGAUAUAGGUGACAAUUUUGAUAUGAUACUAACACGACUUGAAAAUGAUAUAAAUUUUAAUAGAUUCAGAUUAGGUAUAACAUAUUCAUGUUGUAAACAUAUCAACUCAUAUGACCCGUUUAAUAAAAAUGUACAAUUAUCCAACCCCAUAUAGCUUGUUUACUAAUUCAUGCCAAACAAACCAAUUUAUUUAAUCAUAUCAAAAUGAUGUUUAACUCAUAUAAAAUUAUUAAUAUUAUAUUUCAAAAUUAUAAAAAAAAAAAUACUUAUUAGUUAUAAAUAUGAUAUAGUUAAAAAAUGAAGUAACUAAGUAAAAUUUUAUACAUUUCAUUGUAAAUAUUAAAAUUAUUUUAUCAUUAGAACAUUAGAUAGAAUUAUAAACAAGCGUAAAAUUCAAAUUUUAAUGUAUUUUUAUGUUAUAAACAUUUUCUAAUUUAAAUUUUAUAAUUAAAUUAGUUAAAAUUUAAAAAAUUAAAAUGCAUUUCGAAUAAUACAUUUAUAAAUUUUAAAUAGGUUAAACAUGCUAAAAUUGUAUUAACAUGUUAAACGAGUUAAAAUGGGCUAACCAUGUUAGAAUUGUAUUAGUAUGUUACACAAGUUCAAAUUGUGAUAACAUAUUAAACGGAUUAGAAUCAUGUUAAUGGGUUCAACGGCUAUUAAUAUGUUUCUUAUGUUAGAAUUGUAAUAAUAAGUUAUCUAUGUCAAUUUAUACAAAGGUUAACUUAACCCGUCUAUUAAAUCAGUUUUGUUUGAAUUAGGUCAUUUUAACACAAUUCUUAAAUAAACUGUAUUCCUAUUGAGUAAAUUUUCACUAUUUUUUAUCUUAACAUUAUACAAAUCCAACACGUACGAUAUCACUUAUUGUCACCCCUAACUAAGGAGCAUAUGAGUGUUGCAUUGAGGAACCAGAAGAAGAGUGUAAAUACUAUUUAUAAAAAACUUUAGGAAGUGGAAGCAUUCUAUCAAGUAAAGUUGUGUUAACUUUUUUUCAUAGUUAGUGGAUUAUUCAAUGGUCAAGAGACCAACUAUGGUUUUUUACGCCUAAGGAUUUCUAGGUAGGUUCCACAUUAAAUUCUAUAUCUAAUUGUAUAAUUAGAAAUAUCGUGCAUGAGAUUGAUAACAUAUUAAUCAUAAUUGAAUCAUAAUAAAAUAAUUUAACUUUGGGGUUAAUUAAUUGAACUACGUAUGUAUGGAUAUUUUAUAUUUUUUAACUUUAAAUUAAUUAUUAUGUUGGGAAAUGGAAUAAGGGAAUAGUUGGCUCCAUUUUCAAUCUUGGUAACAUAAUUUGUUGUUGACAUGUUAUUUUAUCUUAUUUUAUAUAUUUUGUAGGAUAAAAAUAUAUAAUCAAGUGCUCUUGCAUGAUUGAUUUAGAUGUUAGAAAAGGUUACAAAACAUUAAUUCUAUUUGACUGAUGACAAAAACUUUUAAUUGCCAACAAUUUUUUUUUUUAUAAACUUUAAGUUGCUAGCAUUCAUAUGUUAUCCUAAAGUUAUUAAUUAUAAUUUUAUCUAAGUUGAACCACAAUUUUUGGGUAAAUGAAGAAGUAUUUAUUGACAAGAUACUUGUUUAUAUUGGAAGUUUUUAGUUUGAUUUGUUGUUGAAUUCAAAUUCUUAGUAGCUAGCUUUGAAUACUAUCUAGUUGCAUUGGUUUUUGUUGUAAGUUCGGUUUUUAUAUUGUUUCCAGACAUGAUGUUUAUUAAUUGAGAAUGCUAAUGAUUCGAGGUUGGAAUCGAUCACUCCUUACUAAACUUAUUCUUUUAGGCUAUGUUUAGUUGGCCGAAUAUAAUAUAUAAUAGAAUAAGAGAAAUGAUAUUAUAUCAUAUUCCAUCUUUAGUUGAUGAUGAGAUAUGAUAAAUUAUUUCAUUGCUUAUUAUAUACUAUGUUUAACUAAAUAUGAGAUAUGAUAAGUGAUGAGAUAUAUUACCCACCUUUUUUAUUUUUAUUUUUAUCUCUUAUACAUGAAAUAUGUUAAUCUCAUGCUAAGAUAUAAGAAAUGCAUAUUUCAUAUAUCAUAAAUUUAUUUUUUAUCAAUUUUUUUAUAUAUUUAUUUUGUAAAAUAAUUUUUUUAUUAUAAAAUUAAAUUUAUAGUUAAAAAAGAAAAACUAAAAAAAUAUUUAUAAAUAACAUUAAUAUAUGAUAUAUAGAUUACUUUUAUGUAUUAAAUAACAUAACAUAAACAUUUUUUAUUUGUAAAAUUUAAAUAUUUUAAUCAUGACUAAUUUUAAACAUAAAAGAAAUUUCAUUUUUUUAAAUGGAAAAUAUUAGAAUGUGAUAUAAUUUUUAUUUUAAACAUUGAAAAUAAUAUAUAUAUAUAUAUAUAUAUAUAUAUAUAUAUAUAUAUAUAUAUAUAUAUAUAUAUAUAUAUAUAUAUAUCAUAUUAUUUUUAUUCAUUUCAUAAAUUAAAUAUAAAUAUAAUAUAAUAUAUCUAAUUAGAUAUGUCACAUUAGAAUAUCAUAUUCAUAUGAUAUAUAUAUUUAAGAAUAUCAUAUCCUAUUAGAAAUUAUAUUUUUAGGAUAUCAUUCUUUUUACCACAAGAGAGCAACAAUUGCUUUUAAUCGGUAAAAUUUGUAUGUGUACUAAAGUUGCACUGCCUAAUGUAAAGUGUUGGCUCCGCCACUGUGUUGCACCUCAAGCCACCACCAAGUCUCCACAUGAUGCUCUUGUAAGCCUUGAUUAUCACAUUACCUUGGUCAAUAGGCACUUAUGGGUACAAGGUGCAACCCCAUGAGACCUUAGUGCCACAUUCUCCAAGUCAAGGUGUUAAUACUCUUCUAUGCUCACAAACUUAAUUUGGUCACCAUUUAUUAACUUAUAAGUCUCUAUAACCAUAAAUAAAAUUUUAAACAUACUAUUAGAACAAGACUCUAUAUUUUGGGUUUUGAUAUCCAAUAAGAUAUGAUAUUUUAAGAAAUACAUAUUUUAUUAAAUUCUAUCCCGUCAAUGAAAUAUAACCUUAAAUGUAUUCUCAUUUUUGUUUCGCAUCUUUAUCCGAAAUCCAGGAAUUUACUUUUUUUUGUUUUAAGGUAAUUCAUUUUUAAUUUUAUUUUAUGUGUAUUAAAAAAAUAAAAGAAAAAAUAAGGAGUGACAUCAAUCAUUAUAAAGCCUGAAUCAAUCCCAAACAUACAUAAGAAGACGAUUUAAGUCUUAAAAUAAAAUCCCAAACCUACUUCUGAUUAGACUACGCGUUUUGAUGACAUUUCACUUGAAAAUAAUGCAGAGUUUUCACUUAUAUUAUAUACUGUCUGAAUUUUAUUUUUGAUUCAUUUCGAUCUAUAAACAGAAACGGAAUUCCCAGUUUUGAAGUAUCAACUUCAUUCCAACUUAUAUUUCAAGUUAAAUAAUAGAUGUUCCAUUCAGAAUUCUUGCAUUGUAUGAUGUGUAAUUCUCUUGUUCAGUUGGCUCUGAUCAGUUUUUCCUUUUGUCCUUUUAUUGCAUUUAGAGUUGGGGCUUGUUCUAGCAGUUCUGGCAACAGCCGGGUUGAUCUUCUUCAUAUAGAUUGGGGUGCUUCUGUUUUUGCUGAUUGGAGAUGUGCUGCUCUUUCUCCUUGUACUUGGUAUUCGGGUGAGAGGUGGAUUAUGUUUGCUUGCUUGCUGGUCUGAGUUUCUGAUAUGUUUUGUCACGGUGGCAUGAGUGCUGAUUCUCAGAGCAUUGAUAUUUUCAUGGUGCUGAGACUGCUGGGAAGGUUGCAGCAUCCUUUUCGUUUCUGGCUGGAAUUGGAUUCUCUGUGUUGGCUUUGCUCUCUGGUUUCUUCACCUAAUUCAACAGAGCCACAUGCUUUGGUCCAUAUACCAGACUGCUGCAUACUUCCUUGGGUUUGAUAUCCCACUGCCAAGGGUGUUGUCCAUAAUGUUAUGUUAUGUUAUGUAAACAAGUUUCAACUUUCACCCAUUGUGGAUUGAAAUGUUUAAUUUGGGAGAAAAACUGGUUGAUUUUAACAUUUGAGGUUGUUAAUGGUGAUUUUUCUUAUAAUGACUGACUGAAAAGAAUGUUGAUGAACAAGGUGGAAGUAUAAGCAGGGUUCUGAGGACUCAAAUAAAAGGGAAAACUUGGGUUCACUUCUGCAAUGGUUUUGGCACUUGGCACUAACUGAUGAAUGGAAAAGAGGUUCAGGGAUGAUGAAGUGAUCUUAUUCAACGUUGCAUUCUAAUUCCUCUCAUUUUCAUAUCUAUUUUCUACCAUGCUAUAUUCAAUAUCCAUUCUGUGAGUUGAAUGACCCAUGUUUUUAUUUUUCUAAGAAAUUCUCUAUCAUUUCAUCAUAACAUCCAGAGGAAACAUAGACAAGAAUUUCUCAUUUUUCAUUCGGGAGCAUUUAGAUCUUCCAACACCAACCUCACUGAACAUGACCGCAAAAUUCCUUCGAUUUUGGACUUAAAAUUAUGUUAGUACCCAUUGGACAAUCCAUUAGGUCACAGUUUGACCUAACUUGAUUCUUUCUUACCCAUGUCUUUUCCUUUGAAUUUUGGGGUGCCCUAUAAUUCAAGUCAAUGAAUUUGGACAAAUCAAAUCAAUUUUUUUCCCAAUUGAUGCCAAGGAAUAUCCAUAUGAUUCAAACAAUAUUUACAUUGUUUGUUUGAAUUUUGCCUAAAGUAUUCAUGAUUGUGUCCAAACAAAAUGCUUAUUAAUGACAUUAGUAAUGACACAAGUGCGUGUGUAGACCCCCAUAUGGGGCUUGGUUUUCAUGCAGCCUGUUUUGCCAAGUGUCACAAUUCCAUAAGGCCAUGUGUUGAUUUCUAGUUGGCUGCUGGGAAUCAGAGUAGUGGAAUUGGAGGACCAAUGAGAGGUCGACACGUGGCAAGAAGAUUCCAAGGAAUCUGCAGAAGCCGUUAUGGAGGAGCGUUUCUGGCAGCUGGAGAGGAGGGUGCUUUUCAGAGUUGGUUAGGAUAUACAAUCAGAGAGGCUGCAAAAAGAAAGGGAGGAAAAAUCAGACAGGAGAGUUGCAGAGAGGGAGUUUUGGAGAGCUUAGAGAGAGACAUUUCUUGGGGAGCAAGCUGGAUAUUCAGAGACUGGAGAGAAAAACGAAAGGAAAAAUCAGAAGAGAGAGGUACCUGGGCUGCUGAAGGGAUUGCCAAGGGAGUCCAGAGGGAGUUUCCAUUAGAGAGGGAGUUGAGAGCUGUUAUCGAGAUAACAGAGGAGGGUUUUUGACCAAGGGUAGAGGAAGCUGCCAGCUGCAAGAGAGAGUGAUUGCUGUUAGAGAGAGAAAGGUUCAUCUUUCUGAGGCUGGUUCCAGGAAGGAUUUGGGCAGGGAGGAGCGGAUUCCGUUAGGGGGAGCAAGCUGUGUAGAGGAGAGCUGGAGAGAGAAAAACAGAGCAUGUUUCGGGAGAGAGAGGACAGAGCAUUUUUUUAGAGUGAAACCAGAGAGAGAAACCAGAGGAGUGGGGAGGUGUUUGUGGAGAGGUAUGGGAGGAUUUGCAGGGGGCAGGCUGGUGACAGAGGGGAGAGCUUGAAGGUGAAGUUUCGUUGAAGGGGAGGCAAACUAGCAGGAGAGGAGGUUUUUCUGGAGUUUUGAGAGGAAGACAGGCGCAGAAAGGCGCAGAGGAGUCAUUUUGGAAGAAGACGUUUUAGCGCGUUACGGCUCGUGGCCCAGGUACGCACUCUCUAUACCUAUUCUGUUUUUUAUAAGUGCAAGAUUGAUUUGAGUAUCCAUUGUUUUUCCCAUUGAUUGUCAUGUCAGCUUCAUUUUAUUAGUAGAGACCCGACUUUAGGGAUUUAGAGGGGUGCUACGGUCUUUACCGUACCUUCCCGAUAAGUAACCUGACCCCCGAACCCGAUCCGGUUUUUCACAGACCGCCUUUUCCAAAAUAAGGAGUCACACUUAGGGUUUUUCUUUCUUAUUUUGUUUACCUUUUAAAAAUAAAACAAAAAUAAGUGGCGACUCCAAAUCAUUUUCAAAUAAUCAAUAAAAAUCAAUUUUUCAAAUAAAAAUCAAGCUCGACAUCGAGUGGGAAACGCAUCGAGCAAUCGAAAUGCGGGGUCCACAGCGUGGUUUUGACAUUUUCAAUAUUUGCAUUCCCAUUACUAAUUUUUGUUUCCCCAUUUUUUUUUUUUUCAUUUUUUGUUUGUUUUGGACUGGUGCUUCCUUCCUCAUUCAUUCUACUUUCGUUUUUUGAAAAACAUUUGUCUCUUUUGCACACAUCCUAAAAAGCCCAAAAGCAUUUUUUUUAACUUAAGCUUUUUUUUCAAUUUAUCUUAAAAUGAAAAUAAAAAAUACAAUUUUCUUAUUGAAGUGUUAUUUUGAUUUAUAGAUAAAGUUAUUUCAUAUUUUAUAAAUCUUUUACUCUAUUUAUUUUGUUCUUUGCAAAUUAUAAUUUGGCUCACUUCAACUUUGAAACAAAAUCAGAAUAAAAAAAAUUAUAGCAAAUUAUGUUUUAAUCUGCUUUCCAAGUGGAAAAUACAAAUAAUGCAACCCGUAUCUGCAUAAAAUUAGUGCAUGUAACAUUACUUUUCAAUGGACUUGAAAAAAUAUUUUAAAACCAACAACUCCAAAAGUCAAUGGUCUCAAUAAUCUAGUGUAAUAGGUUUCCAAAAGAUGAAGGGUGUGAAGAUCCCUAAAAUGUUUUUGAGUGUAAGUGUUUCCAAAAGAUAUAAGCAAGUACGAAUUUCUUUAAAAUGUUUUUCAAUUGUUUUUUUACAUGGUUAUUUAAGUUGCUUAAUAAUAAAUCGUUUUCUAAUUUCUGUAUGAAUUAAAUAUUAUUAUUUUUCUAAAAUAAGAAGUAUGUUUAAUAAUUAAUUUAUCUAAGUAAUAAUAAUGACCAACAACCUUUUAGACCUAGUCUUUCAAUCGACUGAUUUAUUUUCUAGGUAUAAAUUAUCGGGAAGUAAAAUACAUGUAUUGAUGGAUUAAUUAAAGGGAGAGUUAAACCUUCUAAGACACUACCCAUCUCACUUGAGAAUGGAAAAUUGAAUGGCUACAAAUACAUCCUUAUUUCCCUCUUUCCACAAAAAUGGUCUUCCAUAUCCUCUUAUCAAUUUCACUUCAAUUAUCCUUAAAAAAAUCACUUCACAACUUCAAAGAUUUGUUAGUAAAAUUAUAAAAGUACUAACAUGUCACUUGAGUAAAAAAGACAUGAUUAAUAUCCAAAAAAUGAAACAUAUACCAUAUUUAUCAUCUAAAUUAUGUACUUCUUAAAUAGUAAUUACAUGUUACAUAAGAUAGAAUCAUGUUAACAUAUUAAACGGAUUAGAAUCAUGCUAUCUGGUUUAACGAAUGUUAAUAGGUAUAAUAGGUUAGAAUCGAAUUAACGGGGGUUACCUAUGUUAAUUCAUAUAAAGGUCAACUUAACCUAUUUAUUAAAUUAGUUAUGUUUAUAUCAAGUUAUUUUAACAUGAUGUUUAAACAAAUCAUAUUCCAUUUGAGUAAAUUUUCACUAGUUUUUAUCUUGACGCAAUACAAAUCCAACAUAAUAUGACCCAUUAUCACCCUAAUUAAGGAGCAUACGAGUGUUGCAUUAAGGAAGUGGAAGAAGAGCAUAGAUACUAAUGAUAUCAAAUUUUAGGGAGUGGAAGCAUUUAAUCAAGUAAAGUUGUGUAACUUUUUUUUCAUAAGUAGUGAAUUAUUCAAUUGUCAAGAGACCAACCAUAGUUUUUUUUACACCUAGGGAUUUCUAGGUGGUUUCCACAUUAAAUUCUAUGUCGAAUUGUGUAAUUGGAAAUCUCAUGCAUGAGAUUGAUAAGAUAUUGAUGAUAAUUGAGUUGGAAUAAAAUAAUUUAACUUUGAGGGGUUAAUUGCUUGGACUACCUAUUUACCCCUCCCGUAAGAAGUUCCAUAUCAACAAAAAAGUUCUUUCAAUAUGUAUAUAGAUAUUUUAUAUUUUCUAAUUUUAAAUUUAUUUUUAUAUUGGGAAAUUGAAUAAUUGAAUGGGGAAAUAGUUGGUUCAAUUUUCAAGCUUGGAAACAAAAUUUGUUGUUAACAUGUUAUUUUACCUUAUUUUAUACAUUUUUUUUUGAAUACAAAUAUAUAAUCAAGUGCUCUUGUAUGAUUGAUUUAGAUGUUAGCAAAGGUUACAAUCAUUAAUUCUAUUAAUUGACCAACAAUUUUUUAUAAACUUUAAGUUGCUAGCAUUCAUAUAUCAUCCUAAAAUUAUUAAUUAUAAUUUUAUUUAAGUUGAACCACAAAUCUUGGGUAAAUGAAGAAGAAUUUGUUAACAAGAUACUUGUUUAUAUCGGAAGUUUUUAGUUUGAUUUGUUGUUGUUGAAUUCAAAUUCCUAGAAGCUAGCUUUGAGGACUAGCUAGUUGCCUUGGUUUUUGUUAUAUGUUUGAUUUUUAUAUUGUUUUCAGACAUGAUGUGUAAAAUGGAUUAAUGGUAAUGAUGUUGAAACAUGGCUAAUACUAUUAGACCAAUGUUGAAGAGAGUGCCUUUGCUGAGCUGCAUCUGGAGCAAGCUCCAUGACAAGCUCCAUUUACUCCGAAGUAUUGCUUCACAACCUCUCUUUGUGUAUUAUAAAGUUGUGAGUAGAAUUAUUAAAGUUGUUUAAACAAGUGGCAAUCUUGAUAUGCCAGAAUGACACCAUUAGAAAAUUAUAUAAAUUUUAGUAGGUUCAGGUAAGUUGUAAUUAUAUCAGAGUAAUAAUCUUGUCAACUUGCAUAACUCAUUUAAAUGAUUUAAAUAUAUUUAUGAGUGGCAUUUGCAUUGCCUAAUUAUAGUUCUUAUUAGAGAAUGAGUUACUAUCAAUUUUAUGGAAUGAAACUAUAAUUAGUCGGUAUUACUUCAAAGUGAAAUCUUACUCAUAAAAUUUUUCAAUUAAAUUCAAAAGUUAAAAUUAUAAAGUAGAGAAUUAAAAGAACCAUUGAGCAUAGUUUAAAAUUUGAAUAUUAUACGUUUAUUAUUGUAAUGCAAGCCCAAUAUUUAUUAUUUAUUAUUAAAAAUAUAAUUUUAUAUCUAAUUUUUAUAUUUAAGAUAAUUUAGCACAUUUGAACAAUGCUUUGAGAAUAAGAUUGAAGCAUCUAAUUUGACUAAUUGGAUACAAAUCAAACUAAUCCAGUCUUAUUUUUCGUAUUUAUCCACCUUCAAUUAUAAGAUAAACAUAAACAAAAGUCUUUAUAUGAUUAUAACAAUAUAAACACUAAAAUAAUGAGUUUAACAUUAAAUAACAAAAAAUUUAUUUCAAUCUUUGACAUAUUGUUAUAUAAGUUAUAUAUAUGUUAGUAAAAUAAGAAAUAUUAAUAUAUUUAAAAUAUUAAUUAAUAAAAUCACAAUUUUUUGUUAUUGUUAAUAUUUAAUUAAUAAAUUCUAAUUAAAUCUAAAAUAAAAACUUUACACAAAUUAGUAUAAAACCAAAUAUGAUCGCCAUAUUUGUAUUUUAAAUGAGAAACAAAUGUUAAAAGAUAUAAAAAAGAAAAAAAACUCAUUGUCUAGUAUUUUAAUUAUUUAUAUAAUUUUAACUUCUUGUAUUAUUUUAAAUUUUAAUAAUAUAUGAAUUAUAUAUGCAUAUUGCCAUGCUGAUAUCAUGUUUCAAUUACUUGAAUCACCAGUUCAAUUAAGAAACUCUAAUGCAAUAAUUUUUCAAUUCAAUAACUAAUUAAUAAGAUUUUCAAAAUAUUGUAUUUAAAAACUCGUCACAAAAAAUGAAUAUAAAAGAUCAUGAAAUUCUUGCAAAGAAAACUAACCUCAUGAAAAUAUAGAAACCCCAAACCUUAAUUUUUUCAAUAAUACUAAUCAAAGUUCUUCUUGUGUUUAGGCAUAUUAGGAGAGAACCAAUAAUCUCAUCCGCAAAUCAAGCAUAGUCAAUAGUCAAUUCUUAUGUUUAGGAGUAAUAUAUAUAUAUAUAGAAAGUCAUUUAUAUAUUUAAAUGUUGUAAUGUAUAUCUUGAAACUCAAUAAGAAAGGGCUUCUUUUCUUUCCUAGUUCUUAUAGUUUAUAGAUUACCUCGGCAAAAAGGAAAAUGAGAGCUAGAGCUUGAAUCAAACAGUCCAAUCGCAAUCAUUCCUAUUAUUGUCUGACGCACUCCUGCUUUGAACCUUAACGUAUUGAUAAAAAAUCCCUUUCUCAUUUUAGACUAGGGCUUCUCUCUAUAAAUAAGGGAAUUUCUCCGCUUCAGAUGAUGUCUCAUUGGGCCCUUCGAAUGCAUUGUUUUCAUGGUCGGUAGGAGAGAGCCUUCUAUACUUUUGGUCAUUCAUUCAUUCAUCCAUUCAUCUUAUACUCUUGUUAAGAAAAGUGACUUCAUGAAAAUAUAUAUGGAAACCUCAAACCUUAACUUCUUCAAUAAUGCCUAUUAAAAUUUUUGCAAUUGAAGGUUGUGUAAUCGAGGAUGAUAAUGAUGCAAGGUUUAGAACUAGUCACUUCUAACCAAACUUAUUCUUAUACGUAUUCCCCUCUUCAUCUCAAGUCUGGGAGUUUACUUUUCUAUUUUAAGAAAAUUAAUCAUUAUUUUUAUUUUACAUGUAUUGAAAAAGGCAAAAAAAAAAAAAUUAAGAUUGAGCGAUAUGAAUCUCCGUAAAACCAGAAUCAAUCACAACAUAUAUGUGAGAAGAAAAUUUAAAAGUGUGUUUGACAAUAUUUCAUUUUGAAGUGUUUUUAAUUUUAAUGAAAAUAUUUUUUUUAAAAGUGAUUUUGAGAGAAUCAUCUAUUAAAUGUUUUUUUAAAAAGCACCAUAAAUAAUUUUUUAUUUGUUUAAAACUAUUUAAUAAAUUUGAUUAAAUACUUGAUUUUUCUUCAAAAAUAUUUUUUAAAGCUAGAAGUUCUUUUUGAAAAACAACAUCAAAUGGACGUAAGUCUUAAAAUAAAAUCCCAAAUCUACCAUUGAUUUAAUUAUACUUUUCAAAUCCAUCCUAUGGGCCUAGGCAACCUUGAAAUACCCAUCCCUAUUAUAAUACAAAAGCAAACCACCACUAAGGAUAUUUAAACAACAUUUUAAAGACAAUCGAAACCUAUCAAUGAGUCUUUGUCUUAUAAUACAAAUUUCGUUAUGUUCACAUGUAGAAAGGGACAAGUAAUACAUAAAAACUAAAAAUCAUAUACAAUAGAAAGCUUGGAAUCAAGAGGGAAGAGAGUAGAAAGUUACGAAGUGGUGGAGCCUUGGGUAAAAUAAAAUUAACAAUGGCAUUAUCAUGUGCGUGUCUCAUCGCUUGAUGGGUUAUAACUAGAGCCCACUUGAUGCUUAGAAAAAUAUAUUUGCAGGUGGUCUCCAUCUGUCAAUUGAUUAAUCUAUACAAUAUUAAAAAUCCACUUGAUGUUAAUUUAGGAAAAUUAUUUUAUUUUGUUGGUGAUGGCCUGUCUCCCAUCUUCUUCAAGUUUCAACUCUGGACUUCUCAAAUUUGCAAAGUGCAGUGCAGUGAUUCAUCUUUCUUAUUUGUUCCAUCUUUGGCCGAAUUCUAGUCAUUUUUUCUGUUACUUCCGGAAAGCAAUCUUGGGUCUUGUCCCAUCAAAAAUCAAAGCAACCAGCUACUAGGCAUUUGAAUUCAAGAACAACAAAUCAAACUAAAAAACUUUAUGUACAAAUAAGUAUCUUAUUAACAAAUACUUCUUCGUUUAUCGACGAUUUGUGGUUCAACUUAAAUAAAAUUAUUAUUAAUAAUUUUAAGAUAAUAUAUGAAUGCUAGAAUUGUUGGUCAAUUAAUAUAAUUAAUGUGUGAUGAGGUAUAGCACUAUAAAAAUAACUAAAAGAAUAAUCAAAUUUACCCCAUUUCAAUUGGGAAGAGCAAAAUAAACUUUAUUUCACAUUAGAAGACAUUUUGCAAAAAAGUUCAAUAUUUACUAAUAACAAAAUAUAAAAGUCAAUAUAGUUGAGAAACAAGGAAAUUUAAGGAUUUUAGUGUUAAAUCCUUUAUAUGAUGAUAAGAUAUUCUUAGAAAAAGCAAAAUGUAAUAGCAUCUCCUUUAUUUAUUUAUUUUCUUUCAAAAAAAUGUUAUAAAUUGUACAAGUUAUAUGAAUAAUUCAAAUUUUGGCAAUAAAAAUACAAUUCAAUGCCACCGUGACCAAUCAGAAUUGUUUAAAAAAUAAUGUAAAGCAUAAUGUAGUGGUGAUGAAUGCAAGCAUAAAACCAUUGUGGAGCCAAGAUUCAAGGGGCAUCAAUGGAGGAAAAAUAUUAAAGAAAUGGAGGAGGGUGUAUGCAUAGAAUUAUCAUGGACACAGUGCGGGGGGCCCAUCUCUUUCCUAAAAGGAAGACAGAAUAAUUAAGCGACCCAGCUUCUCUUAUGAUGGGAUAUUGCAUCAGGUUAACUUCACCCCAGUCUCAGUCUCUUUGAAUUACCAAACCCUAGUCUCUUCUCUCUUUACUGCUAAUCCUCAUCUCUUUUCCUCUUUCUGUGCUCUCCGGAAACUUUUGUAGAUGGUGGCAUAGCUGCCUAUACUGAAGUUUUAACUCCGGAGUUUUUGAUUGAUAAGGGCAGUGAUUCAUCUGCUCCCUGUAUUGCAAACUAUCCCCUCUUUCUUCUAUCUUUGGCUCAACUUCAGUCCUUUUUUCCUUUGAUUUCCCGAAAGCUAUGGAGUUCCUGAGCUCAAUCGUGGGUCUGAUCCCCUGCUUCUAUGAUCACACCUCCAAGCAUACGGUCUACAUUCGUGAUCUAAACAAAAAUCUCCAAGCCUUGAGGAAGGAAAUGGCGAAGCUCAACAACUUGUAUGAAGAUGUGAAGGCAAAGGUUGAACGUGCAGAGGAACGACAGAUGAUGCGCACAAAGGAAGUGGGUGGCUGGAUCUGUGAAGUAGAAGUCACAGUGACAGAAGUUAAAGAAACUCUGCAAAAGGGCGAUCAAGAAAUCCGGAAGAGAUGUCUCGGAUGCUGUCCCAGGAAUUGUUGGUCUAGCUACAAGAUUGGAAAGGCAGUAAGCGAAAAGCUGGUUGCUGUAUCUGGUCAAAUCGGCAACGGACAUUUCGAUGUUGUAGCCGAGAUGUUGCCUCGUCCUCCAGUUGAUGAUCUGCCCAUGGAGGCGACUGUGGGCCCACAAUUGGCGUAUGAAAAGAGCUGUAGGUUUCUCAAAGAUCCACAAGUGGGAAUUAUGGGAUUGUAUGGAAAGGGGGGUGUUGGCAAAACCACCCUCUUGAAGAAAAUCAACAAUGAAUUCCUUGCAACAUCCAAUGACUUUGAGGUUGUGAUUUGGGCUGUGGUGUCAAAAUCGCCCGACAUUGAAAAAAUUCAGCAAGUUAUUUGGAAUAAAUUGGAAAUCCCACGUGAUAAAUGGGAAACUAGAAGCAGUAGGGAGGAGAAGGCUGCAGAAAUUUUGAGAGUUUUGAAAAGAAAAAGGUUCAUCUUGUUGUUGGAUGACAUUUGGGAGGGACUUGAUCUCCUAGAAAUGGGGGUCCCGCGUCCAGAUACUGAAAAUCAGUCCAAGAUAGUUUUGACGACCCGAUCACAGGAUGUCUGCCACCAAAUGAAAGCUCAGAAGAGUAUAGAAGUGGAAUGUUUGGAGUCAGAAGAUGCCUGGACUUUGUUCCGGAAGGAGGUAGGAGAAGAAAUAUUAAAUUCUCAUCCGGAUAUACCGAUGCUUGCAAAGGUUGUUGCUGAAGAGUGCAGAGGUUUACCUCUCGCUCUUGUCACUCUUGGGCGGGCCAUGGCAGCUGAGAAAGAUCCCUCAAACUGGGACAAGGCAAUACAAAAUCUACGCAAAUCUCCAGCUGAAAUCACAGGUAUGGAAGAUAAAUUGUUUCAUCGAUUGAAACUCAGUUAUGAUAGGUUGCCUGACAAUGCCAGCAAAUCUUGUUUUAUAUAUCAUUCCAUGUUCCGAGAGGACUUGGAGGUUUAUAAUUAUCAACUUGUAGACCUUUGGAUAGGGGAGGGGUUCUUAGGUGAAGUUCAUGACAUACAUGAAGCACGUGAUCAAGGGAGGAAAAUUAUUAAAACUUUAAAGCAUGCAUGUUUACUGGAGGGUUGUGGUUCAAGAGAAAGAAGGGUUAAGAUACAUGAUGUGAUCCGCGACAUGGCCUUAUGGUUAUACGGUGAACAUGGGGUGAAAAAGAACAAAAUUCUAGUAUACAAUAAAGUUGCUAGGCUUGAUGAAGUUCAAGAAACUUCCAAGUUGAAAGAAACAGAGAGGAUAUCAUUGUGGGAUAUGAACUUUGAGAAAUUCUCUGAAACAUUGGUGUGUCCCAAUAUCCAGACUUUAUUUGUGCAAAAAUGUUGUAAUUUGAAGAAAUUUCCAAGUAGAUUCUUUCAAUUCAUGCUUCUACUAAGAGUUCUGGAUUUAUCAGACAAUUAUAAUUUAAGCGAGUUGCCUUCUGAGAUUGGUAAAUUGGGUGCCUUGAGAUAUCUUAAUUUGUCAUUCACAAGAAUAAGGGAGUUACCCAUUGAACUAAAGAAUUUGAAAAAUCUGAUGAUUUUGCUUAUGGAUGGUAUGAAAUCCCUUGAAAUUAUUCCACAAGAUGUGAUAUCAAGCCUUAUAUCCUUGAAGUUGUUCUCCAUGGACGAAUCCAAUAUCACAAGUGGAGUUGAAGAAACCUUACUGGAGGAGUUGGAGUCCUUGAAUGAUAUCAGUGAGAUAUCAACCACCAUAUCCAAUGCUCUUUCAUUCAACAAACAAAAGAGUAGUCACAAAUUACAAAGGUGCAUAAGUCAUCUACAUUUACAUAAAUGGGGGGAUGUGAUCUCACUUGAACUAUCAUCUUCAUUUUUUAAAAGAGUGGAGCAUUUGCAGGGGCUUGGAAUAAGCCAUUGCAAUAAGUUGGAAGAUGUAAAAAUUGAUGUGGAAAGAGAAGGCACAAACAAUGAUAUGAUUCUUCCAAACAAAAUUGUAGCAAGGGAAAAAUACUUCCACACCCUUGUUAGGGCAGGUAUAAGAUGUUGUUCAAAAUUGUUAGACUUAACAUGGCUUGUUUAUGCUCCAUAUCUUGAAGGACUUAUCGUUGAAGAUUGUGAAUCAAUAGAAGAAGUGAUACAUGAUGAUAGUGAAGUCUGUGAAAUUAAGGAAAAAUUGGACAUAUUCUCAAGGCUCAAAUACCUCAAGCUUAAUGGGCUGCCAAGAUUGAAGAGCAUCUACCAACAUCCACUACUCUUUCCCUCUCUUGAAAUCAUCAAGGUGUGUGAAUGCAAAGGUUUGAGGAGCCUCCCAUUUGAUUCCAACACUUCAAGUAAAAGUCUAAAGAAAAUUAAAGGAGAGACAAGUUGGUGGAAUCAGUUGAAGUGGGAAGAUGAAACUAUCAAGCACUCUUUUACUCCGUAUUUCCAAAUCUGUGAAGCUGAAGCAUAUUCAACAGACACUGAGGAGUCUGAAAUUGGCAGCAUAGAUGAUAUGAAGGAACAACUAGUAUCAAAUUAACUUCUAUCAAUCUUUCAGGUAUUAAUUAACUUUUAUACUAUAUUUGGAAAAUCAUUUUCUUUCCUUAAUCCCAUUCUUUUGUGGAAUUUUUUACUCUAUCUAUGCCAAAGUGCAUCAAAGUCUCGACAUCAAAAUAACUUUCAAUGUUUGAUCUAUCAAGUUUGCCCCUUUUGAAGUAACUGUUAUAAAGUUUGCCCAGAAGGGACUUUGGAGGAGGUCUUUUAUUUAAACAUCUAAUGACAUUUCCUUUUGGUUACUUAAGAACUUGAAAAUAUGCAGAGUUCUCAACUAUGUUAUUUAUUGUGUCUUAAUUUUUUCGAUUCAUUUCAAUCUAUAAGUAGAAAGAGAGAAUACCUAAUUUCAACUUAUUUCUUUAUAUUUCAAGUUGAAACAACAGGUGUUUCGCAACAACUGUAGGUAAAGAUAUUCCAUUAAGAAUUCUCGCUUUGUUUAAUGUAUUUACCAGGACCAACUAUAUGUAAUUUCUCUUCUUUUGUUCAGUUGCCUCUAUCUGGUUGACUCUCAGUUGUUUUUUUUUUUUUUUUUUUCUAUUGCAUUCAGAGUUGGGGCUUGUUCUAGAGGUUCUGACAACAGCUGGGAUUCAAUUAGCUCUAUGUAGUGGGGCCUUGAGUUUUUUGAUUGGAUGCAGAGUAGGGUCUUGUUCUACCUGUUCUUACUCAGUUGGGAUCUGAGCUUCUUCGGCUGCUUCCGUUUCAUCCUGCUCUUUUUCCUUCUAAUUGGUAUAGAUGUGAGCUGGAUUAUGUUUGCUUGCUGGUCUGAGUUUCUGAUAUGUCUAGUGGCGGUGUGCUGAUUCUCAGAGUAUCGUUAUUCAUGGUGCUCGGUCUGCUGGGAAAGUUGGUUAAUGUCCAGAUGCAGGGGCUCAUCUCGGCAGGCUUUGGUUGGGAUCCAUGUGUUUGCUGGAAUUGGAUUCUGUGGGUUGCCUUUGGCUUUUGAUGUAGGCCGGGUUUGUUUUCUUUGUUGAGGCUGGUGGAGUAUGGUGGCUCAGAAGCUGCUAGUAAUCUGUCUGUUGUAUGCUGACGCUGGAAUCUUCAUGGAGGUUGCUCUGGUGGGUCAAUAUGAUAUGGGAAUGCUUUUGCCUUUUGAGUCCUUGGGCGUCAGCUGGUUGCUUGUGUUUCCUCUGCGCUUUAGUUCAUAUACCAGAGUGCAUACUUCCUUGAGUUCCAUAUCCCACUGCCAAGUGUGUUGUCCAUGAUGUAAUGUAAAGCAGUUAAUUUGUAUACCUGGCCUUAAGUUCCUCUCUAGAAAACUUUGAACGCCCUUUAUGAAUGAAAUGUUGUGAGAAAAACUGGAGUUGAUUUUCACAUUUGAGGUCGUUAAUGGUGAUUUUUCUUAAUGUAAUUGUGAUCGAAAAGAAAUUUGAUCAAGUAGUCGAAACUAUAAGCAGAGUUGAUCUUAUUCAACAUUGCAUUAUAAUUUGGUACCCCUCACAGAUCGCUCCAAAUAGCAUUGAAAAGUACUUUCAUUUUCCUUCAGUGGAGGCUUCUUUUUCUUUGCUGGUUAAUAUUCAUAGCUUCAGUGCUUGAUGAAAUUUCGUUACUUGACAUUGUUCACUCUUGUCCCUCCUGCUCUGAUCACAAACAAAUGCCCCAAUAAAUAAGAAUGAUUUGUUCAAGGAAUUUGAAAAUACUUGAACAAUAAAAGAAAAGAAUAGGGGAGAAAGGAAAAGAAAUUGAGAAAGCAAACACUUGGUAGUUUCCAUUUCAAUUAACCGAUCUUUGAAACUAAAAUGUAAUUCUUGGUAGAAUAAAAGAAGACAUGCAACAUCUUAAGAAGAUUCAUCUAAUGGAACAUACCAUGCUACAAUUGGAAACUGAGACCAAAUAGUAGUUUUUGGUAGAAUAGAUAUCGCAUGCCAAAAAGAAAGUCUUGUAGCUUUGACUACUUCAUAAUUCUUGUACGUAUAGCCCACAAAGCUUUCGAGAUCAUACUUGUUUAUUCAGACCUGUUUGAACAUACGGCUCUAGCGGAAGAUCUUACAACUUUAGGAGUUCAUAAUGUCCAUGAAAUCACAGGAAAAGAAAAGGAUGUAUAUCAAGUUCAUGAAAAAUAAAGAGAUGGUUUAUUAAAUUUUGCUAGUGAGUUGGAUCACUAGCAAGCUCCAUGAUAAGCUCCAUUAACUACCGAGGAUUGCUUCACAACCUCUUUGUAUAUUAUUAAGUUGAAAGUAAAAUUAUUAAAGUUAUAUAAAUAGGUGGCAAUUUUGAUAAGCCAAAAUAACACCAUUCGAAAAUUAUAUGAAUUUUAGCAGGUUUGAAUAAGGUGUAAUCAUAUCCGUAUAAUAAUUAUGUCAACUCAUUUGCUAAAUGGAUUGUAUUGGAACUUGAUCACUCAACUUAUCUAACUCACUUAACUUGUUUAAAUACAUGUAUGAAAUGUAUUUGCAUUGUCUAAUUAUAGUUCAUAUUGGAGAAUGAACUACUAUCAAUUUCACAUGAUGAAAUUAUAAUUAGUCAAUAUUACUCGAAAGUGAAAUCUCUUAUUCAAAAAUAUCUCAUUAAAUUCGAAAAGCUAAAAUUAUCAAGUAGAUGGUUAAAGGAACCAUUGAGCAUGGUUUAAAAUUCGAAUAUAAUGUAUUUAUUGUUGUAAUUCAAGCCCAAUAUUUAUUAUUUAUUAUUAAAAAUAUAAUUUUAUGUCUAAUUUUUAUAUUUAAGAUAAUUUAGCACAUUUGAACAAUAUUUUGAGAAUUGGAUUGAAGCAUCUAAUUUGACUAAUUGGAUAACAAAUUGGACUAAUCCGAUCUUAUUUUUCAUAUUUAUCCACCUUCAAUUCUAGGAUAAACAUGAACAAAAGUCUUCAUACAAUUAUAACAAUAUAACAAAAUAAUGAGUAUAAUAUUAAAUCUAAAAUAAAAACUCUACACAAAUUGGUAUAAAACCAAGUAUGACAAUCAUAAACCAAUCCCCUCCCCCAUACUAAAUAAAUGAGAAAUGAUGUUACAAGAUAUAUAUUUAAAAAAAAAUAAUCUUUUAAUCUUUUAAUUAUUUUUAUAAUUUUAACUUCUUAUAUUAUUUUAAAUUGAAUAAUAUAUGAAUUAGAUAUCCAUAUUGUCAUGCGGAUAUCAUGUUUCAAUCACUUGAAUCAUCAAUUCAAUCAAGAAAUUGUAAUGCAAUAAUUUGUCAAUUCAAUGACUAAUAAAAUUUUGAGAACAUUGUAUUUGAAAGCUCUGCACAUAAGAUGAAUAUAAAAGAUUAUGAACUCUUGCAAAAAAAAAAAUGACAUCAUGAAAAUAUGGAAACCCUAAACCUUAAUUUCUUCAAUAAUGCCUAUCAAAAUUUAAGGUUGUGUAAUUGAGAAUGCUAAUGACCCAAGGUUAGAACUAGUCGCUCAUAACUAGACUUGUUCUUAUUUUUUUUAAACAUAUUCCCAUCUUCAUCUCAAAUCUAUGGAAAUUUACUUUCCUAUUUUAAGAAAAUUAAUUUUUAUUUUUAUUUUACAUGUAUUGGAAAAAGCAAAAGAGAAAUUAAGGUGACACAACAAGAAUAACUAUAAAACCAUAAUGACUAUAUAUAUAUAUAUAUAUAUAUAUAUAUAAAAUAAGACAAUUUAAAAUAUGUGUUUGGCCGGUUUUUUUAAGUGUUUUUAGUAGAAACAUUUUUUCUAAAAGUAUUUUUGAGAGAGUUACCUAUCAAAUGUUUUUUUAAGAGGCAUUACAAGUGAUUUUUCAGUUGAGUUUGGUAAUGACUUUAAAAAACAAUUUUAUUUUAUCUAACAUUUAAAUGAUAAAAAUUUUUAAAUAUAAAAAAAUUUAAAAACACUUCCUAAAAUUAUUACUAAACGGACUCCUCAUUUAUUUAAAAGUGUUUUCAAAAUUUUACCACUUAAUUUUUUUUCAAAAACAUUUUUUAAACUAAAAAUAUUUUUUAAAAGUAUUAUCGAACGGAAUCAAAGUCUUAAAACAAAAUCUCAAAUCUACCCUUGAUUUAAUUAUAUUUUUCCAACCCAUCUGAUUGGGCCCAGGCUUCCUUUAAAUACCCACCCCGAUAAUAAUACAAAAGCAAACCACCACCAAAGAUAUUUAAACGACAAUUGAAACCUAUUAAUGAGACUUUGUCUCAUAAUACAAAUUUCGUUAUGUUCACAUGUAGAAAGGGACAAAUAAUUUACAAAAUUAAAAAUCAUAUACAACAGAAAGCGUGGAAUCAAGAGGGAAGAGAGUAGAAAGUUAACGAAGUGGUGGAGCCUCGGCUAAAACUAACAAUGGCAUAUUAUCAUGUGCGUGUCUCAUCGCUGGAUGGACCAAAAUUUGCUUCUCCCAAAGCUCUUUGAAUAUUAUAUUUAGAGCCCACUUGGUGCCUAGAAAAAUACAUUUGCAAGUGAUCUCCAUCUGUCAAUCAAUUAAUCUAUACAAUAAAAAUCCACUUGGUGUUAAUUAAGGAAAAUCAUUUUGUUGGUGGUGGCCUGUCUCCCAUGUUACUCAAGUUUCAAAUCUGAACUUUUCAAAUUCACAAAGUGCAGUGAUUCAUCUUUGUUCCAUCUUUGGCUGAAUUCUAAUCCUUUUUUCUGUUACUUCCGGAAAGCCAUGGAGUUCCUGAGCUCAAUCGUGGGUCUGGUCCCCUGCUUCUAUGAUCACAUCUCCAAGCAUACCGUCUACAUUCGUGAUCUGAAGAAAAAUCUCCAAGCCUUGAGCAAGGAAAUGGUGGAUCUCAACAACUUGUAUGAAGAUGUGAAGGAAAGGGUUGAAGGUGCAGAGCAACGACAGAUGAGGCGCAGAAAGGAAGUGGGUGGCUGGAUCUGUGAAGUAGAAGACAUGGUGAAAGAAGUUCAAGAAAUUCUGCAGAAGGGUGAUCAAGAAAUCCAGAAGAGAUGUCUCGGAUGCUGUCCCAGGAAUUGUUGGUCUAGCUACAAGAUUGGGAAGGCAGUAAGCGAAAAGCUGGUUGCUGUAUCUGGUCAAAUCGGCAAAGGACAUUUCGAUGUUGUAGCCGAGAUGCUGCCUCGUCCUCUAGUAGAUGAACUGCCCAUGGAGGAGACUGUGGGCUCAGAAUUGGCGUAUGGCAGAAUCUGUGGGUUUCUCAAAGAUCCACAAGUGGGAAUUAUGGGAUUAUAUGGAAUGGGGGUUGUGGUGUCAAAAUCGUCCAACAUUGAAAAAAUUCAGGAAGUUAUUUGGAAUAAAUUACAAAUCCCACGUGAUAUAUGGGAAAGUAGAAGCAGUAAGGAGGAGAAGGCUGUCGAAAUACUGAGAGUUCCGAAAACAAAGAAGUUCGUGUUGUUGUUGGAUGACAUCUGAGAGCGACUUGAUCUCCUAGAAAUGGGGGUUCCACAUCCCGAUGCUCAAAAUAAGUCCAAGAUAGUUUUCACGACCCGAUCACAGGAUGUGUGCCACCAAAUGAAAGCUCAGAAGAGUAUAGGAGUGGCAUGUUUGUCGUCAGAAGCGGCUUGGACUUUGUUUCAGAAGGAGGUAGGAGAAGAAACAUUAAAGUCUCAUCCACAUAUACCGAGGCUUGCAAAGAUUGUUGUUGAAGAGUGCAAAGGUUUACCUCUCGCUUUGGUUACUGUUGGGCGAGCCAUGGUGGGUGAGAAAGAUCCCUCAAAUUGGGACAAGGUAAUACAAGAUUUGAGCAAAUUUCCAGCUGAAAUUUCAGGUGUGGAAGAUGAAUUGUUUAAUAGAUUAAAAGUUAGUUAUGAUAAAUUGUCUGACAAUGCCAUCAAAUCUUGUUUUACAUAUUGUUCUUUGUUCUCUGAGGAUUGGGAGAUUUAUAUUGAAAGCCUUAUAGAAUGUUGGAUAGGAGAGGGAUUUUUGGGUGAAGUUCAUGACAUACAUGAAGCGCGUAAUCAAGGGUAUAAAAUUAUUAAAAAACUAAGGCAUACAUGUUUGUUGGAGAGUUGCGGUUCAAGAGAAAAAAGGGUUAAGACACAUGAUGUGGUCUGCGACAUGGCUUUAUGGUUAUAUGGUGAAUGUGGGAAGAAAAAGAACAAAAUUGUAGUAUACGAUGAUGUUUUUAGGCUGAAGGAAGCUACAGAAAUUUUAGAACUGAAAGAGACGGAGAAGAUGUCAUUUUGGUAUCCGAAUGUUGAGAAGUUCCUUGAAACAUUGGUGUGUCCCAAUCUCAAGACUUUAUUUGUGGAGGGAUGUCAUAAGUUGACGAAAUUUUCGAGUGGAUUCUUUCAAUUUAUGCCUCUAAUAAGAGUUUUGAAUUUGGCAGGGAAUGAUAAUUUAAGUGAGUUACCUACUGGGAUUGGUGAAUUGAAUGGCUUGAGAUAUCUUAAUUUGGAACCCACAAGAAUAAGAGAGUUGCCCAUUGAGCUAAAAAAUUUGAAAAAUUUGAUGAUUCUACGUUUGAAUUCUAUGCAAUUCUCUGUAACUAUCCCACAAGACUUGAUAUCAAAUCUCAUAUCUUUACAGUUGUUCGACAUUUGGAACACCAAUAUUUUAAGUGGAGUUGAAACCUUGCUUGAGGAGUUGGAGUCCUUGAAUGACAUCAAUGAGAUAGGAAUCACCAUAUCUAGUGCUCUUUCAUUGAACAAAUUAAAGAGAAGCCACAAAUUACAGAGGUGUAUAAGGCUUCUACAGUUACAUAAAUGGGGGGAUGUAAUCACACUUGAACUAUCAUCUUUGUUUUUAAAAAGAAUGGAGCAUUUGAUUCAGCUUGAAGUAGACCAUUGUGAUGAUGUGAAAGUAAGUAUGGAAAGAGAAAUGAAACAAAAUGAUGUUAUUGGUCUCUCAAACUACAAUGUUGCAAGGGAGCAAUACAUUUACAGCCUCCGUUACAUAAGAAUAAAAAAUUGUUCAAAAUUGUUAGACUUAACAUGGGUUGUUUAUGCUUCAUGUCUAGAAGAACUUUAUGUUGAAGAUUGUGAAUCAAUAGAACUAGUACUACACCAUGAUCACGGAGCUUAUGAUAUUGUGGAAAAAUUGGACAUAUUCUCAAGGCUCAAAUGCCUCAAGCUCAAUAGACUGCCAAGAUUGAAGAGCAUCUACCAGCAUCCUCUGCUCUUUCCCUCGCUUGAAAUCAUCAAGGUGUAUGAUUGCAAAAGCUUAAGGAGCCUCCCAUUCGAUUCCAACACUUUGAACAACAAUCUUAAGAAAAUUAAAGGAGAGACAAGUUGGUGGAAUCAGUUGAAGUGGAAAGAUGAAACCAUCAAGGACUGUUUUACUCCAUACUUCCAAGUCCAUGAGGCUGAAGCAUAUUUUGCAGAGGAGUCUGAAACUGGCAGCAUAGAUGAUGAUAUGCAGGAACAGUUGGUAUCAAAUUAAUUUCUAUCCAUCUUUCAGGUAUUAAUUAAUUUUUAUGUUAUAUAGAUUACUUCCAUAAUUUUCUGCCUAGUCCUAAUAACUUUCAAUCUAUUUUUUUCCCUUUUAUUUUCAUUCUCUUCUAUAUUGCUUUGAGUCUUUCGAGAUCCAAACAAAGCCAAAUCUACACCCCUUUCUAUAUCAUGGUCCUGCCCCCAAGAUCUUGGAUGGGUAAUUCAAUUCUAGUUGUCCCUUGUGAAAUAAUUGUUAUAAAAGGUUCGCCCAGAUGGCACUUUGAAGGAGGUCUAUUGUUUAAAAAUGGGAUGACAUUCCCUGUUGGUUACUUGAGAACAUGAAAAUAAUGCAGAGUUUUAAACUAUAUUAUUUAUUUGUCUUAAUUUUUGUGAUGGAUUUCAAUCUAUAAAUAGAAACAGAUCAACUUCGUUUCAACUUAGCUCCAUAUAUUUCAAGCUGAAAAACAGGGUUUCACAACUACUAUAGUUGUAGAUAUUCCAUUAAAGAAUUUUUGCCUUGUUUGAUGUGUUUACCAGGACCAACUUCACUUACAAGGGUAAUAUCUCUUCUAUUGUUAAGUUACCUCUAUCUGGUUGGCUCUGAUCACUUUUUGCUUUUCUAUUUUCGUUUUUUCAUUUCUCUUUUUGUUGCAUUCAGGGUUGGGGCUUGUUCUAGAAGUUCUGGCAACAGCCGGGUUUUCAUCUUCUUUAUAUAGACUGUGUUGCUGAUUGGAGAUGUCCUGCUCUUUUUCCUUCUACUUGGAAUCUGGGUUUGGUCUGAGGUCUCUGGUAUGUUUCAUCAGGGAGGCGCAAAUGCUGAUUCUCAGAGCAUUGAUAUUUCAUGGUGCUGAGACUGCUGAAAAGGUUGGUGUACUUAUGAUGGUUGCAGCAUCCUCUUUGUUUCUGGAUCUCAGGGACUGGAUUCUGUGGGCAGCCUUUGGCUUUUGAUGUUGGGUGGAUUUUGUUUUGUUAAUUUGUUGAGGCCGGUGCAGUGUGGUGGGUCUGAAGCUGCUAGUAUGCUGCUGCUGGGUCAAUGCGGAUGUGAUAUGGGAAUGCUUUUGGAUCUUAGGGCUUCAGCAGGUUGAUUAUGUUUCCUCUGCUUACAAAUAUUUUAUCACCAGAUCCUACGUGGAGAUGGGAUGGAUUGUUGUAAUAGUGAUGGUGUGUGUAUGUGAUAUAAUCCUAUGAACAUAGCCACAUGCUUUGGUUCAUAUACCAGAGCACCGCUUACUUCCUUGAGUUUGAUAUCCCACUGUCAAGUGUUAUGUUACGAAAACAAGUUUCACCGGUCGUGGAUUGAAAUGUUUUGUGAGAAAAACUGGUUGAUUUUAACAUUUGAGGUUGUUAAUGGUGGAAGUAUAAGCAGAGUUCUGAGGACUCAAAAUGUGAUCACUUUUUCUCAAGCAUAUUUCUUCCCCAAUAAAAAGGUUUAUUUGUGCAAUGGUUUUGGCACCAACUGAUGAAUGAAAGAGAGCUUUCAUUCCGGAGCAUUUAGAUCUCCAAACAGCAACCUGACUGAACAUGACCACAAAAUUCCUCCGGCGCCACCAAUUUCCUCCACCUGCGACUCUUCAAAUCCAACAUGUACGCCACAUGGGCUUCACCAAAGCUUCUGCACCCAAUCACUAACAGCUUCCCCUCCCAUGUUGUCAUGUAAGCUGUGUGGCGAAUCUCAGCUGGCAAUCUGUCUACUGUCUGCCAUCUGGAGUCCUGCAGUGUCACCACCUCACCCGCAUGACACAUGUACAUCCCCAUGUCACCACCGUCCACGCAGGUCCUCGGGCACGUGCUGUCUUCCAGGAAAUCCUCCUCUGCCUUGUCCCACUCCCAGUUGGCAAAAUCGAAGGCUUCCGCGCUCCUCUCGAACCUGCCUUGCAUCUCUGUGCAGUACCCGCCCAUGACAUGAAACUUACCACGGUGGAAUACUCCUUUGCAUUCAUCGCUCUCCCUUGCCAUGUCAGGCAGUGGGGCCCACUAAUCCUUUGCCACGUCAUACACUAGCGCUGACUUCAAUGCAUUCUUCCAAACCCUACAAACCGCGGCGAUGGUGGAGAAGUUUUCAUAAGAAACGCGAAUUAAACAUUGGCGGGCAACGUCGUCCGGGAGACCCGGAAUAAAGUCCAUGAACAAAAAAAAAACAGCAAGACUGUGGUGCUAUUAAUGGAGAGAAACCCAACCAGAGAGCAAAGAUGGGGGAUUGAAAUAAAUUGAGAGAGCAGCUAGCUACAGAGGAAGAAGAAGGAAGAAGAAGAUGAUGAAGAGAGAAACAGUUGAAUAUAAGAUGAUGAUGAUGAGGAGGAGGAUUGGCUUUUAUAGAGCUUGCCAAGAAGACUGUAAUACAGGUUUAAAAAAGGUUAGUUUCUAUGUCUUGUUAUUUAUUUGCCAACAAGACUGUAAUACAGGUUUAAAAAACGCUAAAUUCAAAAAUUAAAACAAAAAUUGAUACCUAAUCUAUUAAAAUUUUAUUUUAAAAUUUUUGUUACUUGUUUUGUUAGAACUAUCUAAUAUAUUUUUUCAAUUUUUAAAAAUUAAAAUUAAAUUUAUUUUUUAAAUUUUCUUUUUGCUAUAUUCUACAUUCGAAUGCCAAAAUAAUAAUAAUAAUAAAGAAAGAAAAAUGAUAUGAAAUUCAUAAAACCUUAUCAACUCAAAUAAGAGCAUUAUCGUUCCUAAGGUCAGAUUUUUAUUGAAAACUUAUAGGAGAAAAAUAAUAUGAAAAAUAGUUUUUUUUUUUUUUUUGUAUUUGAUUUUAUGAUAGAAAAUUAUGAAGAAAAUUAAAUAUAAUUAAAAUUAGUUAUAUUUAUAUAUUUUAAAUUAUUUAAUCAUUAAACUAAGGGAAAUGAGUUUAAAUAAUAAUAAUAAUAAUAUAUAAAUUAUUUAUUAAUUGAAUUUUUUUUUAAUUUUCAUUCACUUUUUAUCUUCUUUUUUUUUUCUAUUUUUUUUCUAUUAUAUUUUUCCUCAAUUUUCUCUAAAAGCAAACACAGCCGACAAAAAAUGUUUUGACUUUCAUUAAAAUUUGAAGUCUUAGUAAUACUUUCACAUUUAUUUUAAUUCAAAUUAGAAGCCAAUACAAGCAUAAUUGGAGUGUGUUUGGAAUAUUUUCCUAUUUUUUACUUUAAUUAGAAGUUAAAAUUGAAUCAAACUCACAAUUUUUAAAGGAUAAUAUAUGUAAAAUAAAGUUUUCACAAUCGAACAACAUUUUUCUAAUUUCUAUAUUAAGCUUUUUUAAAAAAUAAUCAUAAGAUUUUUGAACAAAAAUAGUUAAAAAAAAAACCUCUUAUUGAAGUUAAAAAAAGAAACUGUUAUCUUCAUAGAAAUCCUACCAAAUAAGACUUUAAUCUUAUGGGAAAAGAAAAAAAAAAAAAAAAGAAGUGGGUCAGUGGCCACUAGAUAAUGCAUUAUGCCACCAUUUGACCCAACUUGAUUCUACCUUCAUGAUUUAUCCUUUGAAUUGUAGGAAGAUGAGUUUGGACAAAUCAAAUCAAUUUAUGUCCUAAUUGAUGCCAAAAAUAUCCAUAUAAUUCAAAUAAAUAUAAGUUUGAUAGUGAGACAAAAGGGUAUGGCGUUUUUUAUGGGUGUUGCCAGCAUUAUUAUAAUUUAUAGCUUUUUUUAAAGAAAAACUAAAUUAAAAUUAUCAAAAUAUAUUUUAUAUUUACAAAAGCUAAAAACAUAACCAAGAAAAAAUCUUUAUGCUUUAUAUUUUAAAAUUUAGUAAAAGCAAAAGCAUAUCCAAAUCAGCCCCACACAUAAAAGAAAGCUAAAAUUGAAAUUGACUAAUCAUUUUUUUACUGAGCUGGCAAACCUUUUUGACUUUUUUCUUUUACUGUGCCAAUGAGAAAAAUGAUUCAUAUUAAAAGUGAUAAAAUUAAUUAAUUAAUUUUAUAGCAUCCUUGCCCAGGAGUAGGAGUUUAUCGCAGGAGGCUUUGUUUCUUGGCUUGAAGCAUGCGUUGCUCACCACUUCCUUCAUGCGAUUCUCUGGCCUUUUAUGCUGGAGGUUGACUGGUACACAUCAGCCUGCCGCUUGCUACCUGAUUGGUGAUUGUGAAUGCUUUUGGGUCUUGCUGGUUGCUUGUGUUUCCUCUGGUUUUAUUGUAUUCCUCUGCUUACAAAUGAAAUAUCACUAUAUAUUCUGGGAAGAUAGGAUGGAACUGCAUUUUCAAAGUAUGGAACAUAGUUUACAAACUUGGAUUUUGUUCUUCCCUUGAAAUUUGAUCACUCAUUAAUGAAAUUUUUUCGUUCAUUUUUUUGGGAGAAAAAAUGGGGUUGAUUUCAACAUUUUAGACCAAUUUAUGCAUAGAACUAAUUUGUUAAUGGCAAUUUGCUGCUAAUUUUGCUGGGUUUGAAAUGUUCUGCUCUCUUUCUAUCCUGUUGGUGCUGUUGGUGUUGGCGUUUGCUUAAUUGGUGCUUGGUCUUGGUGCUUCUCAGAAUUUUUUUAGUAAUAUUAUUUGUAGGAUAUUCUUAGAAAAAGGUAAAUGGUAAUAGCAUCUGAUUUAUUUAUUUAUUAAAAAAAUAUUAUAAAUUGUAGAAGUUACAUGAAUAAUUCAAAAUUUGGCAAUAAAAAUACAAUUCAAUCCCACCAUGACCAAUCAGAAUUGUUUAAAGAAUAAUGUAAAGUAUAAUGUAGUGGUGAUGAAUGCAAGCAUAAAACCAUUGUGGAGCCAAGAUUCAAGGGGCAUAAAACCAUUGUGGAGCCAGGAUUCAAGCAUAAAACCAUUGUUGGUCUAGCUACAAGAUUGGGAAGGCAGUAAGCGAAAAGCUGGUUGCUGUACCUGGUCAAAUCGGCAAAGGACAUUUCAAUGAUGUAGCCGAGAUGCUGCCUCGUCCUCUAGUAGAUGAACUGCCCGUGGAGGAGACUGUUGGCCUAGAAUUGGCGUAUGGCAGAAGCUGUGGGUUUCUCAAAGAUCCACAAGUGGGAAUUAUGGGAUUAUAUGGAAUGGGGGGUGUGGGCAAAACCACCCUCUUGUGGAAAAUCCACAAUAACUUCCUCCCUACAUCCAGCGAUUUUGAUGUUGUGAUUUGGGAUGUGGUGUCAAAAAUUUAAAAAAUUCAGAAAGUUGUUUGGAAUAAAUUGCAACUCUCACGUGAUGGAUGGGAAAGUAGAAGCACUAAGGAGGAGAAGGCUGCCGAAAUAUUGAGAGUUUUGAAAACAAAGAAGUUCGUGUUUUUGGAUGACAUCUGGGAGCAACUUGAUCUCCUAGAAAUAGGGGUCCCCCAUCCCGACGCUCAAAAUAAGUCCAAGAUAGUUUUCACGACCCGAUCACAGGAUGUGUGCCACCAAAUGAAAGCACACAAGAGUAUAGGAGUGGCAUGUUUGUCGCCAGAAGUGGCUUGGACUUUGUUUCAGAAGGAAGUAGGAGAAGAAACAUUAAAGUCUCAUCCACAUAUACUGAGUCUUGCAAAGACUGUUGCUGAAGAGUGCAAAGGUUUACCUCUUACUUUGAUUACUCUUAGGCGAGCCUUGGCGGGUGAGAGAGAUCCCUCAAGUUGGGACAAGGUAAUACAAGAUUUGAGCAAAUUUCCAGCUGCAACUUCAGGUAUGGAAGAUGAAUUGUUUCAUAGAUUAAAAGUCAGUUAUGAUAGAUUGUUUGACAAUGCCAUCAAAUCUUGUUUUACAUAUUGUUCCUUAUUCUCUAAAGGUUGGUGGAUUUCAAAUGAAACCCUUGUGGAAUAUUGGAUGAUUGAGGGAUUUUUGGGUGAAGUUCAUGACAUACAUGAAGUGCAUAAUCAAGGGCAUAAAAUUAUUAAAAAAUUAAAGCAUGCAUGUUUAUUGGAGAGUUGCGGUUCAAGAAAACAAAACAUUAUGAUGCAUGAUGUGAUCCACGACAUGGCUUUAUGGUUAUCUUGUGAAUGUGGGGAGGAGAAGAACAAAAUUUUAGUAUACAAUGAUGUUUCUAAGUUGAAGGAACCUUAAGAAAUUCCAAAAUUGAAAGAGACAAAGAAGAUGUCAUUAUGGGAUGAGAAUGUUGAGGAGUUCCCUAAAACAUUGGUGUGUCCCAAUCUCAAGAUUAGUGGCUUGUGAUAAGUUGAAGAAAUUUCCAAGUGGAUUUUUUCAAUUUAUGCCUUCAAUAAGAGCUUUUGAUUUGUCAAAUAAUUAUAAUUUAAGCGAGUUACCUACUGGGAUCGGUAAAUUGGGUGCCUUGAGAUAUCUUAAUUUGUUAGCCACAAAAAUAAGAGAGUUUCCUAUUGAACUUACAAAUUUGAAAAACCUAAUGACUUUGCUUUUGGAGAAUAGGAAAUUCCUGGAAUUAAUUAUUCCACAAGAACUGAUAUCAAGUCUCAUAUCUUUAAAGUUGUUCAGCACAAUCGAUACCAAUAUUUCAAGUAGAGUUUCAGAAAGCUUGUUGGAUGAGUUGGAGUCCUUGAAUGGCAUCAGUGAGAUAUGUAUCACCAUAUGUACUACUCAUUCAUUCAACAAAUUAAAGAGUAGUCACAAAUUGCAAAUGUACAUAAGUCAAUUCGAGUUGGAUAAAUGUGGGGAUAUGAUCUCACUUGAACUACCGUCUUCAUUUUUUAAAAGAAUGGAGCAUUUGCGAUGGCUUUGUAUAUCUAAUUGCGAUGAAUUAAAGGACAUAAAAAUUGAAGGGGAAGGAGAAGGGACACAAAGGGAUGCGACUCUCCGAAACUACAUUGCUGUAAGGGAGAACUACUUUCGUGCCCUUUGUAACCUAUAUAUUUUUCAUUGUUCAAAAUUGUUGAACAUUACAUGGCUUGUUAGUGCUCCAUAUCUUGAGGAACUUACCGUUGGAGAUUGUGAAUCAAUAGGACAAUUGAUAUGUUAUGGAGUAGAGGAAAACUUGGACAUAUUCUCAAGGCUCAAAUACCUUAAGCUCAACGAGCUGCCAAAAUUGAAGAGCAUCUACCAAUAUUUGCUGCUCUUUUCCUCACUUGAAAUCUUGAAGGUGUAUGAUUGCAAAAGCUUAAGGAGCCUCCCAUUCGAUUCCAAUACUUAACAAUAAUCUAAAGAAAAUUAAAGGAGAGACAAGUUGGUGGAAUCAAUUGGAGUGAAUCGAUGAAACUAUCAAGUACUCUUUUACUCCAUAUUUCCGAAUCGACCAAGUUGAAGCGUACUUAACUGAGGAGUCCGAAACUGGUGGCAUAGAUGAUAUACAAGAGCAAUUGAUAUCAAAUUAAUUUCUUUCAGGUAUUAAUUAACUUUUAUGCUAUAUUUGAAAAAUAAUAUUUUUCCACACUCCCAUUCAUUUGUGGAAAUUUUUACUUUACCGAUGUCAAAGUGCAUCAAAGUCUCAACAUCAUAGUAACUUUCAAUGUUUGAUGUAUAUGGACUACUUCCAUAAUUUUCGGCCUAAUCUUAAUAAUUUUGGUGUGGUUAUAAUUUUUUUCUUUUUUAUUUUUCUUUUUCGUCCUUCUAAUCUUAAGCCUUCAUUUUGAUGACAGACAUAAUUUAGAAAGGAAAAAAAAUGUAAGAAAUCCAAAUCUAAAUCUAUAUAUAUAUUUUUUAUCUCUAUCUGAUUGGCUCUGAUCAGUUUUUGCCUUCUUUUUUUUUCAUUUCUCUUUUUGUUGCAUUCAAGGUUGGGGCUUGUUCUAGCAGUUCUAGCAACAGCCGGGUUUUGAUCGUUUUUAUAUAGACUGUGUUGUUGGAACUCCAUUUUGCUUGUAUCCAAUUAUUAGACAGGAAUCACAUGUUGAAUCAUAUGAAGAAAUUAUGCCAAACAUUUCUAUAGAAAGGGAACAUACAGAAUCUGAACUAACCUGAUUCCAUUUUGAGUGUUGAAUGAACAAGGUAUGGAUCUUCUAAGGCUGUGGAGGGCACCACCUCUUUCUGGAUUCUCUCUGACGAUGGGAGCAGGAGAGAAAACAAGUCUAUUAUUAUUUCAAAUGAUGUGAUUAGACUGAACAGACACUUAGCCUUUGGUUUUAUACCCUCUUGCCUUAGGGACCAUACCCUUUGGCUAUUGGGCCUCACGAGUCUUAGGCCCAUCAUCUAAGGCCCGUGAUGGCAAUGGGCUCUACACAUAAGGUGACCCAUACUAUGGAAAAUUGAUACAAAAUAAAUAUUAAAAGGCGAAUAGCUUAGUCAUGUAUCAUUGUUAAAUAUGUGUGAGUCCAUAUCUUAACAUGUGUUGCUGUUGUUUUUGCUGAUGGUUGAUGUCCUGCUCUUUUUCCUUCUACUUAGUAUUUGGGUUUGGUCUGAGGUCGAUCUAGGUAUGUUUGAUCAGAGAGGCAUAAAUGCUGAUUCUCGGAGCAUUGAUAUUUCAUGGUGCUGAGACUGCUGGGAAGGUUGGUGUACUUAUGAUGGUUGCAGCAUCCUUUUUGUUUCUAGAUCUCAGGAAUUGGAUUCUGUGGGCUGCUUUUGGCUUUUGAUGUUGGGUGGGUUUUGUUUUGUUAAUUUGUUGAGGCUGGUGCAGUGUGGUGGAUCUGAAGCUGCUAGUAUGCUGCUACUGGGUCAAUGUCAAUGUGAUAUGGGAAUGCUUUUGGGUCUUUGGGCUUCAGCUGGUUGCUUGUGUUUCCUCUGCUUACAAAUGUUUUAUCAUCAGAUCCUAUGUGGAGAUGGGAUGGAUUGUUUUAAUAGUGAGGGUGUGAGGGUGUGAUAUAAUCCUGUCAACAGAGCCACAUGCUUUGGUUCAUAUACCAGAGCACUGCAUUCUUGAGUUUGAUAUCAUAUCCCACUCCCAAAGUGUGUCGUGCAUAAUGUAAUGUAAACAAGUUUCAACUUUCACCCAUUGUGGAUUGAAAUGUUUAAUUUGGGAGAAAACUGGUUGAUUUGUAACAUUUGAGGGUGUUAAUGGUGAUUUUUCUUAUUAUUAAUUGUGAUUGAAAAGAAAGUUGAUGAACAAGGUGGAAGUAUAAGCAGAGAGUUCUGAGGACUCCUAAUGUGGUACAUUUUCUCAAGCAUAUUUCUUCCCCAAUAAAAAGGAAAACUUGGGUUCACUUGUGCGAUGGUUUUGGCACUUGGCACUAACUGAUGAAUGAAAGAGAGAUCCAGGUUUAUCACUGAUGAAUUGAAAUGUUUUGUUAUUGUUGCUUAGUUAAAAAAGUUGCGGUUCAGUUUGCUAAUCUAUUGAUAUCUGCUGCAGUGAUUCUGCUGCUGAUGAAUAUAAAAGACAAUCAGUAGGUGCAGGUGAUGCCAUCUCAUCUGCUCAAUCAUCUCAAGUAUUACAGCCUGCUCGCUCAGGGGCCAGGGGACGUGCUUCAAUGGCUGAUAUUGUGAGGAGGGGCAGGCCAGGGACCAGGAGACAUGUUUCAAUGGCUGAUGUUGUAGGGAUGGGCGGACCUGGUGCCAAUACUUCCAGCCUGCCAAUUACGUCAACUGGAACUUCUCCCCCUCUUGUUGGGGCAGUACCAGAACAAUGUGGUGUGCCCAAUACUUCCAGCCCGCUAAUUACAUUAGAUGAAACUUGUUUCCCACUUCUUGGAAGAACACCAAAACGAUCCUCUUACCGUGUCACUACUCCCUUUGUUCUGCCACCAGUGGAGGCAGAACCACACCAAGAUUUGCAUUCUCCAAAUCCUUGGUAUGUGUUGGAGGUAAGUCAUGAGCCUUGCACUACUGAUGAAUGGCCCACCACUGAUUAGCCAACAGCACAUAAUGGCUUAUCUGUUUUAGGUGGCUCACCUGCCUUAGAAACAGAGAUAUUCUAACGAGUUUUGGGUCAAAAUGGCCUAUUUAAAAAAAAAAAUGUAACAUCUAGCCAUUUUUUGAAACUUAUGUUCAAAGUGGUUUCUUUGGUGCUACGUAGGCGCCAUAUCAUUAAAAAAUAUUUUUUUUUUCAUCAUUUUAGUUAAAGCCACAGUUGACAAAUACGGCUUUAUAUUUGAACUAAAACCGCAGUUGGCAACUGCGGUUUUAGUUAAUUUUUUUUAAUUUAAAAUUUAAUAAAAAAUUAUUAAAUUACAAUUUAUGAUUGAAAUUUUAAAAAUAUACUUAAAUAAUAAAUUAUUUGUAUUUAAAUUUAAAAAUCUAGUUACACAUAGGUUCCCUGUGAGAUUAUAUAUGUUUUUUAUUUUCCACUAUAUUAAUGUUUAGUGAAUAUUUUUUGUGACUUUAAUUAAAUGAUUAAAAAUUAUAUUUUGUAGUAGACUUUUUGUAAUUAAUUUCAUUAACUAAUUUUGUAAAAAAAUCUAUACAUGACAACUAAUAUAUGAUUUCGAGUAAAUUUUAAAUUAAUUUUAUCAAACAACCUUAAUAUUUAAAGUAAAAAUUAAGUAAUAAGUUUUAAGUUAAUAAAUUAAAUAUAAUUUAAUUUAAAAUAAACUUAAAUCAUUAAGUAAUAAGUAUUAAGUUUUAUCAAACAUUAAAAAAAAAAAUUAUUAUCGUAAAACAAUUAGGUAUUCAAUUAAAAAACCCAAAAAAAAGAAAAAGAAAUUGUAAUCUUGAUGAAUUUUGUAGACUGUUUCAUAGUUGAUGGUGAUUCAAAUACAAAAGUACAGUAUCAAAAUCAAAAGAAAGUUGUGAGUUGUGAGCUGUGAGUGAGAUAUGCAUCUGAACCGCCAGCAAAAGAAAUUUAAAAUUGUUAAUAUAAAAAGAAAAAUGGACGCAGUGAUCAUGGGCGGUGUUUAUGUACUGGGUUUGAAAGUGUUGAACCUGAACCAAGAACCAACCAUUUAUAGUUGGAAAUUUUGAAUACUACAUCACCAAUCACCAUGCAUACGCUCCUCCUCCCUUCAAAGUCAUCAACUCGCUAACUUUUUCUAAUCUCAAAUUUAAACUUAUAUGUUAUAUAAGUUUAUUAUUUUAAGAUUAUUAAUUUAUUAAUAAAUAAAACAUUCAUUUAUAAUAUCUUAUAUUUAUUAAUUUAUGUUUAUUGAACUAAUACUAAAUUCUUAAGUUUAAAUAUAAAUAAUUUAUUAUUAAAGUAUAUAUUUUUAAUUUUAAUAAUAAAUUAUAAUUUAAUAGUUUUUAAUUAAAUUUGAAAGUAAAAAAAAUUAUAAUUGAAAUCUCAGUUACCAACUACGACUUAAAAGUAUAUUAUUAAUUCGAUAAAGAUAAAUUUAUCAUAAUACAAAUAAAUUAAUAUCUUAAAAAACAACAAAUUAAAUAUCUUAAAUUAAUAAAUUAUACAAUUUUAUAUAUUAUUUAUAUGUUAUAUAAAUUUAUUAUUUUAGGAUUAUUAAUUUAUUAAUAAAUAAAAUAUUCAUUUAUAAUAUCUUCUAUUUAUCAAUUUAUGUUUGUUGAAGUAAUACUAGAUUUUGAAGUUUAAAUAUAAAUAAUUUAUUAUUUAAGUAUAUUUUUUAAAUUGUAAUUUAAUAGUUUUUAAUUAAAUUUGAAAGUAAAAAAAAAAAUUAUAAUUGAAAUCUCAGUUAUCAACUAUGACUUAAAAGUAUAUUAUUAUUUCGAUAAAGAUAAAUUUAUCAUAAUAUGAAAUAAAUUAAUAUCUUAAAAAACAACAAAUUAAAUAUCUUAAAUUAAUAAAUUAUAUAAUUUUAUAUAUUAUGCAUAUGUUAUAUAAGUUUAUUAUUUUAAGAUUAUUAAUUUAUUAACAAAUAAAAUAUUUAUUUAUAAUAUCUUUUAUUUAUCAAUUUAUAUUUGUUGAAGUAAUAUUAGAUUUUUAAAUUUAAAUAUAAAUAAUUUAUUAUUUAAGUAUAUUUUUUAAAUUUCAAUCAUAAAUUUUAAUUUAAUAAUUUUUAAUUAAAUUUUUAAUUAAAAAAAAUUAACUAAAGCCGCAGUUGUCAACUGCGGCUUUAGUUCAAAAAUGAAACCACAGUUACCAAUUACAGCUUUAGUUCAAAUAUGAAGCCGCAUUUGUCAAUUACGACUUUAACUAAAAUGAUGAAAAAAAAUAUUUUUUAAUGAUAUGACGUUUACGUGGCAUCAAAGAUGCCACUUUGAACAUAAGUUUCAAAAAGUGAUUAGAUAUUACAUUUUUUUUUUUUUUAAAUGGGCCAUUUUGACCCAAAACUCUAUUCUAACCCAUCUAACUUGUACAGUGAUACUGCUGAAAUGUCCCAGGACUGCCGGCCAGAUGAGGUCCAAGCAUCUGUAUCCAGUGAACAGUGGGCAGAGUAUAGCGCUGCAGGUGCGUCUUAUAGAGCUUGCCAACGAGACUGUAGUACAGGUUUAAAAAAGGUCAGGCGGUCUAGAAAGUUAAAAUGAAGGCGACCAUAGGUUGUGUCAAUACACAAGACCAUACAAACCGCCAUUGUUUCUAUAUUUUGUUAUUUAUUUUUAAUGUGAUUGGUUCCCUAGAAAAUCUGAUGUGACCCUGGUUCAUGAUGCCGAAAAUGGAAAUCAUGGGACUCCAUGUGGAUGGGUCUAUAUUUAUCACUCUUUUGAAAAUUCAUCACCCAUCAAAAUGAUCAAAUUUCAUAAUCUAAGCUUGAAAAUACAUCUUAUCAUUUGCCUUCUCACUCUCAAAAAUUCAAAAUAAAAAAUUCCACAUAAUCAAUACAUUUUGGAUUUUAAUUAUUUUAAUCCAUUCUAUCUUCAUUAUCUAAGUCCAACUUCUACUGUCAGUAAAAGUAAAACUUCAUUUCAGGAAGAGAGGAAUUGAUAAGUUUUAACAAAUAAGUGUAAAUACAUUUUCUAUUUUUAUUUAAUUUAAAAUUUUAUAUAACAUACCAAAAUUUUAAAAUGUUUAUAUUAAAAAUAUAAUGAUUUAAAACUAUUUAAAAAAUGAGAUAUCAAAAAAAUUAUUAUCUUAAAUUUAAAAAAUUAAUGUAAUUUUUUUUUAAAAAAAAACAUAAUAUAAAAAAAAUAUAUUGGAGGAGCAGAAUAAUUGAGAGAGAAGCAACAAAACGUUAAGUACAAAGUGGAGAAAUGCAACUAAUGAAAUUGGAAGUAACAAUGUCGUUUUGCAGGCACAUGAGGGUGGCCCAUUUCUCCCCUCUUUUUAUUUCUUUUCACACGCCAACUUGACUCAGCCCACAAUAAAUCCUUACUUAUCCCUUGUGUAAAUUGGAAGUAACGUUUUUCAAUUAUUUUUAUUUUUACUAAAUUCAUCAAGACAUUUGACAAAAUUUAGAAAUGAUUUUUGAAAUAUUAAAAAAUUACCUAAACUAUUUCCUAAAAAAAUUUAAUCAGUAAUUAUCCUAAAAAUAUUUUCAAAAACCAUUUUUAUUAAAGUAUUUCGAAUAAAAAGGUUGUCGAUCACAUGUAAAUUAAUAUUUAGAAGCCUUAUAAUAGAUGGUGUUGAAAUUUUCUCUCUUUUAAAAUUGACGUAUAAGAAUAAGAAAGUAUGACUGAAAGAAGAGAUUAGCUAAGUGACAUCAAGAAGCAUAACUCUUAGAAUAUCUUAAUUUUUUCGGCAAAAAAGCAAUUGAAUAUGAUAUAAUAUUGGUAGAAAUUAAUCAACCUUACUUGCCUAUUCAAGAAGUCAACUAUAUAUCAUUUAAAAAAUUAUCGCUCCCUUUGUAUUUAACAUGCUUAAACAUUAUAAAAAAUUAUCAAUUUAUUUAGAAAAUAUCAAUGCAUACAAGUGAACACUAAAUUGUUAUUAUAUAUUACUUCAAAGUCGUUUAAUUUAUUUUAAUUUUUAUAUAAAGAUUAAUUAAUUUGAAAACACGUAAAUUUCUAACCAAUCUUCUUUAUAUUUUACCUUCCUCACUAUUUUUUACUUUCCUAAUUUGGGGAAAGCCUUUUCUUAAAAAAUUUGGUUUUCCAAAUUUCAAAUUGAACCCACUUCAUUUGGGCAACAUUAAGUUAAUUGAUCCUAAUCAAUGCCAAAUACUAUGAAUCUAAAGUUCAAAUCAUAGCAACAUAGAGAGGGAGUUCAAUUUCAAUACAAAAUACAAAAAGUGUAAAACUAGAUAUUAAUAUUAAGACAUCAUACUAAUUAAACAAGUUUCAUUUUUGUCAAAAAAAAUAUAUCUAGUUCCCAAAAAUAUCAAGGAAAAAAAUAUAAAAAAUAUUUUUCUUCAUAUUUGGUUUUACUAUGAUAAAUUCGAGAUAAAAUCAAAUAUAAGAAAUUUUAAAUAUUUUAAAUUAUUUAAUCUUUAUAUAAAAAUAAAGUUAAAAUAAGUGAAAUGACUUCAAAAUAAUAUAUAAAAAAUAAAAUUAAUUUAUUAGUUUUAAUCCUAUUUUUUAUUUUCAUUGGUUUUUUGUCUUUCGAUUUUUUUCUUCUUUAUUUUCUUUUUCUCAUAUUUUUCCUCAUUCAAACAUACCAAAAAAAAAAAUUGUUUUAACUUUCAUUCAAAUUCAAAGUCUUAAUAAUACUUUCACAUUUAUUUUUAUUCAAAUUAGAAGAAAAUACAAAUAUUUGGAAUGCCUUUGAAAUAGUUUCCUAUUUUUCACUUUAACUAAAAGUUAAAAUUGAAUCAAAAUCAUAAUUUUUAAAAGAUAAUAUAUGAAAGAGUUCUUAGCAUAAAUCAAAAUAAAGUUUUUACAAGGAACAACAAUUUUUUUAAUUUCUAUAUUAAAUUUCUUGUUAAGUGGUCAUAAGUUUUUUAAACGAAAAUAGUAAAAAAAAAAAAAAAACAUAUGAUUGAUACCAAGAUAAAUUAUGAAUCCUUUAAAGUGAUCCACUACACUUUUUUGGGGUGGAAAUUCAGUCAUUAAUACAUGUACUUGAUCUGGGGGUGCCCUACAAUUCAAGUCAAUGAAUUUGGACAAAUCAAAUCAAUUUUUUUCCCAAUUGAUACCAAGGAAUAUCCAUAUGAUUCAAACAAUAUUUAUAUUGUUUGUUUGGAUUUUGCCUAAAGUAUUCAUGAAUGUGUCCAAAUAAUAUGCUUAUCAAUGGCACUACUAAUUUUUGCUUCCCCCUUUUCUUUUUUUUUUCAUUUUUUGUUUGUUUUGAAUUGGUACUUCCUUUCUCAUUCAUUCUACAUUCUUUUUUUAAAAAACAUUUGUCUCUUUUGCAUACAUCCUAAAAAGCCCAAAGUGUCUUUUUUUUAUUUAUUAUUAUUAUUAUUAUUUUUUAAAAAAGAACUUAAUAAAAUCUUUCGCUUCUAUAUAUCUUAAAAUGAAAAUAAAAAAUAAAAUUUUAUUAUUAAAGUUUUAUUUUGAUUUAUAGAUAAAGUUAUUUCAUAUUUUAUAAAUCUCUUCCUAUAUUCAUUUUGUUCUUUGCAAAUUAUAAUUUCACUCACUUCAACUUUGAAAUAAAAUCAAAAUAAAAAUAAAAAAUUAUAGCAAAUUAUGUUUAAUUUAAUCCGCUUUUCAAUUGGAAAAUACUAAUAGUGCAACCCAUAUCUGUCUAAACUUAGUGCAUAUAAUAUUACUUUUCAAUGGACUUGAAAACUAUUUAAAAACCGACAACUCCAAAGUCAAUUAUCUCAAUUAUGGAGUGUCAUGGUUCCAAAAGAUAAAAGCAAGUGUGAAGAUCCUUAAAAUGUUUUUGAGUGUAAUGGUGUUUCCAAAAGAUAUAAGCAAAAAUGAAAAUAUCGGAAUCACGGAUAUAUCAAUAUUUCGAUUUUACGAAUAUGUCAGAUAUAUCGGAGAUAUAUUGGUAAAUAUUUUGACAUAAAAUAUCGAUAGACCUAAAAUUAACCAAAAUUUAUAAAAAUAUAAAAUAAAACUUUUAGAAAUGAAAUUAAAAGUACAAUAGACAUUUUAAAAUUAUUUUGUUAAAUAAAUUAAUGUGUGUAUAUAUAUAUAUAUAUACGUGUCAACAAAAAAUAUAAAUUUGAUAAGUGUAUAUUGAUUAUUAAAUUAUAUCAAAUAUUAUUUGAUGAUUAUAUUGUGAUAUUUGAUUAUAAUAUAUUUCGGUGGAUAUUUUGACACAAAAUGUCUGUAAACCUAAAAUUGAUCAAAACUUACAAAAAUAUAAAAUAAAACUCUUAGAAAUGAAAUUAAAAGCAUAAUAAACAUUUUAAAGUUAUUUUUUUUUAAUAAAUUGAUAUAUAUAUAAUAUUGUACAUGUUAAUAAAAAAUAUAAAUUUGAUAAGUGUACAUUGAUUAUUAAAUUAUAUAAAAUAAUAUUUGAUGAUAAUAUUGUGAUGUAUGAUUAUAAUAUGUUUAAUUUUAAAAUCUAUUUAAUAUUAAAAUUAUGAUAUAUUAUAAAAUAAAUGAUGAUAAAUGUAUAAAUUUUUAAUAUAUUAAUAAUAUUAAAAAUACUCUGAAUAAAAUUAUGUUAUAUUUUUACUAAUCAAUUAAAUGAAAAAAUUUCAUUCAAUUAUAAAAUAGUGAUAAUUAAUUGUUAUUUAAAGUGUUUUUUUUUUAAUAUUUUAUUUAUAUCCGAACUUUCGAUAUAUAUUUCUUUAGUGCAUAUUAUAUAUCAAAGGGCAAGUUUGCUCUAGUGGAGCUAGGAGUUGGGGAUGCAUGUUGAACCUUCGAAUCCCCCAACAGCAACAAAAAAAAAAAAAACUCAAUUUUGAGCUUUGACCGCGUUGACCGCCCACGUUGACCAAUCGUUGACCACCGAUAAAUCCAUGCUAUAUAUCGUUUCACCACCCGCCGACACACCGAUAUUUCAACGAUAUUUUCUUCCCUAGAUAUAAGCAAGUAUGAUUUUCCUUAAAAUGUUUUUCACAUUUUUUUUGACAUAAUUAUUUAAGUUGCCUACCAAUAAAUCUUUUUCUGAUUUUUGUAUGAAUUGAAUAUUAUUAUUUUUCUAAAAUAAGAAGUAUGUUUAAUAAUUAAUUUUUCUAAGUAAUAAUAAUGACCAACAACCUUUUAGACCUAGUUUUUCAAUCAACUUAUUUAUUUCCUAGGUAUAAAACAUGGAGAAGUAAAAUACAUGUAUUGAUGGAUCAAUUAGAGGGAGGGUUAAACCUACUAAGACACUACCCACCUCACUGGAGAAUGGAAAAUUAAAUGGUUAUAAAUACAUCAUCAUUUCCCUUUUUCCAUAAAAAUGUUGCUCCAUGUCCUCUUAUCAAUUUCACUUCAAUUAUCCUCAAAAAAAUCACUUCACAACUUCAAAGAUUUGUUAGUAAAAUUGUAAAAGUACUAACAUGUCACUUGAGUAAAAAAGACAUGAUUACUAUGCAAAAAAUGAAACAUAUGCCAUAUUUAUCAUCUAAAUUAUGUACUUUUUGAAUAGUAAUUACAUGUUACACUAGGUAGAAUCAUGUUAACAUAUUAAAUGGAUUAGAAUCGUGUUAUCUUGUUUAAUGAAUGUUAAUAGGUUUAAUAGGUUAGAAUCAAAUUAAUGGGGGUUACCUAUAUCAAUUCAUAUAGAGGUCAACUUAACCUAUUUAUUAAAUUAGUUAUGUCUAUAUCAAGUCAUUUUAACAUGAUGUUUAAACAAAUCAUAUUCCAAUUAAGUAAACUUUCACUAGUUUUUAUCUUGACACAAUACAAAUCCAACAUAAUAUGACCCAUUGUCACCCUAGUUAAGGAGCAUAAGAGUGUUGCAUCAAGGAAGUGGAAGAAGAGCAUAGUGAUAUAAAACUUUAGGGAGUGGAAGCAUUUAAUCAAGUAAAGUUGUGUAACUUUUAUUUUCAUAAGUAGUGAAUUAUUCAAUUGUCAAGAGACCAACCAUAGUUUUUUUUUUUUAUACCUAGGGAUUUCUAGGUGCUUUCCACAUAAAAUUCUAUGUUGAAAUGUGUAAUUGGAAAUCUCAUGCAUGAGAUUGAUAAGAUAUUGAUGAUAAUUGAGUUGGAAUAAAACAAUUUAACUUUGAGGGGUUAAUUGCUUGGACUACCUAUUUACCCCUCCUUCAAGAAGUUCCAUAUAAGGGUCUCCAAUGGGCGGGCCGGGCCAUGGAAAAAUGUUAGGCCCGCGGCCCGGCCUAUGAGUCCGCGGGCUAGCGGGCUGGGGGCGGGCUGGGCCAACGGGCCGGGCUGGGGGCGGGCUGGGCGGGCCGGGCCGCGGGCCGAGCCUUGGGCUUUUUUAAAUAAGCCAAAAUGGCUUUAGAAAGGAAGAGAGAGGGAGGGAUUCGAACCCCUCCCCUCAUGCUUUAAUAUAAAGGCUCUAACCAACUGAGCCACAUUUAUUUUGUGUUAACUAAAUGAGUUAGUUAUAUAUAUAUAAAAUAAAGUAUAUUAUUUUUUUAAAAAAAAUUAACGGCUCCAACGGUCAUGUGACCGUUGGAGCUCCAGCCCAGCUCCCAGCUGCCAUGUGACCGUUGGGCAACGGUCACAUGGCCAAUUUUUUUUUUUUUUUUUUUUCUAAAGCCUUCCUAUAAAUACAUCUUCUCCCUUUUCAUUUUUUCAUCAAAUUCUCUCUAUUUCUCUCACAUUCUACAAUAUUUCAAAUUCUUUUAUUUUUCCCUCAAAUUAUACAAUAUUGUUGGUGGUGCAAAACAAGCAUUGGUGGCUCCAAGAGUUCAAAUUUGCUAGGAAUUUCUGCAUCGGUUCUCUAAUUGAGUAACAUACUUCACUCCUACUACUUUAUUUUUUUGUUACAUUUUUUUUAUAUUUAUUACUUUAUUAUUUUUGGCAUAAUAUUUUAUCAAUAAUUAUAAUAUGACAAGUGCUUCUUCUUCAUCUAGUCCAUGUGAUGAAAUAUCAUCAAACAAAAAAUUUACUUCAAAUAUAUGGAAUUUUUUUGAUAGAGUAGAAAUAAUUUUAGAAAAUAAUAAAAAAGAAAUAAAAGCAAAAUAUAAAAUUUGUAAUAAAUUUCUUACUGGUGGCUCAAAUGCAGGCACAAGUCAUUUAAAAAGACAUCACGAAAAUUGUAAAACUAAAAAUAAUGUAGAUAUUAAAAAUUAUAUGCAAUUAGGUAAAAAUGAAAGUGGAAAUUUAAAAACAUUUUCUUAUGAUGAAUCUAACUGUCGUGAAGAAAUGAUUGAUUAUAUAAUAAGAGCAGAACAACCUUUCAACAUGAUGAAAACUCAUGAUUUUGUAGGAACAAUUCAACGAGGUAUUAAUCCUCAAUUUAAAGGUUGGUCUGGAAAUACAGUUAAAAGAGAUAUUAUGAAAAAAUUUUAUACACAAAAAGAAAUUUAAAUUUUUUUUUUUUGCAAAUUUUGAAGGAAAUAUUUGUUUAACAUCUGAUAUUUGGACAUCUUUAACUCACACUGGUUUUUUAUGUAUAACUGCUCACUACAUUGAUAAUGAAUGAAAAUUAAAUAAAAGAAUAAUUUCAUUUAAAUUAAUAAAUGCUCCACAUAGUGGUAAAAAUAUAGCAUCUUUAAUAAAUGAUGAAAUUAUAGAUUUAGGCAUUCGUGAUAAAAUAUUGACAAUAACAUUAGAUAAUGCUGCUAAUAAUGAUACAACAAUACAUAGACUAAAACGAUAUUGGCAAGUAAAAGAAGAUCAUGCUAAAAUAUUUCAUGUGCGUUGUUGUGCACAUAUUUUAAAUUUAAUUGUAAAGGAUGGAUUAAAAAAUGUUGAUGAUACAUUGGAAAAAAUUAGAGGCAUUGCAUAUAGUAUUAAUAGUUCUCAAGCAAAACAUGAAUUAUUUUUUGAUUGUUGCAAAAUGUUAAAUAUGAAAAGAAAAAAUAUAAAUUUGGAUAUGGCCAUUAGAUGGAAUUCCACAUAUAAACUUUUACAAAAUAUUACAAAAUAUAGAAAAGUAGUCGAAUUAUAUGAAAUAUAAUUACUUAACAAUGAUUGUGAAGCAGAUAUUUAUGCAUUAAGUGAUUAUGAUUGGCAUGUUGCAGAUCUUUUAAGAGAUCUUUUUGAAAUUUUUGAUACUUCAACAAACAUUUUUUGUGGUGUAUAUUAUCCAACUUCAAAUCGAGUUAUUAUGCAAAUAACUAAUAUUUUUAUUGUACUUCAAAAAUAUUUAAGUUUUGAAAUAUUUAAUGAUACAAUAUUUGCAAUGAUAGAAAAAUUUAGAAAAUAUUGGGGGGAAAUACCUUUAAUUUUUUAUAUUGCUUUAAUUGUGGACCCUAGAUUGAAAUUUGAAGCUUUGGAUGAAUGGUUAACAAUUAUUUAUUUUAAUGACCAAAUAAAAAUUGAAGAAAUUAAAAAUGAAAUAAAUUCAUUAUUACAUAAUUUAUAUAACUAUUAUAAAGAAAAAUAUGGUAAUGAUAUUAAUACUAAUAAAUUACCACCUACAUCUACAAACUCCUCAUCUUUUUAUAAAGGAGCUCUAGAAAUGUUGAAAAGUCGAAAAAAGACAACAAAUAGUUCUCCAAAUAAUACAUCUGAUUUAGAUAAAUAUCUUAAUACUGAUAUAAUUCCAUUUGAAGAUCAAGAAGAUUUUGAUAUUUUAAUAUGGUGGAAAUCACAUCAACACAAAUAUCCUGUGCUUUCUAUAAUUGCUCGUGAUGUACUAACAGUUCCUGUGAGUACAGUUGCAUCAGAAGCUGCUUUUAGUGCAGGUGGAAGAGUUAUUAGUAAAAAACGAUGCAACUUAGCGCCAGACGUUAUUGAAGCAGGGAUAUGUGUAAAAGAUUGGGAAAUAGUAGAUAAAAGGAUGUACGAUUCCAUUUGAGAAACAGAGAUGUUUGCCAAUAUGGAAUCUUUAAAACUAUCAAGAUCUUCAUGGAUGCAUGAUAGUUCGCCAUCACCGCCAGAAAAUAAUGACUAAAUGUAUAUUAUAUUUUUAUUUUUAUUUUUUGUGGUUGAAAAAUACAGAUGAUUGACAAAUAAAUAGGUGCCAACCUAGUUGGGAUGUAUUUAUUUUAUAGUGAUGUAAACUUUUCCCACAUUUUUAAAUGUAAUUAUACAUUCAAUGAAUAAAAUUUUGAAAUGAAUAUUUUUUUUAAUACUUUUUAUUUUUGUAUUUUUUUUUUUAAAGGGGCGGGCCUAUGGGCCGAGCCUAAAUUUAGGCCCGCGGCCUGGCCCGGCCCGCCCAUAAACGGGCUCGGGCCUGCGCGGGCCGCGGGCCGCGGGCUUUUUGGAGACCCUUAGUUCCAUAUCAAGAAAAAAAUUAUUUCAACAUAUAUAUAGAUAUUUUAUAUUUUCUAAUUUUAAAUUAAUUUUUAUGUUGGGAAAUUGAAUGAGGGAAUAGUUGGCUCAAUUUUCAAGCUUGGCAACAAAAUUUGUUGUUAACAUGUUAUUUUACCUUAUUUUAUACAUUUUUUUUGGAAUAAAAAUAUAUAAUCAACUACUCUUGUAUGAUUGAUUUAGAUGUUAGAAAAGGUUAUAACCAUUAAUUCUAUUAAUUGACCAACAAUUUUUUAUAAACUUUAAGUUGCUAGCAUUCAUAUAUUAUCCUAAAAUUAUUAAUUAUAAUUUUAUUUAAGUUGAACCACAAAUCUUGGGUAAAUGAUGAAGUAUUUGUUAACAAGAUACUUGUUUAAUUAUAUUGGAAGUUUUUAGUUUGAGGAGUUGUUGUUGAAUUCAAAUUCCUAGAAGCUAGCUUUGAGGACUAGAUAGUUGUCUUGAUUUUUGUUAUAAGUUUGAUUUUUAUAUUGUUUUCAAACAUGAUGUGUAAAAUGUAUUAAUGGUAAUGAUGUUGAAACAUAGCUAAUGCUACUAGAAGAAUGUUGUAUAGAGUGCCUUUGGUGAGUUGGAUCAGGGGGACAAGCUCCAUGACAAGCUCAAUUUAUUACAAAGGAUUCCUUCACAACCUCUCUUUGUAUGUUAUUAAGUCGUAAGUAGAAUUAUUAAAGUUAUAUAAACAAGUGGCAAUCUUGAUACGUCAUAAUGACACCAUUCGAAAAUUAUAUAAAUCUUAGCAGGUCUAAAGGUAUUUGUAAAACACAUUUGUAUUGCCUAAUUAUGGUCUUAUUGGAGAAUGAGUUAUUAUCAAUUUCAUGGAACAAAACUUUCAUUAGUCAAUAUUAGUUGAAGGUGAAAUCUUACUCAUAAAAUUUUUCAUUUAAAUUUAAAAGUUAAAAUUAUAAAGUAGAAAGUUAAAAGAACCAUUGAGCAUAGUUUAAAAUUUGAAUAUAAUGUGUUUAUCAAGCCCAAUAUUUAUUAUUUAUUAUUAAAAAUAUAAUUUCAUAUUUAAGAUAAUUUAGCACAUUUGAACAAUGCUUUGAGAAUAAGAUCGGAGCAUCUAAUUUGACUAAUUGGAUAGCAAAUCAAACUAAUCCAAUCUUAUUUUUCAUAUUUUUUCCACCUUCAAUUCUAUGAUAAAUAUGAACAAAAGUCUUUAUAUGAUUAUAACAAUAUAAACACUAAAAUAAUGAGUUUAACAUUAAAUAACAAAAAUUUUAUUUUAGUCUUCGACAUAUUGUUAUAUAAGUUAUAUAUAUAUAUUUAUAUAUAUGUGUGUGUGUGUGUUAGUAAAAUAAGAAAUAUUAUUAUAUUUAAAAUAUUAAAUAAUAAAAUCACAAUAUUUUGUUAUUAAUAAUAUUUAAUUAAUACAUUCUAAUUAAAUCUAAAAUAAAAACUUUACACAAAUUAGUAUAAAACCAAAUAUGUUCACCAUAAACCAACCCCUGUAAAAAUACUUAAAUAUACAAAAGUCAAAGUAAAUAAAUGAGAAAUAAUGUUAAAAGAUAUAUAUAUAUAUAUAUAUAUAUAUAUAUAUAAAGAAUCAUUGUCUAGUAUUUUAAUUUUUUUUAUAUUUUUAACUCCAUAUAUUAUUUUAAAUUUUAAUAAUAUAUGAAUUAUAUCUGCAUAUUGCCAUGCUGAUAUCAUGUUUCAAUUACUUGAACCAUCAAUUCAAUUAAGAAAGUCUAAUGCAAUAAUUUUCAAUUCAAUAACUAAUUAAUAAGAUUUUCAAAAUAUUGUAUUUGAAAACUCACCACAAAAAAUGAAUAUAAAAGAUCAUGAAAUUCUUGCAAAGAAAACUUACUUCAUGAAAAUAUGGAAACCCCAAACCUUAAUUUCUUCAAUAAUACAAAUCAAAAUUCUUAUGUUUAGGCAUCUUAGGAGAGAACCAAUAAUCUCAUCCACAAAUCAAGCAUAGUCAAUAGUCAAUUCUUAUGUUUAGAAGUAAUAAUCUCAUCCACAAAUCAAGCAUAGUCAAUAGUCAAUUCUUAUGUUUAGAAGUAAUAUAUACAUACAUACAUAUAUACAUAUAUACAUACAUAUAUAUAUAUAUACACACCGUGUAUAGAUGAUGUAUCUUUUGGAAAGUCAUGUAUAUAUUUAAAUGUUGUAAUGUAAAUCUUGCAUAAUAUAGUUUGACCAUUCAUCCAUUCAUUCAUCCAUCUUAUACUCUUGCAAAGAAAAGUAACUUCAUGAAAAUAUGGAAACCUCAAACCUUAAUUUCUUCAAUAAUGCUUAUUAAAAUUUUUGUAGUAAAAAGUUGUGUAAUUGAGGACACUAAUGAUGCAAGGUUAUAACUAGUCACUCCUAACCAGACUUAUUCUUAUACAUAUUCCCAUCUUCAUCUCAAGUCUGGAAGUUUACCUUUCUAUUUUAAGAAAAUUAAUUAUUCUUUUUAUUUUACAUAUAUUGAAAAAGGUAAAAGAAAAAAUAAGAUUGAGCGAUAUGAACCACUAUAAAACUUGAAUCAAUCUCGACAUAUAUGUGAGAAGAUAAUUUAAAAGUGUAUUUAACAGUGUUUAAUUUUGAAGUGUUUUUAAUUUUAAUAAAAGUAUUUUUUUAGAAGUGAUUUUGAGAUAAUUACCUAUUAAAAGUGCGUUUGAUAAUGAUUUUAAAAUAGUGUUUUUAGUUUUUUAAUACUUGAAAAAUAAAAAUUUUCAAGUGUUAGAAAGAAUAAAAAUAUUUUUUAAAAUUAUUGUUAGACGCACUUUAAAACCCCGUUUAGUAGUGAUUUUAGGAAGUGUUUUUAAACUUUUUAACACUUUAAAAUUUGUAUUAUUUAAGUGUUAGAAAUGCUAGAAACGUUUUCUAAAAUCAUCAUAAAAUGUAUUCUAAGAGUGUGUGUGAUAGUGAUUCUUGGAAACGUUUUUAACAUUUUUAAUACUUAAAUGAUAAUAAUUUUCAAAUGUUAAAAGGUUAUAAACACUUCUUAGAAUCACUACCAAAUAGGUUUUAAGUGUUUUUUCAAAAAACACCACAAAUGAUUUUUUUUAUUUGUUUAAAAGUGUCUUCUAAAUUUUAUUAAAUACUUUAUUUAGAAAAAAAAAUUAAGCUAGAAGUGCUUUUUAAAAACACUAUUAAAUGGACCAUAAAUCUUAAAAUAAAAUCCCAAAUCACCCCUUGAUUUAAUUAUAAGUAAUUUUAAGAGAAUCAUUUAUUAAAUAUUUAUUUCAAAAAGCACCACAAAUGAUUUUUUAUUUGUUUAAAACUAUUUACUAAAUUUUAUUAAAUACUUAUUUUUGUUCAAAAAUAUUUUUUAAGGAAGAAGUGUUUUUUUAAAAAUAAUAUCAAAUGGACGUGUAAAUCUUAAAAUAAAAUCCCUUGAUUUAAUUAUACUUUUCAAAUCCAUCCAUAAGCCUAGGCAUCCUUGAAAUACCCACCCCUGUUAUAAUACAAAAGCAAACCACCACUAAGGAUAUUUAAACAACAUUUUAAAGACAAUCGGAACCUAUCAAUGAGACUUUGUCUCAUAAUACAAAUUUCGUUAUGUUCACAUGAAGAAAGGGACAAAUAAUACAUAAAAACUAAAAAUCAUAUUGUGGACCCCGUAUUUCGGCUCAAUGCGUUUUUCACUCGAUGGCGAACUCGAUUUUAAUUUGAAAAAUGAUUUUUAUUGAUUAAGAAAAUGACUUGGAGUCGCCACUUAUUUUUGUUUUAUUUUUAAAGGGGUAAACAAAAUAAGAAAGAAAACCCUAAGUGUGACUCCUUAUUUUAGAAAAGGCGGUCUGUGAAAAACCGGAUCGGGCUCGGGGGUCAGGUUACUUAUCGGGAAGGUACGGUACGAACCGUAGCACCCCUCUAAGUCCCUAAAGUCGGGUCUCUACUAAUAAAGUGAAGCUGAUGUGGCAUAACAAUUGAUUAAUUAAGCAUGGAUACCAAACAAUGAUCAAAUGUGUGAAAGUGAGAGAUGAUCAAUAAACACAAUCGGGGUACGGGACGUACCUUAGUCGUAAGCUGAGCGCUAUCAUAAGAGACAAGGUUAGUGCACAAAUACAAAAUAAUCGCAUGCAGAUCAUAGAGUGAGGCAAGCUAAUCAAGUAUGACAAUCAAGCAAUCAAUGAGAAAAUCACAUAUGUUGGGUCCCACCAAAACCCAAUUGAUCCUGCCUGAAUUAAUCUCACGAAUCCCAUUAUUUCGGAAUCAUGAAGAUUCAUCACUCUUGCUUGUGUAAAAAUCAAAAGAAAUAAAACAUUAUUUAAGAAUCGAAGUGGAAUUAAAACUGUUCGAGAGAAAAACUGGGUUUUUGAGAUUUAGUUGGAAAUUGGAGUCUCGAAAAUUAUUUGAAGAUUGGAGUCUUGAUAACUAAAUUUAAGAAUUGGAAUUUCGGAUAUUAAAUUUGAAAGAAAUUAGAAUUUUGGAAAUCGGAAAUUAAGUUCAGGAAUUGGAAUUUUGAAGAAUUGUUUAAAAUGGGAUUUCAAAAUAAAAUACUAAAAUAAUAAUAAUUAAAUAGAUUCAUGUGAGUACUGGAAUUUUGGAAUUAGAAAUUAAAUCGGAAGUCAAAAAUUUUAAUGAAUUAUUUAAAAUGGAAUUUUAAAGUAAAUAAAUAAAAUUAUAACUAAAUAGAUUAAUGCGAAUUUUGGAAUUUUCAGGAAUUAGAAAUUAAAAUCGGGAGUCGGAAAUUUUAAUAAAUUGUUUAAAAUGGAAUUUUAAAGUAAAUAAAUAAAAUAAUAAUUAAAUAGAUUAAUGUGAAUUUUGGAAUUUUCAGGAAUUAGAAAUUAAAAUCGGGAGUCGGAAAUUUUAAUGAAUUGUUUAAAAUGGAAUUUUAAAGUAAAUAAAUAAAAUAAUAAUUAAAUAGAUUAAUAUGAAUGUUGGAAUUUUGGAAUUAGAAAUUAAAACGGAAGUCGGAAAUUUUAAUGAAUUUAUUUAAAAUGGAAUUUUAAAGUAAAUAAAUAAAAUUAUAAUUAAAUAGAUUAAUGUGAAUGUUGGAAUUUUGGAAUUAGAAAUUAAAACGGAAGUCGAAAAUUUUAAUGAAUUUAUUUAAAAUGGAAUUUUAAAGUAAAUAAAUAAAAUUAUAACUAAAUAGAUUAAUGUGAAUUUUGGAAUUUUCAGGAAUUAGAAAUUAAAAUCGGAAUUUUGAGAAGUUAUUUAAAAGUCGAGUUUUUAUUUUUCUUAUUUUUUAUUUUUCUUUAUAUAUAAACAAAUAAGUAAAUAAAUUAAAAUGAUUAUAAUUAAAUAAAUUGAGGUGAGAAUUAAAGUUUCGGAAAUUGGAGUUUUGAGAUUAUUUGAAGAUUGUAUAUAUUGUGAGUAGGAUUGGGGAGUUGGAAUUUAGAAAAUUUAUUGAGGAAUUAGUGCUUUUUAGAAAUGUAAAUUAUAUAUAUAUAAAAGGCAAAUGGGUUAACUUAAAGUGGGUGGGCUUGAAAUAGGCAUGGGCCAAGGUAAAGUGGGUGGACAGAAGCUUGGACUUGGGCUUCAGCUUUAGCCCAUGUCCACUAGCAUGAAGCCCAAGCUUUUAAUCUUUAACAAAAUUUGCCUUCACGCCUGGGUGCCACCUUCCAUCUAGGAACCUCCAUCAUGGACGCCGCAGUUGCCGGAGUUGGGACUGUCCCCGACGUCGGCGACAUGGAGGCCUUCGUCGUGAGUGCGGGUGACGACACGGAAGACGCUGCACUCGCCGUCCGCGAGGAGGGCGCCAUCAGCGCUGGCGUCGCGGGGGCCACGCGUGGCUGUCAUUGGCGCAUUCUGCUGGGAGCUCCGUCAUUUGAGUAGCCUUCACGACCAGCAUUCAUCCCCAGCCCAACUAUCUUGGCUUCCAAGUCCAGUUUUUUAUGCAUGGUGAUUGGUAGGCAUGAAAUGGGUGGAGAGUUUGGAGGGAAAAUGGGUAAAGAUGAUGCAAACAAGAAAAACACUACUACAAGUGUCAAAAGAAAACAGAGCCCAACAGAUCUCAAUAAUAAAAAAAGCCAAAGAAAAGAGAACGAACAUGUUAGGACCCUUUCAAAGCAACCUAAAAAAAAAGGAAAACAUUCAGAAUAGUCGUACGACCCUCUACCCAUUCACAGUCAACCUAAUGCCCGGAAAUGAUCAAUAGAAAACUGAAGAAAAUAACGAAUAGAGGGAAACGAGAUGGUUGCCGCGUUCAUACCUGGAUUUCUCCCGUAAGCCAAAAAAAUGGUUUCCCCCUUCCUUUCUUCUCUAGCUCCGGCAGCUUGCCUUCCCGCCCAAGCUCUCUAAAACUCCCUCCAGAUCCCCUCUCUCAUGGAUCUUCUCUUUUCUUCUUUGCCUUUUUCCCCAGAUCCGGAAAUCUAGCACCUGCUCCCCUGUUCCCUGCUCCCUACAGCCGCCUAAGGAUAGUUCCUUCUCCCUCCUUCCACUUCCAGCCGUCCUCGGGUGGAUAAAGAAAGCAGAAAAGAAGAAGAAAAAAAAUGAAUAAAAAUAAAAACCGGCCCAUGCCCCUAGCUGAGGGGGUCUACACAUAUACAAUAGAAAGCUUGGAAUCAAGAGGGAAGAGAGUAGGAAGUUACGAAGUGGUGGAGCCUUGGUAAAAUAAAAUUAACAACGGCAUUAUCAUGUGCGGGUCUCAGCGCUGGAUGGACCGAAUUUUGCUUCUCCCAAAACUCUUUCAAUAUUAUAAUUAGAGCCCGCUUGAUGCUUAGAAAAAUACAUUUGCAAGUGAUCUCCAUCUGUCAAUCAAUUAAUCUAUACAAUAUUAAAAAUUCACUUCUUGUUGAUUUAGGAAAAUCACUUUGUUGGGGGUGGCCUGUCUCCGAUGUUACUCAAGUUUCAACUCUGGACUUUUCAAAUUAACAAAGUGCAGUGAUUCAUCUUUCUUCUUUGUUCCAUUUUUGGCUGAAUUGUAAUCCUUUUGUCUGUAACUUACGGAAAGCUAUGGAGUUUCUGAGCUCAAUCGUGGGUCUGGUCCCCUGCUUCUAUGAUCACACCUCCAAGCAUACGGUCUACAUUCGUGAUCUGAGAAAAAAUAUCGAAGCCUUGAUGAAAGAAAUGGUGGUUCUGAACAACUUGUAUGAAGAUGUGAAGGCAAGGGUUGAACGUGCAGAGCAACAACAGAUGAAGCGCAGAAAGGAAGUGGGUGGGUGGAUCCGUGAAGUAGAAGACAUGGAGAAAGAAGUUCACGAAAUUCUGCAAAGAGGAGAUCAAGAAAUCCAGAAGAGUUGUCUCGGAUGCUGUCCCAGGAAUUGUUGGUCUAGCUACAGGAUUGGAAAGGCGGCAAGUGAAAAGCUGGUUGCUGUAUCUGGUCAAAUCGGCAAAGGACAUUUCGAUGUUGGUGCCGAGAUGUUGCCUCGUCCUCCAGUUGAUGAACUGCCCAUGGAGGCGACUGUGGGCCCACAAUUGGCGUAUGAAAAGAGCUGUAGGUUUCUCAAAGAUCCACAAGUGGGAAUUAUGGGAUUGUAUGGAAUGGGGGGUGUUGGCAAAACCACCCUCUUGAAGAAAAUCAACAAUGAAUUCCUCACAACAUCCAAUGACUUUGAGGUUGUGACUUGGGCUGUGGUGUCAAAAUCGCCCGACAUUGAAAAAAUUCAACAAGUUAUUUGGAAUAAAUUGGAAAUCCCACGUGAUAAAUGGGAAACUAGAAGCAGUAGGGAGGAGAAGGCUGCAGAAAUAUUGAGAGUUUUGAAAAGAAAAAGGUUCAUCAUGUUGUUGGAUGACAUUUGGGAGGGACUUGAUCUCCUAGAAAUGGGGGUCCCGCGUCCAGAUACUGAAAAUAAGUCCAAGAUAGUUUUGACGACCCGUUCACUGGAUGUCUGCCGCCAAAUGAAAGCUCAGAAGAGUAUAGAAGUGGAAUGUUGGGAGUCAGAAGAUGCCUGGACUUUGUUCCAGAGGGAGGUAGGAGAAGAAAUAUUAAAAUCUCAUCCGCAUAUACUGAUGCUUGCAAAGGAUGUUGCUGAAGAGUGCAAAGGUUUACCUCUCGCUCUUGUCACUCUUGGGCGGGCCAUGGCGGCUGAGAAAGAUCCCUCAAACUGGGACAAGGUAAUACAAGAUCUACGCAAAUCUCCAGCUGAAAUCACAGGUAUGGAAGAUAAAUUGUUUCAUCGAUUGAAACUCAGUUAUGAUAGGUUGCCUGACAAUGCCAGCAAAUCUUGUUUUAUAUAUCAUUCCAUGUUCCGAGAGGACUGGGAGGUUUUUAAUAUUCUUCUUGUAGAACUUUGGAUAGGGGAGGGGUUCUUGGGUGAAGUUCAUGACAUACAUGAAGCACGCGAUCAAGGGGGGAAAAUUAUUAAAACUUUAAAGCAUGCAUGUUUAUUGGAGAGUAGUGGUUCAAAAGAAGGAAGGGUUAAGAUGCACGAUGUGAUCCGGGACAUGGCUUUGUGGUUAUAUGGUGAACAUGGGGUGAAAAAGAACAAAAUUCUAGUAUACAAUAAAGUUGCCAGGCUUGAUGAAGAUCAAGAAACUUCCAAAUUGAGAGAAACAGAGAAGAUAUCAUUAUGGGAUAUGGAUGUUGGGAAGUUCCCAGAAACAUUGGUGUGCCCCAAUCUUAAGACUUUAUUUGUGAAAAAAUGUCAUAAUUUGAAGAAAUUUCCAAGUGGAUUCUUUCAAUUCAUGCUUCUACUAAGAGUUCUGGAUUUGUCAGACAAUGAUAAUUUAAGCGAGUUGCCUACUGGGAUUGGUAAAUUGGGUGCCUUGAGAUAUCUUAAUCUGUCACACACAAGAAUAAGGGAGUUGCCCAUUGAACUAAAGAAUUUGAAAAAUCUGAUGAUUUUGAUUAUGGAUGGUAUGAAAUCCCUUGAAAUUAUUCCACAAGAUAUGAUAUCAAGCCUUAUAUCCUUGAAGUUGUUCUCCAUUUACGAAUCCAAUAUUACAAGUGGAGUUGAAGAAACUGUACUGGAGGAGUUGGAGUCCUUGAAUGACAUCAGUGAGAUAUCAAUCACCAUAUGCAAUGCUCUUUCAUUCAACAAACUAAAGAGUAGUCAUAAAUUACAAAGGUGCAUACGUCAUCUACAUUUACAUAAAGGGGGGGAUGUGAUCUCACUUGACCUAUCAUCUUCAUUUUUUAAAAGAACGGAGCAUUUGAAGCAGCUUUAUAUAAGCCAUUGCAAUAAAUUGAAAGAAGUGAAAAUUAAUGUGGAAAGACAAGGGAUACACAAUGAUUUGACUCUUCCAAACAAAAUUGCAGCAAGGGAGGAAUACUUCCACACCCUUCGUGCUGUGUUUGUAGAACAUUGUUCAAAAUUGUUAGACUUAACAUGGCUUGUUUAUGCUCCAUAUCUUGAAAGACUUUACGUUGAAGAUUGUGAAUUGAUAGAAGAAGUGAUACGUGAUGAUAGUGAAGUCUGUGAAAUUAAGGAAAAAUUGGACAUAUUCUCAAGGCUCAAGUCCCUCAAGCUCAAUAGGUUGCCAAGAUUGAAGAGCAUCUACCAGCAUCCACUACUCUUUCCCUCUCUUGAAAUCAUCAAGGUGUAUGAAUGCAAAGGCUUAAGGAGUCUCCCGUUUGAUUCCAACACUUCAAAUAAUAGUCUGAAGAAAAUUAAAGGAGAGACAAGUUGGUGGAAUCAGUUGAAGUGGAACAAUGAAACUUGCAAGCACUCUUUUACUCCGUAUUUCCAAAUCCAUGAAGCUGAAGCAUAUUCAACUGACACUGAGGAGUCUGAAACUGGCAGCAUAGAUGAUGUGCAAGAACAACCGGUAUCAAAUUAACUUCUAUCAAUCUUUCAGGUAUUAAUUAACUUUUAUACUAUAUUUGGAAAAUCAUUUUCUUUCCUUAAUCCCAUUCUUUUGUGGAAUUUUUUACUCUAUAUAUCUAUGCCAAAGUGCAUCAAAGUCUCAACAUCAUAAUAACUUUCAAUGUUUGAUCUAUCAAGUUUGCCCCCUUUUGAAGUAACUGUUAUAAAGUUUGCCCAGAAGGGACUUUGAAGGAGGUCUUUUAUUUAAACAUCUAAUGACAUUUCCUUUUGGUUACUUGAGAACUUGAAAAUGUGCAGAGUUCUCAACUAUAUUGUUUAUUGUGUCUUAAUUUUUUCGGUUCAUUUCAAUCUAUAAACAGAAAGAGAGAAUACCUAAUUUCAACUUAAUUCCUUAUAUUUCAAGUUGAAACAACAGGUGUUUCACAACAACUGUAGGUAAAGAUAUUCCAUUAAGAAUUCUCGCUUUGUUUAAUGUAUUUACCAGGACCAACUAUAUGUAAUUUCUCUUCUUUUGUUGAGUUGCCUCUAUCUGGUUGACUCUCAGUUGUUCUUUUUUUUCUUUUCUUUUUUCUAUUGCAUUCAGAGUUGGGGCUUGUUCUAGAAGUUCUGACAACAGCUGGGAUUCAAUUAGCUCUAUCUAGUGGAGCCUUGAGGUUUUUGGUUGGAUGCAGAGCAGGGUCUUGUUCUACCCCUUCUUACUCAGUUGGGAUCUGAGCUUCAUCGGCUGCUUCCGUUGUCCUGCUCUUUUUCCUUCUAAUUGGUAUAGACGUGAGCUGGAUUAUGUUUGCUUGCUGGUCUGAGUUUCUGAUAUGUUUUGUGGCGGUGUGCUGAUUCUCAGAGUAUCGUUAUUCAUGGUGCUCAGUCUGCUGGGAAAGUUGGUUAAUGUCCAGAUGCAGGGGCUCAUCUCGGCAGGCUUUGGCUGGGAUCCAUGUGUUUGCUGGAAUUGGAUUCUGUGGGUUGCCUUUGGCUUUUGAUGUAGGCUGGGUUUGUUUUCUUUGUUGAGGUCAGUGGAGUAUGGUGGCUCAGAAGCUGCUAGUAAUCUGCCUGUUGUAUGCCGACGCUGGAAUCUUCAUGGUGGUUGCUCUGGUGGGUCAAUAUGAUAUGGGAAUGCUUUUGCCUUUUUGAGUCCUUGGGCGUCAGCUGGUUGCUUGUGUUUCCUCUGCACUUUAGCUCAUAUACCAGAGUGCAUACUUCCUUGAGUUCCAUAUCCCACUGCCAAGUGUGUUGUCCAUGAUGUAAUGUAAAGCAGUUAAUUUGUAUACCUGGCCUUAAGUUCCUCUCUAGAAAACUUUGAACGCCCUUUAUGAAUGAAAUGUUGUGAGAAAAACUGGAGUUGAUUUUCACAUUUGAGGUCGUUAAUGGUGAUUUUUCUUAAUGUAAUUGUGAUGGAAAAGAAAUUUGAUCAAGGAGUCGAAAUCAUAAGCAGAGUCGAUCUUAUUCAACAUUGCAUUAUAAUUUGGUACCCCUCACAGAUCGCUCUAAAUAGCAUUGAAAAGUACUUUCAUUUUCCUUCAGUGGAGGCUUCUUUUUCUUUGCUGGUUAAUAUUCAUAGCUUCAGUGCUUGAUGAAAUUUCAUUACUUUACAUUGUUCACUCUUGUCCCUCCUGCUCUAAUAAGAAUGAUUUGUUCAAGGAAUUUGAAAAUACUUGAACAAAAAAAGAAAAGAAUAGGAGAGAAAGGAAAAGAAAUUCAGAAAGCAAACACUUGGUAGUUUCCAUUUCAAUUAACCGAUCUUUGAAACUAAGAUGUAAUUCUUGGUACAAUAAAAGAAGACAUGCAACAUCUUAAGAAGAUUCAUCUAAUGGAACACACCAUCCUAUGAUAGGAAACUGAGACUAAACAGUAAUUUUUGGUAGAAUAGAUAUCGCAUGCCAAAAAGAAUGUUUUGUAGCUUUGGAUGCUUCAAAAUUCUUGUACGUAUAGCCCACAGACCUUUCGAGAUCAUACUUGUUUCUUUAGGCCUGUUUGAACAUACGGCUCUCGCGGAAGAUCUUACAAGUUUAAGAGUUCAUAUUGUCCAUGAAAUCACAGGAAAAGAAAAGGAUGUAUAAUCAAGUUCAUGAAAAAUAAAGAGAUGGCUUAUUAAAUUUCACAAGUAUGGGACAUCUAAAACACUUUGAGUUUCCAUUUAUGGGGCAAUUCCCAUCAAGUCCAAUGAUUGACCACCAAUGACUCGAAAAUCGAAACAUAGAAUGUGUUGCAUAUAAUUGAUGUUGCCUAAUUCUAAUAUUUCUCAUUUAUAUUAAUUUAUUCUCAUUCCUAUCCUAAUAAAAUUUUUUAAAUAAAAUAGGAUGGAUAUGAGAAUUUCUCAUACCCGUCUUAUACCAUUUAUUUAUUAAUUUUUAGUUUUUAAAAAAUUGAAAAUAAAUAUAUUUUAUAAAUAAAUAAAUAUUAACCUUGCAUGGUGCCCGCCCGCGAGCCAAGCCAAGGUGGCACGGGGCCUUGCUUGGUGCCCGCCCGCGAGCCAAGCCUAGGUGGCACGGGGCCUAUAAAUUUUGUAACUUAUUUUAUUUAAAAAUAUAUUUAUAAAAUUAUUUUAUAUGUUAAAAAAAGAAGAAUAUGAAAAACCAUAAAUUAAAUUAUUUUUAAAUUUAAUUAUAUGGGUUGGAAAGUGGUGGGUUAGGAGCCUAGGACAAGGCAUAUCUUGAACCUUGCCCCUAACCAACCCUAGUUUUUUUUUUUUAAAAAAAAAAAAAAAAAAUUCUUGAACUUGUAUAUGAUCUAUUUAUCUUCAUUUAAAUCUAUCUUAUUAAAGAUGAGUAUAGGAAAAAACCUGUCUCAUUGUCAUGUUAAUCAUAAAUUAUUUUAAUUUAAAUUUAGACACCAACAAAUAUUUAAAUUAAAUUAAAAAUGCUUAUGCAAUCAAGGGCUUUUUAGUUGCAGAAAAAUUGUGUACCUUCCUUGACAUUCUAGAUCCAGUUCUUGCUGGUUUUGGAGGAUCCAUUUGAGGAACAAUUUAAAUUUAUUCACAAAUACAAUUAUUCAAAAAGGCAUCAUGUUGAACACAAGCAAAAUAAGUAAAAAUAUUAAUAGAAAUGGAUGGAAGCAGAGUGCCUUUGGUGAGGUGGAUCACUAGCAAGCUCCAUUAACUACCAAGGAUUGCUUCACAACCUCUUAGUAUAUUAUUAAGUCAAAAGUAAAAUUAUUAAAGUUGAAUAAAUAGGUGGCAAUUUUGAUAAGCCAGAAUAACACCAUUCGAAAAUUAUAUGAAUUUUAGUAGGUUUGAAUAAGGUGUAAUCAUAUCCGUAUAAUAAUUAUGUCAACUCAUUUGCUAAAUGGACUGUAUUGGAACUUGAUUACUCGACUUAUCUAACUCACUUAACUUGUUUAAAUACAUGUAUGAGAUGUAUUUGCAUUGUCUAAUUAUAGUUCCUAUUGGAGAAUCAACUACUAUCAAUUUCACAGGAUGAAAUUAUAAUUAGUCAAUAUUACUUGAAAGUGAAAUCUCUUAUUCAAAAAUAUCUCAUUAAAUUUGAAAAGCUAAAAUUAUCAAGUAGAAGGUUAAAGGAACCAUUGAGCAUAUUUUAAAAUUCGAAUAUAAUGUAUUUAUUGUUGUAAUUCAAGCCUAAUAUUUAUUAUUUAUUAUUAAAAAUAUAAUUUUAUGUCUAAUUUUUAUAUUUAAGAUAAUUUAGCACAUUUGAACAAUAUUUUGAGAAUAAGAUUGAAGCAUCUAAUUUGACUAAUUGGAUAACAGAUUGGACUAAUCUGAUCUUAUUUUUCAUAUUUAUCCACCUUCCAUUCUGGGAUAAACAUGAACAAAAGUCUUCAUACGAUUAUAACAAUAUAACAAAAUAAUGAGUAUAAUAUUAAAUCUAAAAUAAAAACUUUACACAAAUUGGUAUAAAACCAAGUAUGAUAAUCCUAAACCAACCCCCGUAGAAAAAGACUUAAAUAUAUAAAAGACUACUAAAUAAAUGAGAAAUGAUGUAACAAGAUAUAUAUUAAAAAUAAUAAUAUUUUAAUAUUUUAAUUAUUUUUAUAAUUUUAACUUGUUAUAUUAUUUUAAAUUUGAACAAUAUAUGAACUAGAUAUCCAUGUUGUCAUGCCGAUAUCAUGUUUCAAUCACUUGAAUCAUCAAUUCAAUCAAGAAAUUGUAAUGCAAUAAUUUACCAACUCAAUGACUAAUAAGAUUUUGAGAACAUUGUAUUUGAAAGCUCAUAUGCAUAAAAUGAAUAUAAAAGAUUAUGAACUCUUGCAAAAAAUGAUGUUAUGGAAACCCAAACCUUAAUUUCUUCAAUAAUGCUUAUAAAAAAUCUAAGGUUGUGUAAUUGAGAAUGCUAAUGACCCAAGGUUAGAACCGGUUGCUCCUAACCAGACUUGUUCUUAUUUUUUAAACAUAUUCCCAUCUUCAUCUCAAAUCUAUAGGAAUUUACUUUCCUAUUUUAAGAAAAUUAAUUUUUAUUUUUAUUUUACAUAUAUUGAAAAAGGCAAAAGAAAAAUUAAGGUGAAGUAACAUGAAUCACUAUAAAACUAGAAUGAAUAUAUAUAUUUAUAUAAAAGAAGGCAAUUUAAAAUGUGUGUUUGACCGAUUUUUUUAAGUGUUUUUAAUAGAAGUAUUUUUUCUAAAGGUACUUUUGGAAGAAUUAACUAUCAAAUGUUUUUUUAAGAGACAUUACAAGUGAUUUUUCAUCUAUUUAAAAGUGUUUUUAAAAUUUUAUUAAAUACUUAAUUUUUUUUCAAAAACACUUUUUAAACUAAAAAUACCUUUUUAAAAAUAUUAUCAAAAAUGGAAUCAAAAUCUUAAAACAAAAUCUCAAAUCUACCCUUUAUUUAAUUAUAUUUUUCCAACCCAUCCUAUUGGGCCUAGACAUUACAAGUGAUUGGUCGUGUUUUUUAAAUUUUAUCAAAUGCUUAAUUAUUUUUCAAAAACAUUUUUUAAACUAAAACAUUUUCAAAAAAUAUUUUUUAAAAAUAUUAUCAAAUGGAAUCAAAGUCUUAAAACAAAAUCUCAAAUCUACCCUUGAUUUAAUUAUAUAUAAUACCCACCCCGAUUAUAAUACAAAAGCAAACCACCACCAAAGACAUUUAAACGACAUUUUAAAUACAAUUGAAACCUAUCAAUGAGACUUUGUCUCAUAAUACAAAUUUCGUUAUGUUCACAUGUAGAAAGGGACAUGUAAACAUAUACAACAGAAAGCGUGGAAUCAAGAGGGAAGAGAGUAGAAAGUUACGAAGUGGGAGCCUCGGCUAAAAUUAAUAAUGGCAUUAUAAUGUGCGUGUCUCAUCGCUGGAUGGACCAAAUUUUGCUUCUCCCAAAGAUAUUUGAAUGUUAUAAUUAGAGCCCACUUGAUGCUUAGAAAAAUAUAUUUGCAUGUGGUCUCCAUCUGUCAAUCUAUUAAUCUAUACAAUAUUAAAAAUCCACUUGAUGUUAAUUUAGGAAAAUUAUUUUAUUUUGUUGGUGAUGACCUGUCUCCCAUGUUACUCAAGUUUCAACUCUGGACUUUUCAAAUUCACACAGUGCAGUGCAGUGAUUCAUCUUUCUUCUCUGCUCCAUCUUUGGCUGAAUUCUAAUCCUAUUUUCUGUAACUUCCGGAAAGCUAUGGAGUUCCUGAGCUCAAUCUUGGGUCUUGUUCCAUGCUUAUAUAUGUGAUCACACCUCCAAGCAUACGGUCUACAUUCGUGAUCUGAAGAAAAAUCUCCAAGCCUUGAGCAAGGAAAUGGUGGAUCUCAAGCUGUAAUUCGAGGAAUGACCAAUUCAGUGCUUUCAUGUUCCAAUCUGAAUGAUUUACAGUAUAAUAUAGUGGUGAUGAAGACAAGCAUGAAACCAUGAGGACAGAGUGUGGAGCCAAGGGUCAAGUGGCAUCUAUACGCAUCUUGUUGUGAGAAGGAAGAAAUUAAAGAAAUGGUGGGGCCUAUACAAAAGAUAUGCUCAUAUCUCUUUUCGAAAAGAAAAGACAGAAUAAUUGAGCGACCCAGCUUUACGCAUCAUUCAACCAACUUUCCCCUUUGAAAAAUCUUAUAAUGGCGUAUUGCAUCAGGUUCUUUGAAUUACCAAACCCCUGUCUCUUCUCUCUUCAUUGCAAACCCUCAUCCCUUUUCCUCUUUGGCUAAAUUUUGGUCUCCGCUGGUGGUGGCGUGUCUCCCAUGUUACUCAAGUUUUAGCUCUGGAGUUUUUAAUUAACAAAUGCUGUGAUUCAUCUUUCUUCUUAGUUUGUUCCAUCUUUGGCUGAAUUCUAAUCCUUUUUUCUGUAACUUCCGGAAAGCUAUGGAGUUCGUGAGCUCAAUCGUGGGUUUGGUCCCCUGCUUCUAUGAUCACACCUCCAAGCACACGGUCUACAUUCGUGAUCUGAGAAAAAAUCUCCAAGCCUUGAGCAAAGAAAUGGUGGAUCUGAACAACUUGUAUGAAGAUGUGAAGGAAAGGGUAGAACGUGCAGAGCAACAACAGAUGAAGCGCAGAAAGGAAGUGGGUGGGUGGAUCCGUGAAGUAGAAGCCAUGGAGAAAGAAGUCCACGAAAUUCGGCAAAGAGGAGAUCAAGAAAUCCAGAAGAGUUGUCUCGGAUGCUGUCCCAGGAAUUGUUGGUCUAGCUACAGGAUUGGAAAGGCAGUAAGUGAAAAGCUGGUUGCUGUAUCUGGUCAAAUCGGCAAAGGACAUUUCGAUGUUGUAGCCGAGAUGUUGCCUCGUCCUCCAGUUGAUGAACUGCCAAUGGAGGCGACUGUGGGCCCACAAUUGGCGUAUGAAAAGAGCUGUAGGUUUCUCAAAGAUCCACAAGUGGGAAUUAUGGUAUUGUAUGGAAUGGGGGGUGUUGGCAAAACCACCCUUUUGAAGAAAAUCAACAAUGAAUUCCUUGCAACAUCCAAUGACUUUGAGGUUGUGAUUUGGGCAGUGGUGUCAAAAUCGCCCGACAUUGAAAAAAUUCAGCAAGUUAUUUGGAAUAAAUUGGAAAUCCCACGUGAUAAAUGGGAAACUAGAAGCAGUAGGGAGGAGAAGGCUGCAGAAAUAUUGAGAGUUCUGAAAAGAAAAAGGUUCAUCUUGUUGUUGGAUGACAUUUGGGAGGGACUUGAUCUCCUAGAAAUGGGGGUCCCGCGUCCAGAUACUGAAAAUAAGUCCAAGAUAGUUUUGACGACCCGAUCACAGGAUGUCUGCCACCAAAUGAAAGCUCAGAAGAGUAUAGAAGUGGAAUGUUUGGAGUCAGAAGAUGCCUGGACUUUGUUCCGGAAGGAGGUAGGAGAAGAAAUAUUAAAUUCUCAUCCGGAUAUACCGAUGCUUGCAAAGGUUGUUGCUGAAGAGUGCAGAGGUUUACCUCUCGCUCUUGUCACUCUUGGGCGGGCCAUGGCAGCUGAGAAAGAUCCCUCAAACUGGGACAAGGUAAUACAAGAUCUACGCAAAUCUCCAGCUGAAAUCACAGGUAUGGAAGAUAAAUUGUUUCAUCGAUUGAAACUCAGUUAUGAUAGGUUGCCUGACAAUGCCAGCAAAUCUUGUUUUAUAUAUCAGUCCAUCUUCCGAGAGGACUGGGAGAGUUAUAAUUUUGAACUUAUAGAACUUUGGAUAGGGGAGGGGUUGUUGGGUGAAGUUCAUGACAUACAUGAAGCACGCGAUCAAGGGGAGAAAAUUAUUAAAACUUUAAAGCAUGCAUGUUUAUUGGAGAGUUGUGGUUCAAGAGAAAGAAGGGUUAAGAUGCAUGAUGUGAUCCGGGACAUGGCUUUGUGGUUAUAUGGUGAACAUGGGGUGAAAAAGAACAAAAUUCUAGUAUACAAUAAGGUUGCUAGGCUUGAUGAAGAUCAAGAAACUUCCAAAUUGAAAGAAACAGAGAAGAUAUCAUUAUGGGAUAUGGAUGUUGGGAAGUUCCCAGAAACAUUGGUGUGCCCCAAUCUUAAGACUUUAUUUGUGAAAAACUGUUAUAAUUUGAAGAAAUUUCCAAAUGGAUUCUUUCAAUUCAUGCUUCUACUUAGAGUUUUGGAUUUGUCAGACAAUGAUAAUUUAAGCGAGUUGCCAACUGGGAUUGGUAAAUUGGGUGCCUUGAGGUAUCUUAAUUUGUCAGUCACAAGAAUAAGGGAGUUGCCCAUUGAACUAAAGAAUUUGAAAAAUCUGAUGAUUUUGAUUAUGAAUGGUAUGAAAUCCCUUGAAAUUAUUCCACAAGAUAUGAUAUCAAGCCUUAUAUCCUUGAAGUUGUUCUCCAUUUUCGAAUCCAAUAUUACAAGUGGAGUUGAAGAAACUGUACUGGAGGAGUUGGAGUCCUUGAAUGACAUCAGUGAGAUAUCAAUCACCAUAUGCAAUGCUCUUUCAUUCAACAAACUAAAGAGUAGUCGUAAAUUACAAAGGUGCAUACGUAAUCUAUUUUUACAUAAAUGGGGGGAUGUGAUCUCACUUGAACUAUCAUCUUCAUUUUUUAAAAGAACGGAGCAUUUGAGGGUGCUUUAUAUAAGCCAUUGCGAUAAAUUGAAAGAAGUGAAAAUUAAUGUGGAAAGAGAAGGGAUACACAAUGAUAUGACUCUUCCAAACAAAAUUGCAGCAAGGGAGGAAUAUUUCCACACCCUUCGUAAGGUGCUUAUAGAACAUUGUUCAAAAUUGUUAGACUUAACAUGGCUUGUUUAUGCUCCAUAUCUUGAACAUCUUCGUGUUGAAGAUUGUGAAUCAAUAGAAGAAGUGAUACAUGAUGAUAGUGAAGUCGGUGAAAUGAAGGAAAAAUUGGACAUAUUCUCAAGGCUCAAAUACCUCAAGCUCAAUAGGCUGCCAAGAUUGAAGAGCAUCUAUCAGCAUCUGCUACUCUUUCCCUCUCUUGAAAUCAUCAAGGUGUAUGAAUGCAAAGGCUUAAGGAGUCUCCCAUUUGAUUCCGACACUUCAAAUAAUAGUCUGAAGAAAAUUAAAGGAGAGACAAGUUGGUGGAAUCAGUUGAAGUGGAACAAUGAAACUUGCAAGCACUCUUUUACUCCGUAUUUCCAAAUCCAUGAAGCUGAAGCAUAUUCAACUGACACUGAGGAGUCUGAAACUGGCAGCAUAGAUGAUGUGCAAGAACAACCGGUAUCAAAUUAACUUCUAUCAAUCUUUCAGGUAUUAAUUAACUUUUAUACUAUAUUUGGAAAAUCAUUUUCUUUCCUUAAUCCCAUUCUUUUGUGGAAUUUUUUACUCUAUAUAUCUAUGCCAAAGUGCAUCAAAGUCUCAACAUCAUAAUAACUUUCAAUGUUUGAUCUAUCAAGUUUGCCCCCUUUUGAAGUAACUGUUAUAAAGUUUGCCCAGAAGGGACUUUGAAGGAGGUCUUUUAUUUAAACAUCUAAUGACAUUUCCUUUUGGUUACUUGAGAACUUGAAAAUGUGCAGAGUUCUCAACUAUAUUGUUUAUUGUGUCUUAAUUUUUUCGGUUCAUUUCAAUCUAUAAACAGAAAGAGAGAAUACCUAAUUUCAACUUAAUUCCUUAUAUUUCAAGUUGAAACAACAGGUGUUUCACAACAACUGUAGGUAAAGAUAUUCCAUUAAGAAUUCUCGCUUUGUUUAAUGUAUUUACCAGGACCAACUAUAUGUAAUUUCUCUUCUUUUGUUGAGUUGCCUCUAUCUGGUUGACUCUCAGUUGUUUUUUUUUUCUUUUCUUUUUUCUAUUGCAUUCAGAGUUGGGGCUUGUUCUAGAAGUUCUGAGAACAGCUGGGAUUCAAUUAGCUCUAUCCAGUGGAGCCUUGAGUUUUUUGGUUGGAUGCAGAGCAGGGUCUUGUUCUACCCCUUCUUACUCAGUUGGGAUCUGAGCUUCUUUGGCUGCUUCCGUUUCGUCCUGCUCUUUUUCCUUCUAAUUGGUAUAGACGUGAGCUGGAUUAUGUUUGCUUGCUGGUCUGAGUUUCUGAUAUGCUUAGUGGUGGUGUGCUGAUUCUCAGAGCAUCGCUAUUCAUGGUGCUCAGUCUGCUGGGAAAGUUGCUUAAUGUCCAGAUGCAGGGGCUCAUCUCGGCAGGCUUUGGUUGGGAUCCAUGUGUUUGCUGGAAUUGGAUUCUGUGGGUUGCCCUUGGCUUUUGAUGUAGGCUGGGUUUGUUUUCUUUGUUGAGGCCGGUGGAGUAUGGUGGCUCAGAAGCUGCUAGUAAUCUGUCUGUUGUAUGCUGACGCUGGAAUCUUCAUGGUGGUUGCUCUGGUGGGUCAAUAUGAUAUGGGAAUGCUUUUGCCUUUUUGAGUCCUUGGGCGUCAGCUGGUUGUUUGUGUUUCCUCUGCGCUUUAGUUCAUAUACCAGAGUGCAUACUUCCUUGAGUUCCAUAUCCCACUGCCAAGUGUGUUGUCCAUGAUGUAAUGUAAAGCAGUUAAUUUGUAUACCUGGCCUUAAGUUCCUCUCUAGAAAACUUUGAACGCCCUUUAUGAAUGAAAUGUUGUGAGAAAAACUGGAGUUGAUUUUCACAUUUGAGGUCAUUAAUGGUGAUUUUUCUUAAUGUAAUUGUGAUGGAAAAGAAAUUUGAUCAAGGAGUCGAAACCAUAAGCAGAGUCGAUCUUAUUCAACAUUGCAUUAUAAUUUGGUACCCCUCACAGAUCGCUCCAAAUAGCAUUGAAAAGUACUUUCAUUUUCCUUCAGUGGAGGCUUCUUUUUCUUUGCUGGUUAAUAUUCAUAGCUUCAGUGCUUGAUGAAAUUUCGUUACUUGACAUUGUUCACUAUUGUCCCUCCUGCUCUAAUCACAAACAAAUGCCCCAAUAAAUAAGAAUGAUUUGUUCAAGAAAUUUGAAAAUACUUGAACAAUAAAAGAAAAGAAUAGGAGAGAAAGGAAAAGAAAUUCAGAAAGCAAACACUUGGUAGUUUCCAUUUCAAUUAACCGAUCUUUGAAACUAAAAUGUAAUUCUUGGUAGAAUAAAAGAAGACAUGCAACAUCUUAAGAAGAUUCAUCUAAUGGAACAUACCAUGCUACAAUUGGAAACUGAGACUAAAUAGUUGUUUUGGUAGAAUAGAUAUCGCAUGCCAAAAAGAAAGUCUUGUAGCUUUGACUGCUUCAAAAUUCUUGUACAUAUAGCCCACAAACCUUUCGAGAUCAUACUUGUUUAUUCAAGCCUGUUUGAACAUACGGCUCUAGCGGAAGAUCUUACAACUUUAGGAGUCCAUAGUGUCCAUGAAAUCACAGGAAAAGAAAAGGAUGUAUAGUCAAGUUCAUGAAAAAUAAAGAGAUGGUUUAUUAAAGUUCACGAGUUUGGGACAUCUAAAACACUUUAAUUGUGUUUGGUUGAGUCUCCAUUUAUGGGGCAAUUCCCAUCAAGUCUAAUGAUUGACCACCAAUGACUUGAAAAUUGAAGCAUUGGAUGUGCCGCAUGUAGUUGAUGUUGCAUUAUUGAGGGUGGUUAUAUUAUAAAUUAAAUAGGCAUGCUAAGAGCAUGAGUUACAGAUUACCCGAUCCUGACUUGUCUCAUUUAUAUUAAUCUAUUCUCAUUCCUAUCCUAACAAAAAAUUUUAAAUGAGGAUGGAUGGAUAUGAGAAUUUCUCAUACCCGCCUUAUAUCAUUUAUUUAUUUAUUUUAGUUUUUUAACAAUUAAAAAUAAAAAUAUUUUAUAAAUAAAUAAAUUUUAUAACUUAUUUUAUUUAAAUAUAUAUAUAUAUAUAUAUAUAUAUAAUUAUUUUAUGUGUUCAAAAGAAGAAAAUGAAAACCAAUAAAUUAAAUUAUUUUUAAAUUUAAUUAUACAGCUUGGAAAGUGGUGGGUUAGUACAAGGCAUAUCUUGAACCCUGCCCCUAACCAACCCUAGUUUUAAAACAAAAACAAAAAUGUUGAAUUUGUAUCUAAUCAAUUUAUCUUCAUCUAAACUUGUCUCCCUAAACGUAAGUAUUUGAAAAAAUUUGUCUCAUUAUCAUCUUUAAUCAUAAAUUUUUUUUAAUUUAAAUUUAGAUACCAACAAACAUUUAAAUUAAAUUAAAAAUUCUUAUGCAAACAAGGGCUUUUCAGUUGCAGAAAAAUUGUGUACCUUCCUUGACAUUCUAGAUCCAGUUCUUGCAUUUUUUUGGAGGAUCCACAUAAGGAACAAUUUAAAUUUAUUCACAAAUACAAUUAUUCAAAAAGGCAUCAUACUGAACACAAGCAAAAUAACUACAAAUGUUAAUAGAAAUGGAUGGAAGCAUACAGGUGUAGAGAAUAUAAAAAAAAGAUUAUGAAGCCAAAAAUAAAAUAAAAAUAAAUAAAAAUAAAUAAAAGUAUAUGGUGGUUUAUUAUUGUUCAGGCCUAAUAAUUGAUUGUACAUGUCAAUGGGCCUAAUAUUAUUGCUCCGGCCUUUAUUCUAGAUGUCCAGGCCCUGUCAUUGCCUGAGUGUGAGGUCAUGGCUCGUUCUCUGUAUAGGUAGGUUCAUCCCUUGUCCAUUUGUAUACUUUUGAUCCAUGUGGUCAAGCCAACUUGGCUGUUGGGUACUUCAGGUGCGAUACCUUCUAUCCUACUUCUUACCCAAUUGAGUGAUUUAUCUUAGACGUCAUGGGGUCAUACACCUCUAAAACUUGAGUUGGUGGACUACCUUUCCCAGUUCUGAUCUCUCAGAUUCUUUCAUGGGCUUGAGUUCUAGCAUGAGCUUCUCGUUCUCCCCUACCCUGGUCCUAUAGUACUAUUUAUUUUUCAAACUUGCCCCUAGAUUUUUUUUAGUAUAAAAAGUACUAUUUUGUUGAAUUUAAAAAAACUCAUAGGAACAUAACCUUUCAAUAAGCUUAAACCUCUAUCUCUCAAAACUUUCAAAAUCCUUCUUGAAAGUCUCUUUUGGCUAAACAAAUAUUUGAGACUCACAUUGUAUAUGCUUUAAUAAGGGCUUUGAGGGACUCGCUAAAAAUAUAGGUGACAAUUUUGAUAUGAUACAAUAACACAACUUGAAAAUGUUAUAAAUUUUAAUAGAUUCAGAUUAGGUAUAACAUAUUCAUAUUGUAAUCAUAUCAACUCAUAUGACCCAUUUAAUAAAAAUGUACGAUUAUCCAACCCCAUAUAGCUUGUUUACUAAUUCAUGCCAAACAAACCAAUUUAUCUAAUCGUAUCAAAAUGAUGUUUAACUCAUAUAAAAUUAUUAAUAUUAUAUAUUUCAAAAUUAUAUAAAAAAAAUACUUAUUAGUUAUAAAUAUGAUAUAGUUAAAAAAUGAAGUAACUAAGUAAAAUUUUAUACAUUUCAUUGUAAAUAUUAAAAUUAUUUUAUCAUUAGAACAUUAGAUAGAAUUAUAAACAAGCGUAAAAUUAAAAUUUUAAUGUAUUUUUAUAUUAUAAACAUUUUCUAAUUUAAAUUUUAUAAUUAAAUUAGUUAAAAUUUUAAAAACAUAAAAUGUAUUUCAAAUAAUACAUUUAUAAAUUUUAAAUAGGUUAAACAUGCUAAAAUUGUAUUAACAUGUUAAAGAGUUAUAAUCAUAUUAAUAUGUUAAACGAGUUAAAAUAGGCUAACCAUGUUAGAAUUGUAUUAGUAAGUUACACAAGUUCAAGUUGUGUUAACAUAUUAAACGGAUUAGAAUCAUGUUAAUGGGUUCAACGACUAUUAAUAUGUUUCAUAUGUUAGAAUUGUAAUAACAGGUUAUCUAUGUCAAUUUAUACAAAGAUUAACUUAACCCGUCUAUUAAAUUAGUUUUGUUUGAAUUUGGUCAUUUUAAUACAAUUCUUAAAUAAAUUGUAUUCCUAUUGAGUAAAUUUUCACUAUUUUUUAUCUUAACAUUAUACAAAUCCAACACGUAUGAUAUCACCUAUUGUCACCCCUAACUAAGGAGCAUAUGAGUGUUGCACUGAGGAACCAGAAGAAGAGUGUAAAUACUAUUUAUAAAAAACUUUUGGAAGUGGAAGCAUUCUAUCAAGUAAAGUUGUGUUAACUUUUUUUCAUAGUUAGUGGAUUAUUCAAUGGUCAAGAGACCAACUAUGGUUUUUUACGCCUAAGGAUUUCCAGGUAGGUUCCACAUUAAAUUCUAUAUCUAAUUGUAUAAUUAGAAAGAUCGUGCAUGAGAUUGAUAACAUAUUAAUCAUAAUUGAAUCAUAAUAAAAUAAUUUAACUUUGGGGUUAAUUGAUUGAACUAUGUAUGUAUGGAUAUUUUAUAUUUUUUUAACUUUAAAUUAAUUAUUAUGUUGGGAAAUGGAAUAAGGGAAUAGUUGGCUCCAUUUUCAAUCUUGGUAACAUAAUUUGUUGUUGACAUGUUAUUUUAUCUUAUUUUAUAUAUUUUGUAGGAUAAAAAUAUAUAAUCAAGUGCUCUUGUAUGAUUGAUUUAGAUGUUAGAAAAAGUUACAAAACAUUAAUUCUAUUUGACUGAUGACAAAAACUUUUAAUUGCCAACAAUUUUUUUUAUAAACUUUAAGUUGCUAGCAUUCAUAUGUUAUUCUAAAGUUAUUAAUUAUAAUUUUAUAUAAGUUGAAUCACAAUUCUUGGGUAAAUGAAGAAGUAUUUAUUGACAAGAUACUUGUUUAUAUUGGAAGUUUUUAGUUUGAUUUGUUAUUGAAUUCAAAUUCUUAGUAGCUAGCUUUGAAUAUUAUCUAGUUGCAUUGGUUUUUGUUGUAAGUUCGAUUUUUAUAUUGUUUCCACACAUGAUGUUUAUUAAUUGAGAAUGCUAAUGAUUCGAGGUUAGAAUCGGUCACUCCUUACUAAACUUAUUCUUUUAGGCUAUGUUUGGUUGGCCGAAUAUAAUAUAUAAUAGAAUAAGAGAAAUGAUAUUAUAUCAUAUUCCAUCUUUAGUUGAAGAUGAGAUAUGAUAAAUUAUUUCAUUGCUUAUUAUAUACUAUGUUUAACUAAAUAUGAGAUAUGAUAAGUGAUGAUAUAUUACUCACUUUUUUUUUAAUCUCUUAUACAUGAAAUAUGUUAAUUUUAUGCUAAGAUAUAAGAAAUGCAUAUCUCAUAUAUCAUAAAUUUAUUUUUUAUCAAUUUUUUUAUAUAUUUAUUUUGUAAAAUAAUUUUUUUUUAUUAUAAAAUUAAAUUUAUAGUUAAAAAAGAAAAACUAAAAAAAUAUUUAUAAAUAGCAUUAACAUAUGAUAUAUAGAUUACUUUUUAUGUAUUAAAUAACAUAACAUAACAUAAACAUUUUUUAUUUGUAAAAUUUAAAUAUUUUAAUCAUGACUAUUUUUAAACAUAAAAGAAAUUUCAUUUUUUUUAAAUGGAAAAUAUUGGAAUGUGAUAUAAUUUUUAUUUUAAACAUUGAAAAUAAUAUAUAUAUAUAUAUAUUUAUUAUUUUUAUUCAUUUCAUAAAUUAAAUAUAAAUAUAAUAUAAUAUAUCUAAUUAGAUAUGUCACAUUAGAAUAUCAUAUUCAUAGGAUAUAUAUAUUUAAGGAUAUCAUAUCCUAUUAAAAAUUAUAUUUUAGGAUAUCAUUCUUUUUACCACAAGAGAGCAACAAUUGCUUUUAAUCGGUAAAAUUUGUAUGUGUACUAAAGUUGCACUGCCUAAUGUAAAGUGUUGGCUCCGCCACUGUGUUGCACCUCAAGCCACCACCAAGUCUCCUCAUGAUGCCCUUGUAAGCCUUGAUUAUCACAUUACCUUGGUGUCACAUUCUCCAAGUCAAGGUGUUAAUACUCUUCUAUGUUUACAAACAUAAUUUGGUCACCAUUUAUUAACUUAUAAGUCUCUAUAACCAUAAAAAAAAAUUUAAACAUACUAUUAGAACAAGGCUCUAUAUUUUGGGUUUUGAUAUCCAAUGAAAUAUGAUAUUUUAAGAAAUACAUAUUUUAUUAAGUUCUAUCCCGCCAAUGAAAUGUAACUUUAAAUGUAUUCUCAUUUUUAUUCUGCAUCUUUAUCCGAAAUCCAGGAGUUUACUUUUUUGUUUUAAGGUAAUUCAUUUUUUAUUUUAUUUUAUGUGUAUUAAAAAAAUAAAAGAAAAAAUAAGGAGUAACAUCAAUCAUUAUAAAGCCUGAAUCAAUCCCAAACAUUCAUAAGAAGACAAUUUAAGUCUUAAAAUAAAAUCCCAAAGCUACUUCUGACUAGACUACGCGUUUUGAUGACAUUUCACUUGAAAAUAAUGCAGAGUUUUCACUUAUAUUAUAUACUGUCUGAAUUUUAUUUUUGAUUCAUUUCGAUCUAUAAACAGAAACGGAAUACCCAGUUUUGAAGUAUCAACUUCAUUCCAACUUAUAUUUCAAGUUAAAUAAUAGAUAUUCCAUUCAGAAUUCUUGCAUUGUAUGAUGUGUUUACGAGGGUAAUUUCUCUUCUCUUGUUCAGUUGGCUCUGAUCAGUUUUUCCUUUUGUCCUUUUAUUGCAUUUAGAGUUGGGGCUUGUUCUAGCAGUUCUGGCAACAGCCGGGUUGAUCUUCUUCACAUAGAUUGGGGUACUUCUGUUUUUUCUGAUUGGAGAUGUGCUGCUCUUUCUCCUCGUACUUGGUAUUCGGGUGAGAGGUGGAUUAUGUUUGCUUGCUUGCUGGUCUGAGUUUCUGAUAUGUUUUGUCACGGUGGCAUGAGUGCUGAUUCUCAGAGCAUUGAUAUUUUCAUGGUGCUGAGACUGCUGGGAAGGUUGUAGCAUCCUUUUCGUUUCUGGCUGGAAUUGGAUUCUGUGUGUUGGCUUUGCUCUCUGGUUUCUUCACCUAAUUCAACAGAGCCACAUGCUUUGGUCCAUAUAUCAGACUGCUGCACCUAAUUCAGGGAUGAUGAAGUGAUCUUAUUCAACGUUGCAUUCUAAUUCCUCUCAUUUUCAUAUCUAUUUUCUACCUUGCUAUAUUCAAUAUCCAUUCUGUGAGUUGAAUGACCCAUGUUUUUAUUUUUCUAAGAAAUUCUCUAUCAUUUCAUCAUAACAUCCAGAGGAAACAUAGACAGGAAUUUCUCAUUUUUCAUUCGAGAGCAUUUAGAUCUUCCAACACCAACCUCACUGAACAUGACCGCAAAAUUCCUUCGAUUUUGGACUUAAAAUUAUGUUAGUACCCAUUGGACAAUCCAUUAGGUCACAGUUUGACCUAACUUGAUUCUUUCUUACCCAUGUCUUUUCCUUUGAAUUUUGGGGUGCCCUAUAAUUCAAGUCAAUGAAUUUGGACAAAUCAAAUCAAUUUUUUUCCCAAUUGAUGCCAAGGAAUAUCCAUAUGAUUCAAACAAUAUUUACAUUGUUUGUUUGAAUUUUGCCUAAAGUAUUCAUGAUUGUGUCCAAACAAAAUGCGUAUUAAUGACAUUAGUAAUGACACAAGUGCUUGGUUUUGACAUUUUCAAUAUUUGCAUUCCCAUUACUAAUUUUUGUUUCCCCCUUUCUUUUUCUUUUUUUUCAUUUUUUGUUUGUUUUGAACUGGUGCUUCCUUCCUCAUUCAUUCUACUUUUGUUUUUUGAAAAACAUUUGUCUCUUUUGCACACAUCCUAAAAAGCCCAAAAGCAUUUUUUUUUUAACUUAAGCUUUUUUUUCAAUUUAUCUUAAAAUGAAAAUAAAAAAUACAAUUUUCUUAUUGAAGUGUUAUUUUGAUUUAUAGAUAAAGUUAUUUCAUAUUUUAUAAAUCUUUUACUCUAUUUAUUUUGUUCUUUGCAAAUUAUAAUUUGGCUCACUUCAACUUUGAAACAAAAUCAGAAUAAAAAAAAAUUAUAGCAAAUUAUGUUUUAAUCUGCUUUCCAAGUGGAAAAUACAAAUAAUGCAACCCGUAUCUGCAUAAAAUUAGUGCAUGAAACAUUACUUUUCAAUGGACUUGAAAAAAUAUUUUAAAACCAACAACUCCAAAAGUCAAUGGUCUCAAUAAUGUAGUGCAAUAGGUUUCCAAAAGAUGAAGGGUGUGAAGAUCCCUAAAAUGUUUUUGAGAGUAAGUGUUUCCAAAAGAUAUAAGCAAGUACGAAUUUCUUUAAAAUGUUUUUCAAUUGUUUUUUUACAUGGUUAUUUAAGUUGCCUAAUAAUAAAUCGUUUUCUAAUUUUUGUAUGAAUUAAAUAUUAUUAUUUUUCUAAAAUAAGAAGUAUGUUUAAUAAUUAAUUUAUCUAAGUAAUAAUAAUGACCAACAACCUUUUAGACCUAGUCUUUCAAUCGACUGAUUUAUUUUCUAGGUAUAAAUUAUCGGGAAGUAAAAUACAUGUAUUGAUGGAUUAAUUAAAGGGAGAGUUAAACCUGAGUUUCGACCCAAAAUAGUGUGUUUUAAAAAAAAAUUCCAAAAAAUAAAGUUGUUUUCAAAAUAAUGUCCGAUCUAAUGUGUCUGUGCCACAUAAGCUGUCACAUCAUAAAACCGUAGUUGGUGACUACGGUUUUAUUUUUCUAAAGUGGUUAGAAACCGUAGUUACCAACCACGGUUUUAACUUUAAGUUUAAAGCCGUAGUUGGUGACUACGGCUCUGAUUUUUUUUAAAAAUGGUCAAAGCCGUAGUCACCAACUGCGGUUUUAACUUUAUAUAUAUUUAUAUAUAACUUUAAUUUUUUUAAUAAAAAUAUUAUAUUAUUUUGAUUUUAAAUAUACUUAUUUCAUUAUUUUAAAAAUAAUAAUAUACGAAAUUAAAUAAUUGAUAUUUUUAAUUUGAUAUAAAAAUAUAUUUUUAAAUUUUAUUAAAACGCACUAUAUUUAAUAUAAAUAUAAUUAAUUAAUUAAAAUAAAAUAUAAUAAAUUAUAUUUAUUUAAAAUAAAUAAAUUAUAAAUACCUAUUUAUAAAAAUAAAAAAUAAUAUAAAUUAUUAUAUUAAUUAAUAAUUUUUAUAUAUUAUAUAUAAAUUUUAUAUAAUACCCCCCCACACACACACACACACACACACACACACACACACACACACACACACACACACACACACACACACACACACACACACACACACACACACACACACACACACACAUAUAUAUAUAUAUAUAUAUAUAUUUAAAAGUUUAAUUUAAGUUUAAAAUUUAUCACAUUUUUAUUUAAAUAUAUAAAUAAAUUUUAUUAAAACAAUUGACACUAUAUUUAAUAUAAAUAUAAUUAUUUAAUUAAAAUAAAAUAUAAAUAAAAUAUAAUAAAUUAUGUUUAUUUAAAAUAAAUAAAUUAUAAAUGCCUAUUUGGAGAAAAAAAUAAUAUAAAUUAUUAUAUUAAUUAAUAAUUUUUUUAUAUAUUAUAUGUAAGUAGUAUAUAAUAUCACACACACACACAUAUAUAUAUAUAUAUAUAUAUAAAAGUUUAAUUUAAUUUUAAAAUUUGGCAUAUUUAUUUAAAUAUAUAAAUAAAUUAUUAUCAUAUCGAUAUAAUAUUAUGAACUUAAAUUAAAAUAUGAUAAAUUUUAAACUUAAUUGAACUUAUAUACAUGUGACAUUAUAUACCACUUACAUAUAGUAUAUAAAAAAUUAUUAAUUAAUAUAAUAAUUUAUAUUAUUUGUUUUUUAAUAAGUUUUCAUAAUUUAUUAUAUUUUAUUUAUAUUUAAAUAUAAUUAACUAAAUAUAUUUAUAUUAAAUAUAGAUUAUAUUAUUUUAAUAAAAUUUUAAAAUAUAUUUAUAUCAAAUUAAAAAUAUUAAUUAUUUAAUUUCAUAUAUUAUUAUUAUUAAAAUAAUGAAAUAAGUAUAUUUAAAAUCAAAAUAAUAUAAUAUUUUUAUUAAAAAAAUUAAAAUUAUAUAUAAAUAUAUAAAGUUAAAACCGCAGUUGGUAACUACGGUUUCUAACCACUUUAGAAAAAUAAAACCGUAGUCACCAACUACGGUUUUAUGACGUGGCAGCUUAUGUGGCACAGACACAUUAGAUCGGGCAUUAUUUUGAAAACAACUUUAUUUUUUGGAAUUUUUUUUAAAAACACACUAUUUUGGGUCAAAGCUCGUUAAACCUUCUAAGACACUACCCAUCUCACUUGAGAAUGGAAAAUUGAAAGGCUACAAAUACAUCCUUAUUUCCCUCUUUCUAUAAAAAUGGUCUUCCAUAUCCUCUUAUCAAUUUCACUUCAAUUAUCCUUAAAAAAAUCACUUCACAACUUCAAAGAUUUGUGAGUAAAAUUAUAAAAGUACUAACAUGUCACUUGAGUAAAAAAGACAUGAUUAAUAUCCAAAAAAAUAAAACAUAUACCAUUGUAAACCCUAAAAUUUGUUCUAAUUUUAUUUUUAUAUUAAUUUCGAACCAAAUUUUAUAUUUAGAUUUCAAAUCCCAAUUACAUGUGUUUUUUUUUUCCCACUCAUUAUUUAAUAAUUUUUAUUAUUUUGUAUAUUAUAUUAUUUUAUUUUAUUACUAUUACUUUUAAUUUAAUUUUAUUAUUAUUAUUAUUAUAUUUUGUUUUAUUUUUAUUUAUUUUUAAUUUUCUUUUCUCAUCUCUCCUAUUUCCUCUUUUCUCUCUCCUCUCUUCCUACCCCUCACCACCGGCCACCCCUUUCUCUCUCUCCCAUUUUCUCCUCCAUUUUCCUCUCUCCUCUCUCCUCUCUUCCUACCCCUCACCGUGGGCCCCACCACUCCCCCAUUCUUCUCUCUCUCACCCCCAAUUCUUCCCAUAGGGCCGGCCCCCACCAUUCUUUUUUCUUUUCCCCCCGCUUUUUCCCCCCAUUUUUUUCCCCUUUUUCCCCACUUUUCUUCUUCCCACGGCCGGCCCCUGGAUUUUUUUUUUCUUUCUUCCCCCUUCCCCCUCAUUUCUUUCUCUCACCCCCGCAUUUUUCUUUUCCUGCGGCUCCAUUUCACUCUCUGGCUCCACUUCGCAAAAUGGGCAGCUCGCUCCCCUCCCAAAUUUUUUUUUCUCUCUUCGUUUUUUUCCUUUUUGUUUCUCUCCCGGGGACGCAUUGAUGGCGAUCCAUUUCUUUUCCACCUACAUUUCUUUUCCACCCAUUUUCUCUGCCAAAAAAAAAAACGCCCAUGGCUCCCAGAUUCGUCUAUUUUCUCCAUUUUUUUUUGUUUUGGUAUUAUUAUUAUUAUUAUUAUUAUUAUUAUUAUUAUUAUUAUUAAUUUUUUUUUCAUAAUUUUUCUUAAUUUGAUUUUGAUAGUAAUUAUCGUUGAAAUUGGGUUUGUGUAUUUAUAUUUGCUUGUGGGCUUAUGUUUGGGCUUUGUUAAUUAAUAUGAAAUUUGAGUUAAUUUAUUGUUGAUGGAUUAAUUUGAAAUUUGUUAAUUUGAUUUUAUGGUUAUAUUACAUUAGUAAUUAAUUUGGGAUAUUUGGAUUUAUCAAUUGCAUAUUGUUUAUUUGGAUUUGGGUCUAUUGUUAAUUUGUUAUUUGUUUAAGCUUAUUGGAUUGAGUUUAAAUUUUAUUUCCCUUGACCAUGUAUAUUUUUUUAUGUGGGUCUGUUAAUUGAUAUGAAUUUUGGGGCCUAAAAUAUGGGUGAAAUUUGUUGGAUUAUUUGAAUAUUUGAUAGGAGCCUGACCAAUUUGAAUUAUUUAAUUUGAACAUGGGACAAUUGUGAUGUACAUUAAAUUAGGCUAAGAUUAUGAAAUAUUAAAUUUAGGUCUAGUAGAAUUUAUUUUAAUUUGUCCAAUCUUAGUGUGGACCCGCAUUUUUCACGUGCGUCCCCACUCGACCGGCGAGACUCGCUUUUUUAUUUGUGAGAAAUUGAUUUUUGAAAAAAAGUUGGAGUCGCCACUUAUUUUUAUUUUUAUUUUUGAAGGGAAAAUAAAACAAGAAAUAAAACCCUAAAAAAAUGACUCCAUAAUUUUUGGAAAAGCAUGUCUUUGAAAAACCCGAGUCUAAGUCCGGGGGUCAGGUUACCUAUUAGGAAGGUACCUUUGAAAGGUAGCACCCCUCUAAGCCCUAUAAAGGUCUCUACUGACAAAGUUAAGGGAAGUGUGACCAUUAAUCAGUUAAUUACGGAUACCUAAGUAGACUAGAUGAUUUCAAAAAAAUAACAUGCCGAAUAUGAUCAAAUUGCCAUAAAAGAGAGUUAGGGUGCAUACCUGGACGACUUCUCAAAGCGCUAUCAUAAAACAUGAAAGUUAGUAUUGAGAUGCAUCACACAACAUGCAUUUUAUCAAAGAUAAUCAAACAAUCAUCAAAUGUAUAUCAAGACAAUCAAAUAGGAUAGCACGUAUGGACAUAGUACGCAAUGACAAUCAUAUUCAUAUGGUUUAGAAAGUGGGUAUUAGGGAAUGUACCUGGAUAGCAUAUAUAACUUACAAUGCGCUUCCAUGAAACAUGGUUAGUGAACGAUGAACAAAUAUAAUUAAGCGAAUAUCAAAGAAUAGAGUAAACCAAUCAUGAAGUCAAGUAUGUGGGGCCCCACCCAAAGCCCGUUUAUUUUAGCAUGAAUUAAUUCCAUAAAUUCCAUUAUUCGGAAUUACGGAAUUUAUUCUUUGCUUAUUUUAAAACAUUUUAAAAUCAUGAAAGUUAUGAAAAUUGCAUGCCGAAGAGAUUGACAACAAAUUUUAUUGAAAAAUAGGAUUUUUGAGACCUAAAAAUUCUAAGGAUAAUAAACUAUGAAAUCAAAACAAGAUUUUUAUUUUGAAAAUCAAUUUUUAAAGAUGUGCAUGAUGAUGGGUAUAAAGACUUGCGAGUUUUGAAGAGGGGUAUAAGAAGGUGAGCCUGUAAGUCAAAAUUAGGCAAGAGUGAGAUCUUAAGCUUGGGGUCUUGAGCGGAUCACUGAACCACACCUCUGAAUCUGAAAUUUCUGAUUCUAUCUCCCUUGGGAUUGGCUUUUCAUAGUCUCGGUUAAGCACAGGGGAACCAUACCAUACCAGUGGUCUCUUCCAUAGUACUUCAUCUCAAGUAUUGAAAUGCAUCGAGCGUCUCAUUUAUUUCAAAUGGGUCAAUGUCAGCAACCUCAAGACCAGCAUUUCUUGCAGUAAUUUGGAUUGCAAUAGCUGGACCUACACCAAUGAUGCUAGGCUCCACACCAAAAGAAUCCUUCACGGUAUCGAGAUUUUCAUGAAAACCGGGUUGUCUAAGCCACUGAGAAAGAGUGUACAAAAGUGGUAUCUGACAUUCCUGUCUUUCGAAACAAGAUUAAUUCCCACCAGAUCAGCAAGUUCAUUGAUUCGGCAUUGCCAUGUGACUGUCAUAAAAGUCUUCAGAUGCACAAUGAAAAGACGGAAGGCUAUAGUGGAGUAAGAGCCUAUUCCAAACACGUGGAAUUUCUACCAAAUACCAAACUGUGCAUAGUUUCAGAAAUUUGAUUAGUCUAUCCAGUAAACUUGAAGAUGGGAAAAGCAAAGACACAGAUGGACACCCAACAACCUGCGGUGGCAGACAAAACAGCCUAUAAUCUUUGCAUUUAGCUUCGUCUUGCUGAUUAAACCAAAGGAAAUCUGCAUGGGCACACCGCGGGUUUGACAUUCCUACCAAGCUUGCCAAAUAGACCACAUGAUAAGCAAGUCAACACAUGAGAGGAAUGGUUCAAAUAUUUGCUUCUUCCAGAAUGCUGAUAUUGGAUUAAAGCUGACUAUAAUUCCGAAACUGAAUGCAAACACUGUACAAUGGAGUUCAUGUAUUAGGUGCUCCUCAGAUUGAAACUGGCAUUAUAACCCACAAUUUCCACUCACUACAAGGAAAAAGGUAUAUGGUGACAUUUAUAACGAGUCACCAUAAAUAUAAGAUGUCACUACAACAUAGCGUCACCUUCUCCACUGACACCAUAGAGGGUACCAAUUGGUGACGUAUUUGGAAGUGACACCAAAGUAGAUAAAUGGUGACCCAUUCAGAAGUGACACCCUAUAUUUCUAGUGAUGAUAGGGUGUCACAUUAAAUACAUCAUCUUUGAGUUAUGAUGUCACAUUAAAUGCAUCACCUUUGAGUUAUGGUAUCACAUCAUUGUAAAUUAUUGUGGAAUAUAUGAUUGGUUUUAGUUGUUGAUUUUUGUAAUGCUUAUGAAUUAAUAAGAUUAACCUGUUUAUAUUUUGUCCAUAAAUAUAACAAUCAUAUUAUAUUUAACUCAUUUUUCUGUAAUGUUUCUGGAAUAACUCAUAAUACAUUGAUCAUCUAAUAAUAUUUGUAUAUCAAAUGUUCACAAAAGGAUAGUACGUCCAACAUAUCAAACCCAUCAAAACUAAAAAAGAAGAGUGAAUACAUACCAAAACAUGAUUUAGAAAUGUUAAAGAUCCCAAGAUUNNNNNNNNNNNNNNNNNNNNNNNNNNNNNNNNNNNNNNNNNNNNNNNNNNNNNNNNNNNNNNNNNNNNNNNNNNNNNNNNNNNNNNNNNNNNNNNNNNNNUCACCUUUGAGUUUAUGGUAUCACAUCAUUGUAAAUUAUUGUGGAAUAUAUGAUUGGUUUUAGUUGUUGAUUUUUGUAAUGCUUAUGAAUUAAUAAGAUUAACCUGUUUAUAUUUUGUCCAUAAAUAUAACAAUCAUAUUAUAUUUAACUCAUUUUUCUGUAAUGUUUCUGGAAUAACUCAUAAUACAUUGAUCAUCUAAUAAUAUUUGUAUAUCAAAUGUUCACAAAAGGAUAGUACGUCCAACAUAUCAAACCCAUCAAAACUAAAAAAGAAGAGUGAAUACAUACCAAAACAUGAUUUAGAAAUGUUAAAGAUCCCAAGAUUCAUGUAUACCUCCAUUUCAUAAGCAUAAAACCGGUUAACCAUAAAAUGACAUAGAAGUCCCAUCUAAAAAUCUAAAUUUCUCAAUUGCAAUUAAAGUAACGUUUAUGUCCUACAACGUAUGACAUAAGAGUUGCAUUUAAAAACCCAAAAUCUCGUUGUCUUCUUCUUUCUUUUUAUUCUCCAUUUCACCCUCCCAAGAGUGUAUACCUGCAUUUCAAAAUUUAAUGAGUUUUAGAGAUUUUUAUUGAAGAAAACAAACAUGGAUCUAUGUUAUCAUAAAUGAACAAAUAUAAGAAUUAAUUUUUUUUUUCAAAUAGAAACAUUAUUCAAAGAAUAAGCAUUACUAUACAAUACCUAUGGAAAAAUUCAUGUAGUAGCUAAGGGACUCACCAUGCAUGGUGAUCAUGAUGCAUCAACAUGAUUCAUGAUUAGUUGUAGCACAAAAGUAGCCCAUUCUCCUCUAAUUUCAUCGAAUUCUACUUGAGAAUAUGUUUUUUUUAUUACCAAACUGAAAUCAAAUAAGAAAAUAACAUUAAAAUGCAUAACAUUUGGAAGCCUAAAACUAUGUACAAUUCAUUAAAUAAGUAAUACCUUUGAAGCAAUAAUUGUAGGAUAAAAAAUUAUCUCUUUAAUGAAUCUCAUAACAAAGUAGCCACAUUCGAACCCUCCUUCUUGUCUUGGACACUAAUCGAUCAAUUAUAAAAUAACAUUAGUACUCACAUAUAUAAAUGGUGCAAAUGCAUAAGCUAAUGUGUAAAGAAAAAUUUUUGGAUGUCACCNNNNNNNNNNNNNNNNNNNNNNNNNNNNNNNNNNNNNNNNNNNNNNNNNNNNNNNNNNNNNNNNNNNNNNNNNNNNNNNNNNNNNNNNNNNNNNNNNNNNAAAAUAGAAAUUCCUAAUAAUAAAAAAUAUAAAAUUUCUAUUUCUAUUAACAAAAUAUAAAAACUUUCCAAAACUCAAUUACUUAAAUAUAAAAAUAAAAUCAAAUAAAAUAUCUAGCUAAUUGGAUUUUAGAAACUAAAUAAACUAUAAAUAAACUAAAUAUAAAAACUAAAUAAAAUAUCCAUGCCCAUGAAUUAAUUGAAGAUGAUAGAAAGACACAGAGAGAACAUGGCUAUGGUUAUGAUUUCCAUCUUAUCAUUUCCCGUCAAUACCACACAUGCCCAUUUUAAGGAUGGACACUACUUUUGUUGCUGGACUUGGAAAGGGAACUUCAAAAUUGAAAACAUAAAUAAACCCUUAUGUAAAAAAAAAACAUUAAAAUAUAAUUGAACAUUAAAAUAUUUGCUCUUUUUCAUCACUUUCAUUUGAAUAUUAAUAAUCUCUUAUUGAGAUAGAUACUUACAAUUUAACAAAAUAGAAAUUCCUAAUAAUAAAAAAUAUAAAAAUUUCUAUUUCUAUUAACAAAAUAUAAAAACUUUCCAAAACUCAAAUACUUAAAUAUAAAAAAAAAAUCAAAUAAAAUAUCUAACUAAUUGGAUUUUAGAAACUAAAUAAACUAAAUAUAAAAACUAAAUAAAAUAUCUAUGCCCAUGAAUUAAUUGAAGAGGAUAGAAAGACACAGAGAGAACAUGGCUAUGGUUAUGAUUUCCAUCUUAUCAUCUCCCGUCAAUACCACACAUGCCUUCCUGGAUUGGUCCUUUUGGGGUUGGAUACUCUCAACGAAAUUCUAUAUCUCAUUCCCACUUAGAUACAAACAGAAAAAUGAUUCUUUUUUUUUUUCUCUCUCGUUUUUUAGAAAGGAUGAAAAUUAUGUGAUAGUAUAUCUUAAAAAAAUUAUGUACAUGUCAUUGUCACACAAAUACAUGUUAAAAAUCAUUCAUUUUUUCCUGUUUUUCACUUUUUUUUUAAGGACUUGAUCAUGUGUUUGGUUUAGAUUUAAAAAAUCAAUUAAUCUAUAGUUUUUUCUUCCAUGCUAGAAGAUUAAACCUAAAUUUUUCUUCCCUACAACUCAAGAAAACACAAUUCACAAAAACCAUAAUACAAAGAUGUUGAAACAAUUAAUAUAAUGACAUUAAUAAAAGAAAAAAAAUUGAUAGAUCCAAGAGAUUUUGGGUUACCUGGGAGUCCACAAAGUGAAGAAUGUCGGUUUUGAGCGUGUUGACUAUGGAUGGGUGAGAGAAAAGGUUGAAGAAGAUCAUGAUUUUAUAUAUAGGAUUUAUAUAUUGAGAUUUUUUGGAUUGUGGGUGAGAUAUGGAAACAAUGGGAUUUUUAUAUAGUAUCCAUCAUUAUUAAUUCUAAAAGUGGGCUCAUUAAGUUAUAAUACUUAAAAAAAAUUAUUUUAUAUGAUGUCACUUCCCAAAAAAUGACACUAUAAAUAUAAAAUUAAUAUCAUCUAACUAUCUCAAUUGAAGAUUUUUUAUAUGAUGUGUCACCUUUAUUAAUUAUAAACCCUAUGGUGUCAUUAUUUUAAAAGUGACACCGUAAAUAGUGACACCAUAAACUAUUUUUGUAGUAGUGACUUAAUCAAUAUAAUUCUGACCAUCCAUACUGACAUUACUCAUGUUUCUUGAGCCAAUGCCUAAUUCCAGAGCAGAUCAACAGAGACCUUGGCAUGGUUUUAAACUUCAGCCAAAUGAGAUGCGUGGGACAAUAGCUUGACUUAUGGAUUGUGGCAGGUCAGCAGCCUGACCCAUGGUUUGUGGUGGGACACCACCAUCUGGCAGUCCAAUGGAUUCCAGAGGAAUAAUAGGCUGCUGAGUGGCCUGUGGUGAGGCACCCACAUUGUCACUUAUGGGGCCUUACGCAUCGAUGGCAAGCCCGGUGGCGAUAGUACUGUGCAUCCCCGAAGCUGCCACUGCAAUUCCAUGCAUGGCAGCCAUGCUGAAACUCGCGUAGAUAGCAACGACAAUGGCAAAUAUCGGAAUGAUGUCAGACACGUAUCCCAUUAGGAAUGACUUUGCAUAAUAAUAAUCUGAAGAAGUCAGCUGCGUCGUCCAUCUACCAGUUCGUGAGUGAAGUUUUGCUCAGAAACCCAUUUGCAAUCUUCACAUUUUGCUUCAUCUCUGACGGAACCUUGAUGCUAUCGCUGAAGACGCGGAGACUGAUGACGGUAGACUAGGACUGGUUGGACUGGUCUUGAAGGUGCAUGACGAGUAGAGAGGUUGGGAUAGAUGAACAUGGCUGGAUGAUGUAUGACGAAUAAGGAGUGGUGAAAUGGGUAUGAAAGAGUUUGAAGAGAGAGAAAAGGUGGUAAUGUGGAAUGGGUUUGAUGGGUGCAUGCAUGGGGCAUGAAGAUGAUGGUUAGUAUGGAAGUGGGGGUAUGAUGAGCGAAAGAGAGAGAUGAGAUGGGUGCAUGGUGGUGUAGAAAGAAAGGUGAUCAUACAAAUGGGCAUAGGUAUGGCAGCCAAUGGGUAUCACCAAGUAUGGUGGUGAAGAGAGGGAACGAGUGAGGACAAAUAUGCAUGGAUAUGAGAUGACAUGGGUAUUGUGGUGUGGCGGAAUAGUGAUAAUAUGAGGAAUAGGUUUUAUGGGCAUAGCAGAGAGGUAAUGGCAUGGAGUGAUAAUGGGAACGUGAGUAUGGUUAUAGGAAGUAGUGACGAUACUGCCAUCAUGAAAGGUAAAUAAAAUCCUCUGCAGAGCCAUCUACAGAAGGCUAUUCAGACAAUCUCAUGUAACUCCGCUUUGUCAAUCCUUACCUGGUCUGGUAUACACUUUCCAUGGAGGUUAAAGAAAUCAAUAUGGUGACAUUGCCUUGGUCUUCUCUCUUUCUCAAUACCAAGCACCGAUAGAGACACCCUUAUUUGGAGAAAUUUUGAGGAUCCAGUAGUACAAGGACACGCGCGAGUCAAUUACAGCUUGAGUGCAGCAAACUUUCCAUCUUAAGAAAACCCCUCCUCACAAUUACUUUCUCUUUUGAUGCUGUCAUUACAUCUUAUGUUGUUUUCCCUUAAACUCUCCCAUUUUAAUAUCCGAAGACUGAGAACCAAUCUCCUGUGAUACCCUUCCCCUUCAUACGAAAAUGGAAGAUCUGAUGCCAGAUACGUAUGGAUGCCAAGAACAGGGGAUGAACAAAAAAAAAACAGAGCAAGGAUAAAAGGAAGCAAAAUCAACCCAUCCAAGCCUCAUUUCAUGUAUUUAUCAAUGGGCUCAGAUGCAAGAGUGGGUCAAAACAGUUUUUCUAAUGAGUUUUAAAACCAAAUCAAGACAUAAACACCAAUAUUUCACAUAAAAUCCUAGAGGCAGAGGACACAAAACCAGUAAGAAAAUAAGCAUGGAUCAAGUGAAAAUCCUCACCAAACACAUUCAGACACCAAGAUAGAAAACCCGUUAAUAUUCAGAUAACCCAAACAAAAAAAAACAUGAACGUGAAAGAGACCAAAACUUAUGAAAAUGAUACCUGAACCUUCCUCUUUUCAGUUAGCCUCUCUUCUCUCCAAGAGCUACUCUCUGUAUAGCUUGUAGAAAAAUCUCCUUGACUACGGCAAUGGAGACUUUUUUUUCCUUCUAGCUUCUCCCAAAACUCUUAUCUCAAUUACCUUUCAUGUCUUCCUCUCUUCCAUCCCAAAAAGAAUCAAAAUCCCUUCUUCUUUCGGUGUAGCUGCCUUUUCCCUCCAGAGAAUCCUUUCCUUCUCAAUGGUCCCGUUGACUCUACCAACAUGGAAAGACAACUCACCAGCCCGGAGAGCCUCAAUCAUCCACGUCAGUCAAGCAUCAUCAGGACUCUCCCUCCUGAACAUAGUCUUCAUUCCGUCCAAAUACCCAUUGAACCUUUCCUUUUUCCAUGCCAAAAUAGCUUUGGUAAUUUUCUUUCUUCAUUCAUUUCCUUCCAUCAGAAGCACAAUCAGCACAUGCAUGGGUGCAUACUUGCUUUCUUUCUCAGUUCAUUUCCUUCCAUACGUCCUCUCCUCUUCCAACCUUCUUGGAUCUAUCCUUCAACACAUGCAUAUCUUUGCCAAUACAUGUUUUCAACCUUCCCUUUUCUCUCCAGUGAUGAUUCCUUUGGUGAAUUUCUCCACAAAAAUAUAAAGAAAAUUAGACUUAAUGAAUGAAUCCCAAGGUGUUUUAGAAAAUUAUAAAAUAAACAAACAAAUUAAAUUAACAAAAUAAUUAAGUAAAUAAUGAUAAUAAUAAUAAUAAUAAUAAUAAUAAUAAUAAUAAUAAUAAUAAUAAGAACUCAUUUCAUGCAAUUAUAAAAUAAAAUAAAUAAACAAAAAUACAAAUAAUAAUAAUGAUGAAAUAGUAUAAAUAUAUCAAAAACUCACUUAAUCUUAAAAGCAAUCAAUAAAAUAAAUAAAUAAAUAAAACAAGAAAACAAAUCUAAGUGAAACUAAACCUUGAAAAGUGUUUAAGUGGGCCUAAGGCGGUACCUAAUGGGCCAAGUGUGUCUAAUGGGCCUAAGGUGCACUAAGUGAACCUAAAGUGAUGCCUAAUGGGCCUAAGGUGCACUAAGUGAACCUAAGGUGUCUAAAUGGACCUAGGGCGAUGCCUAAUGGGCCAAGUGUACCUAAAUAAGCCUAAAGUGUCUAAAUGGGCCUAGGAUGGUGCCUAAUGGGCUUAAAGGGCCUAAGUGGGCCUAUGGUGGUGCUUAAGUGUAUCUAAGUCUAAAUGGGCUACCAGGAGUUGCAAUAGAGUUCGAUAAAUCCCUCAACCAUAGUCCCCAAGGUGGCUUAGAGUAGAUAGGCUACACGAGUAUUAAUGGGCCACCAGGGAAUUGCUGUAAACGACAUGUGCGAGGAAGACAAAAUAGAGGGUCUACACUUAGGUUUGGUUGAUUGUAUUUGUAUUUUUUGUUAUUAAUUUGGAUGUUCUAGUUUAAGACCUAUAGUAAUUUGGGCUCAUUUUAAUUGGCGAAAUUUAUGGGACUAAUUUUUUGAUAAGUGAACACAAAUAUAUUAAACGAGGCAAAAAGCCACAAGGCAUACAGGACGUAUACACAGUAGCCAAACCAACAACCAACACGCACCACCCCUUAGGGAGCGGCGAGCCAUUCCAAAAAUCCUAUAAGCGAAGAGGACUCCUCUCCCAUAUACACCCUAGCCCAGCUCCACAAGUUACAAACAAAAGAAUUCUUUAGCUUCUGAAUAGCUAGAGAGCCCCCUCUGAAAGCUAAUCUAUUUCUCUCCUUCCAAACCGUCCAAAAAAUACACAGCGGAAUGGAAGUCCAAAUCCUUUUCCUCUUUCUCCCCACAAAAGGGCCCCUCCAACUGACUAACAUAUCUUUGACUUUCUCUGGGAACACCCAAUUAGCCCCAAACAAGGCCAAGACUAUCUCCCAGAGAGCCCUUACAACUGUACAGUGUAAAAGUAUAUGAUUUACAUUUUCCUCUUCACAACCACAUAAAAAACACCUGUUAGGAAACUGCCAUCCCCGUCUUUGAAGCUUGUCCAAAGUUAAAACUUGCUCCCAAGACACCUCCCAAGCAAAAAAAGCAACUUUGGUUGGGACCUUGUCCACCCAAAUGCUCUUUUUCGGGAAGGUAAUGACAUUAGACCCUGACAAGAGCUUGUAGGCAUCUCUAAUCCGAAAAAGGCCGUGACUAUCUCCUUUCCAAAUCACUGCGUCCUCUUCAAGAGAAGUCCUCAAAUCCCUCAACAAAUGCAGCAGCUCACCUAAAGCGUCCAGCUCCCAAUCAUUAAAGUUUCUAAAGAGUCUUAUAUUCCAACCUCCUUGGUCGAGGCUAGAAUCCCACAUUUCAUUUACCGAGGCGUUCCUUUGGACAGCCAAUUCAAACAACUGAGGAAAACUUUGGGCCAGCACCUCAUUAUCACACCAAUGGUCAGUCCAGAAACUCAUCUUAGUCCCCUUUCCCACUUUGAACUUAAUAUUAUCCCAACACCAAGACGACUCCUUCAAGAUAUCCCUCCAAACCCCCACCCCAAACGUUCCGCGGGCCUCCUUUGUUCUCCAACCAAAACCCAAUUGACCAUACUUCACCCCAACCACCUGUCUCCAGAAAACAUCUUCCUCAAUGGCGAACCGCCAAAUCCAUUUCCCCAACAGAGCCUUAUUCAAAAAAUCAAUCUUCCGAAUACCUAGGCCCCCACUCUCCUUUUAGGUACACACCACCGCCCAAUUGAUUAGAUGAAUCUUUCUUUCCAUCCUUCCCCUUCCCCAAAGAAAGUCCCUUUGAAGCUUUUCAAGCCUUUUAACAACUAGCUUAGGCAUGCGGAAAAGAGACAAUUGGUAAAUCGGCAUGCUGGCCAAAGUGCUUUUGAUGAGGGUAAUCCUCCCACCCUUUGACAAAUAUUGUCUUUUCCACAGUGCAAGCCUUCUUCUCAUUCUUGCUUCAACCCCAUCCCACAUAGCCAUGGCCUUAUGCUUGGCUCCCAACGGCAGCCCCAAAUAAACCGAAGGGAGGGUCCCCACUUUACACCCUAACUCCACCGCCAACAUCUCAAUGUCUUCCACCUCUCCAACCGGGAUUACUUCACUUUUAGCAAGAUUUAUUCUAAGACCAGAGGCUGCCUCAAACCACACCAAAAUCCAGCUUAGGUAAGUAAUGUGAUCUUGCCUCGCUUCACAAAAUAUAAUCGUAUCAUCAGCAAAGAGUAAAUGGGACACAUUUAUCUCCAUCCCCCCCCUCCCUUGGAUGCUACAACCUGAAGUGAAGCCCCCAUCAACAGCCCUUCUCAACAUAGCGCUUAGAACUUCCAUGCCCAGCACAAAAAGGUAGGGGGAGAGUGGAUCACCUUGGCGUAACCCCCUAGAGUUGGAGAAAUAACCAGCCGGCACCCCAUUGACCAGAAUAGAAAAGCUUGCCGUUGAAAUACACCACCAAAUCCAUUUCAACCACCGGUCCCCAAAGCCCAUUUUCCGCAUGACCUUCAUGAGGAAAUUCCAAUUAAUACUAUCAUAGGUUUUUUCAAUAUCCAGUUUACAUAUCACCCCUUUCUCCUUGCGUUUAAGCCAAUAGUCAAUUACCUCAUUGGCUAUGAGUGAAGCAUCUAAAAUCUGUCUUCCCUUCACAAAGGCAUUUUGGUCCGGCGAAACCACCUUGUCUAACACCUCCUUAAUUCUAUUGGACAGCACUUUGGCCAAGAGCUUAUACACACCCCCAAGCAGGCUGAUUGGUCUGAAAUCCCCCAAGUCCUCAGCCCCCCCUUUCUUAGGAAUAAGGACAAGAAAAGUAGAGUUAAGACUCUUGGCAAACGACUUGUCUUCAUAAAACUCAUUGAACACGUCCACAAUUUCCUCUUUCACGAACUCCCAACAGAACUGCCAAAAGGCCACUGUGAACCCAUCCGGGCCUGGGGCCUUAUCACCAUUCAUCCCCAUCAGAGCCAAGUGAAUCUCUGCCUCAGUAAAAAGCUGCUCCAAACCUUCAGCUUCAGCAUGGUUUAANNNNNNNNNNNNNNNNNNNNNNNNNNNNNNNNNNNNNNNNNNNNNNNNNNNNNNNNNNNNNNNNNNNNNNNNNNNNNNNNNNNNNNNNNNNNNNNNNNNNNNNNNNNNNNNNNNNNNNNNNNNNNNNNNNNNNNNNNNNNNNNNNNNNNNNNNNNNNNNNNNNNNNNNNNNNNNNNNNNNNNNNNNNNNNNNNNNNNNNNNNNNNNNNNNNNNNNNNNNNNNNNNNNNNNNNNNNNNNNNNNNNNNNNNNNNNNNNNNNNNNNNNNNNNNNNNNNNNNNNNNNNNNNNNNNNNNNNNNNNNNNNNNNNNNNNNNNNNNNNNNNNNNNNNNNNNNNNNNNNNNNNNNNNNNNNNNNNNNNNNNNNNNNNNNNNNNNNNNNNNNNNNNNNNNNNNNNNNNNNNNNNNNNNNNNNNNNNNNNNNNNNNNNNNNNNNNNNNNNNNNNNNNNNNNNNNNNNNNNNNNNNNNNNNNNNNNNNNNNNNNNNNNNNNNNNNNNNNNNNNNNNNNNNNNNNNNNNNNNNNNNNNNNNNNNNNNNNNNNNNNNNNNNNNNNNNNNNNNNNNNNNNNNNNNNNNNNNNNNNNNNNNNNNNNNNNNNNNNNNNNNNNNNNNNNNNNNNNNNNNNNNNNNNNNNNNNNNNNNNNNNNNNNNNNNNNNNNNNNNNNNNNNNNNNNNNNNNNNNNNNNNNNNNNNNNNNNNNNNNNNNNNNNNNNNNNNNNNNNNNNNNNNNNNNNNNNNNNNNNNNNNNNNNNNNNNNNNNNNNNNNNNNNNNNNNNNNNNNNNNNNNNNNNNNNNNNNNNNNNNNNNNNNNNNNNNNNNNNNNNNNNNNNNNNNNNNNNNNNNNNNNNNNNNNNNNNNNNNNNNNNNNNNNNNNNNNNNNNNNNNNNNNNNNNNNNNNNNNNNNNNNNNNNNNNNNNNNNNNNNNNNNNNNNNNNNNNNNNNNNNNNNNNNNNNNNNNNNNNNNNNNNNNNNNNNNNNNNNNNNNNNNNNNNNNNNNNNNNNNNNNNNNNNNNNNNNNNNNNNNNNNNNNNNNNNNNNNNNNNNNNNNNNNNNNNNNNNNNNNNNNNNNNNNNNNNNNNNNNNNNNNNNNNNNNNNNNNNNNNNNNNNNNNNNNNNNNNNNNNNNNNNNNNNNNNNNNNNNNNNNNNNNNNNNNNNNNNNNNNNNNNNNNNNNNNNNNNNNNNNNNNNNNNNNNNNNNNNNNNNNNNNNNNNNNNNNNNNNNNNNNNNNNNNNNNNNNNNNNNNNNNNNNNNNNNNNNNNNNNNNNNNNNNNNNNNNNNNNNNNNNNNNNNNNNNNNNNNNNNNNNNNNNNNNNNNNNNNNNNNNNNNNNNNNNNNNNNNNNNNNNNNNNNNNNNNNNNNNNNNNNNNNNNNNNNNNNNNNNNNNNNNNNNNNNNNNNNNNNNNNNNNNNNNNNNNNNNNNNNNNNNNNNNNNNNNNNNNNNNNNNNNNNNNNNNNNNNNNNNNNNNNNNNNNNNNNNNNNNNNNNNNNNNNNNNNNNNNNNNNNNNNNNNNNNNNNNNNNNNNNNNNNNNNNNNNNNNNNNNNNNNNNNNNNNNNNNNNNNNNNNNNNNNNNNNNNNNNNNNNNNNNNNNNNNNNNNNNNNNNNNNNNNNNNNNNNNNNNNNNNNNNNNNNNNNNNNNNAAUGUGAUCUUGCCUCGCUUCACAAAAUAUGAUCGUAUCAUCAGCAAAAAGUAAAUGGGACACAUUUAUCUCCAUUCCCCCCUCCCUUGGAUGUUACAACCUGAAGUGAAGCCCCCAUCAACAGACUUUCUCAACAUAGCGCUUAGAACUUCCAUACCCAGCACAAAGAGGUAGGGGGAGAGUGGAUCUCCUUGGCGUAACCCCCUAGAGUUGGAGAAAUAACCAGCCGGCACCCCAUUGACCAAAAUAGAAAAGCUUGCCGUUGAGAUACACCACCAAAUCCAUUUCAUCCACCGGUCCCCAAAGCCCAUCUUCCGCAUGACCUUCAUGAGGAAGUUCCAAUUAAUACUAUCAUAGGCUUUUUCGAUAUCCAGUUUACAUAUCAUCCCUUUCUCCUUGCGUUUAAGCCAAUAGUCAAUUACCUCAUUGGCUAUGAGUGAGGCAUCUAAAAUCUGUCUUCCCUUCACAAAGGCAUUUUGGUUCGGCGAAACCACCUUGUCUAGCACCUCCUUAAUUCUGUUGGACAGCACUUUAGCCAAGAGCUUAUACACACCCCCAAGCAGGCUGAUGGGUCUGAAAUCCCCCAAGUCCUCAACCCCCCCUUUCUUAGGAAUGAGGACAAGAAAAGUAGAGUUAAGGCUCUUGGCAAACGACUUGUCUUCAUAAAACUCCUUGAACACGUCCACAAUUUCCUCUUUCACGAACUCCCAACAGAACUACCAAAAGGCCACUGUGAACCCAUCCGGGCCUGGGGCCUUAUCACCAUUCAUCCCCAUUAGAGCCAAAUGAAUCUCUGCCUCAGUAAAUGGCUGCUCCAAACCUUCAGCUUCAGCAUGGUUUAAACUUUUAAGCUACAACCCUUCUAUAUCAGAUUUCCAAGAUUGGUCCUCUAACAACAACUGUUGAAAGGCAUUCACAACCCCCUCUCUCACCUCCCUCUCCUCCUCCAGCCACCUCCCAUUGAUUUUAAUCUUGUCCAUAGAGUUAUUUCUUCUAUGAGCAUUAGCCAUCCGGUGAAAGAAACCCGUAUUCUUAUCACCUUCCCUCAGCCACAACUCCCUAGAAGAUUGUCUCCAAUGCGUUUCUUCCAUAAGAACCCAAUUUUUGAAGGCCUCCUUAGCCUCUGUUUUCAGCUCUGACUCCCUUUCAGUUAGACUCCUGUCACUCUCCACCAUAUCCCAAAAUGCUACUUGUUGCAAGGCUAGAUUUUUGUUGACUUCCAACCUACCAAACACAUCCCUGUUCCAAGAUUUGAUUUUAUCCUUCAGAAACUUCAAUUUUGAAGCCACUCUGAAACUAGCCCUCCCCCUCCCCCCCGCCUCCUGCCACCAUCCCCGAAGGAGAUCCUUAAAUCCCUCAACUUUGAGCCACAUGUUUUCAAACCUAAAAGGGGAGGGGCCCUUUCUUAAUCCCCCACCUUUCAGUAAAAUGGGGAAAUGGUCAAAAACGGGUCUGGGCAGCCUGCACUGAAGGACCCCACUGAAACAGUCCAGCCAAUCUUGGGUCACUAAAAACCGGUCCAGUCUAGCCCAAGCUUGGUUAUUCUUUCCCCUACUCCAGGAAGCCACCCCCCCAUGCAAAGGCAUAUCCAAAAGCUCUAACUCAUCCGUCACCUGGGCAAAUCUUCUCAUGGCGCCAGUCAGCCUCCCCUGAUUACUCCUUUCCCCAAGGUUUAGAGUGACGUUAAAAUCACCCCCAACACACCAAAGGUCAUCCCAGAUUCCCCUAAUCGCCCCAAGCUCCCCCCAUAAGGUGUCCUUGUCUUCUUUGGAAAACGGCCCAUACACACCCAUAAAAAUCCAGGUCUUCCCAUCCUCAACAUUCCUAAUUCUGCAAGAAAUUGUGAAUUGACCCAUUUCCAUCUCAAGGAUUUCCAAGGUUCUUUUGUCCUAGCAAAUUAGAAUCCCUCCUGCGGCUCCCUGAGCAUCCAAAGCACCCCAAUCCAGGAACCUCCCUGACCCCAAACUCCUCACCAUACCCUCAUUCAUGGAUUGAAUUUUCGUUUCCUGGAUACAAAACAAAUCAACUUUCUACUUUCUAAUCAAAGCUUUAAUCACUUUCCUCUUGGAGCUAUCAUUGACCUCGCGUACAUUCCAGCUCAAGAGCCUUAUUUUCAUUGGACUUCCAUAAUUUGGCACCCUCUUCCUUGCACAGUACCCUUUCUCUUCUUUCCCCCCUCAUAGUUGACUGAGCAUUCAAGUCUUCUCAAUUCUCUUUCAAAUUUCGAUUUCUCCAACAUAGCUUUGCUGUGAAUUCUUUCUCUUCUCUUCCUCAUUUUAACCAUGAACUCCAGAAUGUCUUUCUCUAAUCCCUCUGUCGAGAAUCCCAGGAAUUGACUGAACCUAGUCAAAUCACUUUCUUCCCAUCUUUCUUCCACCCAUGCACCCUCUUCUUGAGAAAUAGGUCGGGCUAGGCACAGAGCCUUUCUAUCAUCCUCCAUGCUAUCGUUACUGAUCUUUACCAAGUCCCAACACUUCCCCACUAACUGCUCUGAAUGCCCAAUUUCCUUGCAACAACAAUCCCCCUUGGUUGACUCCACAAAAAGCCCAGAACGGUCGAAAGACUCCUUUCUUGGAGUCCGACCAAAAGAAGAAAAGAAAGGAGAAGAAGGGUCCAGAGCCACCAUUCCAGAGGGGGACGGAACAUUAACAUACCUUGCGUCUUCCUCCAACAAAGCACUAUCGGUCCUGGAGAUCCCCCCCCACUGUGUCUCAACUCCACGUCGUAGCCCCCACUGAUCAUCCUUCCCCCAACAAUUAGAGAUAUCCACGUCUGGGCCCCUCAACGGGCUUCGAAUGCGCUCCACAGCAGAGGAACCCUUCUCCGUCUGGGCCUUAGAAGAACCAGGAGGAGAUGGACUUUGAGAUGCAGGCCCAUCCCCUCUAAGCAAACACAAAGGCCCGACCUUUUCCUUGGGCUUCCCAUUCCCAUUCCCAUAAAACACCAGCCCAGGCGGACUUGGCCCAGUGGAAAUAUAAGCCUUAGGCCCUCUAGAAGAUGUUGCUUGGCCUAACAAUCCCAGCCCACCCGAUGCAUGGGGUCCGCCUGGAGGCCCGUCUUCGCUCCGCUUUGGAUCCGAGGACUGACCCGACCCACUGGACUGACGUUGCGUCCCAUCCGCAAUCAGCAGGCAGUCCCCGAGCCUUGAGUCCUCCAUCACCCCCAACACGCGCACCCCCGCGCGUGCACUCACGUCACCCCCUUCCUUCGCAACUGUCACGAUGACCUUCCCUCUCUUUUCAGUCGCCGGAAAUUUGAUGACUGGCCUGAUUUCCCACCAUAAGUUUACCGCAUAACAAAACCCAUCAACCCAAACCUCCACUAGGCUGGGAGGAGACUCGCCGUUCCGCUUCACCAAGAGGCGUGCCCACUGUAAUUCCUCCAUGUUUUCCGUUUGCUGAUCAAUCGCAAGGAGACCCCCACACGCCUCCCCAAUCUUCCUCAGAAUAUCCCAUUCCCACAAGGAUACAGGUAGCCCUACUACCCGUACCCAAGCUUCAUUGCUCCUUUCUCCUUUCAAGCAACCCGUCUCCGGACUCCACUUCUCUAAACGGAGAGCUACCCCCCCCCCCCCCCCCCCCCAAAAAAAAGGCUCCCCAAUUUAAAGGGUGGGUAGCCUCUGGGGGGGGUUUAAAAACAAUUUAAAACUUUACCCUUUUCUUUUUUAGACGGCCCAAAUUUCCUUUUUAACCCCAAAAUUUUGGCAAAUGGGGAACCCCACCCCUGGAAAUGGUCCCCUUUCCUGGAUUUGGGUUUCAAAUUCCAAAAAAAAAAGGGGGCAAUUUGGGAAAAUUUCUCCCCCCCCNNNNNNNNNNNNNNNNNNNNNNNNNNNNNNNNNNNNNNNNNNNNNNNNNNNNNNNNNNNNNNNNNNNNNNNNNNNNNNNNNNNNNNNNNNNNNNNNNNNNCCCCCCCCAAGCAAAAUGCUUCCCAUCUUAGAGGCUUGCUCAGCCUCUGCCGGGAUCUCAAACUCCAUUAAAACCUUACCCCUCUCCAUUUUAGCCAGCCCUAAAUUCCCUUUUAACCUCCAGAUUCUCGCUAACUGGGAUCCCCACCCUCUGAGAUCGUCCCCCUUCGCUGCAUUGUGAUUCCAAGUCCCAACAAUACAGUGGCCAAGUUUGGAUAAAUUCCUCCCCACCUCCUCCUUGGUAACAUCUACCCUAACUGCUUCUCUCUCCUUUUCCUUCGCCACUUUGGUCGCUUCCACAUAUGACUUCACCAUAUUCGGCUUCGACCGAGACACAUCUACCUUCUGGUUAUUAGGGUAACUUUCUUCGCAACCCAAGCUCCGCAAUAUGUCCACCAUUGAAGCCCAUCCGCCCUUUACUCCUCUUCCUUUGGGAAUAAAGACGCUAAACCUCUUUCUCUCCAAAUCCGCAACCCCCAAACGGAGAAAGCAGCCCCCUCUGUUGUAGUCGCGCUACAGAGAGUACAUCCUCCCAUUCUCCUUCCACUCUCUUACCCACUUACCCAUUCUUCCGUCCUCAAUACUCAGAUUCANNNNNNNNNNNNNNNNNNNNNNNNNNNNNNNNNNNNNNNNNNNNNNNNNNNNNNNNNNNNNNNNNNNNNNNNNNNNNNNNNNNNNNNNNNNNNNNNNNNNACCCAUUCUUCCGUCCUCAAUACUCAGAUUCAGACAUUCAAAGACUAUCCCGAGGCUCACCGGACCUAGUCUGACCCAUGACGAGAUCCCACCUUUCCUUUCCACAAUCGUGGCAUGCAAUCUGCCUCUCCUCUCCUCCACCUCGACCUCGAACCUUUUCGAUUCCACGCCGAAACCACCCCUCUUAACAUUCUUCCCAGACCUCACAUGGCUCUCGCCUUCUACAAUUUCCGUCGAACCCUCAUCGCCACCGCUCUCUCUCUCGCGAUCUUUCUCUCUCUAACCCUCUCUCUCUCCUCCAUUAUAUGAAAUUUAAAUAAUUUAUGGGACUAAUUUGAAAUUGGAAUUUGGGUUUAAAUAUUUGUUUGGGAUUUUGCACAUCUUUGGAUAUUUACAUUUGUACUAUCUUUGUUUUUUUCAUAGACCCAUUCUGCAAUUUUGUUGACUGGGUACGAAUUGAUGAUACGUGGAGCUUGUGGGACCCAUUCUACAAUCUUGUUGGCUGGGUACGAACUGAUGACACGUGGAGUUUGUGGUAAGUUUAUUUUGACACAUAUUUUAUUUCUCACUUUUAUUUGGUUUUAUUUUUAUUAGUUCUUGUAAAUAUUUGUUUGUAUAUAUUUAUCGACUGUGUACAGAAUUGAACAUCGAACAAACUAUAAAUUUUGUUUAAGUGAGAGGAAGAAUUCAGUAAAUGUGUUUUGAUAAAACAAUAAUUUUAAAAUAUUAUUUUUAAUAAAAGAAAGUUUUUUUAUUGUUAUUUAUAAAAAUUCAGAAAAAUCCAAAAGAAUUGUUUUUAAUAGAAUUUGAAAAAUUGUUUUUAAUAACAUUGUCCAAAAAUUUAUUUGCUUAAUAAAAAUUGUUCAAAAAUUGUUUUGUAAUUAAAGUUGUCCCAGAAAUUAAUUUUUAAUAAAAUUGUCCAAAAAUAUUCUUUUAAAUGAAUUCCUUUUCCUUAAUUAAAAUGAGAUUAAAAGUAUUUUGAGAAAUAGAGGAUUUAAUUUUUUGUAUUUUGUUUAUUUAUUUAUUUAAAUGAAAAUGAAUCAAGAUACUUUUGUAAAUAAAAUUGUAAAAAUUCAUUAUUAAUCUUUGUGCCCAAAUUGAAAUUUUGUAAUAAAUUUUAUUGAUACCAUAAAUGUAAAUAACUUUUCUUGAAAGUUAAAUACAAAUCAAAUCAAAUCAAAUCAAAUCACUUGAAGAAAAUGUUUUUGCAAAUAAAUAAAUUGAAAUCAUCCAUUCAAAAUUGUUUUUUUAAAUAAAAUCCUUCGAAAUUUUCAGACAGUUAAUUUUAUUUAUUUAUUUAUUAUUAUUAUUAUUAUUAUUAUUUUAAUAUUUUUUUAUUAGUUCAAUAAAUCAAUUUGCAUAAUUCUAUUAUCAUUUGUUUUGUACAUUCUUGUCAUUUUAUUUUGUUAUCACCUUUGUGUAUAUUGAUUUAUGUUAUUAAUUUCGGCAUCCAUGAUUAAUUAGUUAAUUGUCAUAAUUCCCUCAAUUAGUUUAGUAGAAACCGUAUGUAUAUGGGCUUAGAAGGGUGCUACGGCUCACCACCGUACCUUCCCAAUAGGUAACCUGACCCCCGAACCCAAACUCAAUUUUCUACAGACCUGUUCUUUUUUCCUUCAAGAGUUACACUUAGGGGGUGUUUGGUACACGGGAAUAGGGAGUGGGAAUAGACAUCUCAUUCCUUUUCUCCCUUAUUCCUAUGUUUGGAUAAAUGUUAAGAAAGGCGGAAAUGAAAUAAAAAAUUAUUCUGGCAGAAAUCAAAUCCAACUUAUGAGUCGGAUUUGCAUUCAUUAAAAGUAGGUGGUAUUCUGAUUCAUUAAACCUAUUUGAUAAUAUAAAAUAACUUAAAUUACUAUUUUACCCUCUUAUCUUGUUCUUCAAACCCGAUGUUUAUCUUCUUUGUAAAGGUAGAGAUCCAUUCAUCAUCCACUUCUUAUCUUCUUUGCAAAGCUAGAGACCCACUCAUCAUCCAAUUCUCUGCAACAAGUGAUUCUUCCAAAUUGAAUCAAUUAAACCUUCCAUAAUAUUUGAAAAAAAAAAAUCAAUUUCUAAUUUAUAGGGUUUUGGAUGUUCAUUUUGAUUGUUGGAUCUAGGAUUCGUCAUUGUUUGCUGCAACUAGGUUCUGAAAACUCCCUUCUACAUCUUCGAUCAGGUUUACCUUAUUUUCUCUUUCUUAUUCUACUUCUUUAUAUGUGUUUCUUCUUCUCUAUAAAUCGAUUAAUUUUUUUUUAUUAAUUUACGUUUGGAAUCUUUGAUGUUUCUUUAUCUUGUAUUAAUGGAAACUAGAGAGAAAAAUUGAAAUGGUUGGAAAAAGAUUUUUUGAUUCCACGUGUUUACAAUAUUGAAAAUUUUUAAUGGUUAGGAAAAAAAUAAAAAGAAAAAAACAAGCAAAAACAAAACUUUUGGUUUUUUUUUUCCCCUUUGUUUAUUAUUAUCGGCGUCUUCCUUUCCUAGUUAAAUAAAAAGAUUCUAUAGCUUUUUUUGCAUGACAAAUUAUUUAAAAUUUUGAUAAAAAAAUACAAUAUUUAAAAUAUUUUAAGGUUAUGGAUUUUAUCAGAUAUGAUACUUGUUGAAAAUUAUAAUAAAUUUGAAUUCUUUUAUUUCCUCUUUUGAAAAUAGGAAAAACAUUUGCUAGCUUUGAGAAUUUAAAUAUUAUAAUAAAUAAUUUUUUUUUGAAAAAUAUAAUUUUAUAACUACUUAAGCAUGACAAAUUAUUCAAUUUUUUAAUAAAAAUAAUAAUUGAAUAUUUGUGCAUUAGGGUUAUACGAUUUUUUAUGGUUAAUUUUUUAUUUAUUGAGUAUAUAUAUAUUUUUUAGUCUUAUUAUUUAAUAACAAAAAACCUCUCAAAUUUUAUUUUUUUAAAAUAAAAGUAAAAAUAAAAAAAUAUUUUAAAUUAUAUGUAAGGAUAUUAUUGUAAAUUUAUUUCUUUUUCAUUUCCAUUCCUAUUAUUAUCAAACAUUGGAAUGGAAACAAAUAAUCAUUCUAAUCUUGCAUUCCUAAGUUCAUCCAAAUACUAGAAAUAGAAUCAUCAAAUUCAUUCCAUUCCACUAAGAAAUAGGAAAGGAAACAAAAUAUUAUUUCUAUUCCCUAUUCCGACGUACCAAACACCCCCUUAGGGUUUUUAUUUCUUAUUUUGUUUUUCCCUUUUAAAAAAAAGAAUAAAAUAAGUGGCGACUCCAAGUCUUUUUCUAAAAAUCAAAUUUUCACUAAACAAAAAAAAAAAAAAAGCGAGUCACGUCGUCGAGUGGGAACGCACGUGAAAAUGCGGGGUCCAUAACCAUAUUUAUCAUCUAAAUUAUGUGCUUCUUGAAUAGUAAUUACAUGUUACACAAGAUAGAAUCAUGUUAACAUAUUAAACGGAUUAGAAUCAUGCUAUCUGGUUUAACGAAUGUUAAUAAGUAUAAUAGGUUAGAAUCGAAUUAACGGGGGUUACCUAUGUUAAUUCAUAUAAAGGUCAACUUAGCCUAUUUAUUAAAUUAGUUAUGUUUAUAUCAAGUUAUUUUAACAUGAUGUUUAAACAAACCAUAUUCCAUUUGAGUAAAUUUUCACUAGUUUUUAUCUUGACAUAAUACAAAUCCAACAUAAUAUGACCCAUUAUCACCCUAAUUAAGGAGCAUAUGAGUGUUGCAUUAAGGAAGUGGAAGAAGAGCAUAGAUACUAAUGAUAUCAAAUUUUAGGGAGUGGAAGCAUUUAAUCAAGUAAUGUUGUGCAACUUUUUUUUCAUAAGUAGUGGAUUAUUCAAUUGUCAAGAGACCAACCAUAAUUUUUUUUACACCUAGGGAUUUCUAGGUGGUUUCCACAUUAAAUUCUAUGUUGAAUUGUGUAAUUGGAAAUCUCAUGCAUGAGAUUGAUAAGAUAUUGAUGAUAAUUGAGUUGGAAUAAAAUAAUUUAACUUUGAGGGGUUAAUUGCUUGGACUACCUAUUUACCCCUCCUGUAAGAAGUUCCAUAUCAACAAAAAAGUUCUUUCAAUAUGUAUAUAGAUAUUUUAUAUUUUCUAAUUUUAAAUUUAUUUUUAAAUUGGGAAAUUGAGUGGGGAAAUAGUUGGCUCAAUUUUCAAGUUUGGAAACAAAAUUUGUUGUUAACAUGUUAUUUUACCUUAUUUUAUACAUUUUUUUUAAUAAAAAUAUAUAAUCAAGUGCUCUUGUAUGAUUGAUUUAGAUGUUAGCAAAGGUUACAAUCAUUAAUUCUAUUAAUUGACCAACAAUUUUUUAUAAACUUUAAGUUGCUAGCAUUCAUAUAUCAUCCUAAAAUUAUUAAUUAUAAUUUUAUUUAAGUUGAACCACAAAUCUUGGGUAAAUGAAGAAAAAUUCGUUAACAAGAUACUUGUUUAUAUUGGAAGUUUUUAGUUUGAUUUGUUGUUGUUGAAUUCAAAUUCUUAGAAGAUAGCUUUGAGGACUAGCUAGUUGCCUUGGUUUUUGUUAUAUGUUUGAUUUUUAUAUUGUUUUCAGACAUGAUGUGUAAAAUGGAUUAAUGGUAAUGAUGUUGAAACAUGGCUAAUACUAUUAGACCAAUGUUGAAGAGAGUGCCUUUGGCGGGCUGCAUCUGGAGCAAGCUCCAUGACAAGCUCCAUUUACUACAAAGUAUUGCUUCACAACCUAUUUGUAUAUUAUAAAGUUGUGAGUACAAUUAUUAAAGUUGUAUAAACAAGUGGCAAUCUUGAUAUGUCAGAAUGACACCAUUCGAAAAUUAUAUAAAUUUUAGUAGGUUCAAGUAAGGUGUAAUUAUAUCAUAGUAAUAAUCAUGUUAACUUGCAUAACUCAUUUAAAUUAUUGAAAUGCAUUUAUGAGAGGCAUUUGCAUUGCCUAAUUAUAGUUCUUAUUAGAGAAUGAGUUAUUAUCAAUUUCAUGGAACAAAACUUUCAUUAGUCAGUAUAAUUUGAAAGUGAAAUCUUACUCAUAAAAUUUUUCAAUUAAAUUUAAAAGUUAAAAUUAUAAAGUAGAGAGUUAAAAGAACCAUUGAGCAUAGUUUAAAAUUUGAAUAUAAUGUGUUUAUUGUUGUAAUUCAAGCCCAAUAUUUAUUAUUUAUUAUUAAAAAUAUAAUUUUAUAUCUAAUUUUUAUAUUUAAGAUAAUUUAGCACAUUUGAACAAUGCUUUGAGAAUAAGAUUGGAGCAUCUAAUUUGACUAAUUUGAUAGCAAAUCAAACUAAUCCAAUCUUAUUUUUCAUAUUUAUCCACCUUCAAUUCUAAGAUAAACAUGAACAAAAGUCUUUAUAUGAUUAUAACAAAAUAAACACUAAAAUAAUGAGUUUAACAUUAAAUAAUAAAAAUUUUAUUUCAGUCUUCAACAUAUUGUUAUAUAAGUUAUAUAUAUGUUAGUAAAAUAAGAAAUGUUAAUAUAUUUAAAAUAUUAAAUAAUAAAAUCACAAUUUUUUGUUAUUAUUAAUAUUUAAUUAAUAAAUUCUAAUUAAAUCUAAAAUAAAAACUUUACACAAAUUAGUAUAAAACCAAAUAUGAUCACCAUAAACCAACCCCUAUAAAAAGAAUUAAAUAUAUAAAAGUCAAAGUAAAUAAAUGAGAAUUAAUGUUAAAAGAUAUAAACAAGAAAAAAAAAUUCAUUGUCUAGUAGUUUAAUUAUUUAUAUAAUUUUAACUUCAUGUAUUAUUUUAAAUUUUAAUAAUAUAUGAAUUAUAUAUGCAUAUUGUCAUGUUGAUAUCAUGUUUCAAUUACUUGAACCAUCAUUUCAAUUAAGAAAGUCUAAUGCAAUAAUUUUUCAAUUCAAUAACUAAUUAAUAAGAUUUUCAAAAUAUUGUAUUUGAAAACUCAUCACAAAAAAUGAAUAUAAAAGAUCAUGAAGUUCUUGCAAAGAAAAUUGACUUCACUUAAAUAUGAAACCCCAAACCUUAAUUUCUUCAAUAAUACUAAUCAAAAUUCUUAUGUUUAAGCAUAUUAGGAGAGAACCAAUAAUCUCAUCCGCAAAUCAAGCAUAGUCAAUAAUCAAUUCUUAUGUUUAGGAGUAAUAUAUAUAUAUAUACCUUGUGUAGUUGAUGUAUCUUUUGAAAAGUCAUGUAUAUAUUUAAAUGUUGUAAUAUAUAUCUUGAAUAAUAUACUUUUGACCAUUCAUUCAUUCAUCCAUUCAUCUUAUACUCUUGUAAAUAAAAGUGACUUCAUGAAAAUAUAUAUGAAAACCUCAAACCUUAACUUCUUCGAUAAUGCCUAUUAAAAUUUUUGCAAUUGAAGGUUGUGUAACUGAGAAUGAUAAUGAUGUAAGGUUUAGAACUGGUCACUCCUAACCAAACUUAUUCUUAUACAAAUUCCCAUCUUCAUCUAAGUCUAGGAGUUAACUUUUCUAUUUUAAGAAAAUUAAUUAUUUUUAUUUUACAUGUAUUAAAAAAGGUAAAAUAAAAAAAAAAAAACAUUAAGAUUGAGCUAUAUGAUCAAUCUCUGUCAAACCUGAAUCAAUCACAAUAUAUAUGUAAGAAGAUAAUUUAAAAAUGUGUUUGAUAAUGUUUUAUUUUGAAGUGUUUUUAAUUUUAAUGAAAGAAUUUUUUAAAAAAAAUUAACUUUAAGAGAAGCAUUUAUUAAAUAUUUUUUUUUUCAAAAAGCACCAUAAAUGAUUUUUUUAUUUGUUUAAAACUAUUUAUUAAAUUUUAUUAAAUACUUAAUUUUUCUUUAAAAAUAUUUUUUAAGGUAGAAGUGCUUUUUUAAAAACAAUAUCAAAUGGACGUAAGUCUUAACAUAAAAUCCCAAAUCUACCCUUGAUUUAAUUAUACUUUUCAAAUCCAUCCUAUGAGCCUAGGCAUCCUUGAAAUACCCACCCCUAUUAUAAUACAAAAGCAAACCACCACUAAAGAUAUUUAAACAACAUUUUAAGGACAAUCGGAACAUAUCAAUGAGUCUUUGUCUCAUAAUACAAAUUUCGUUAUGUUCACAUGUAGAAACGGACAAAUGAUACGUAAAAACUAAAAAUCAUAUACAAUAGAAAGCUUGGAAUCAGGGAAGAGAGUAGAAAGUUACGAAGUGGUGGAGCCUUGGUAAAAUAAAAUUAACGGCAUUAUCAUGUGCGUGUCCCAUCGUUGGAUGGACCAAAUUUUGCUUCUCCCAAAGCUCUUUAAAUAUUAUAAUUAGAGUCCACUUGAUGCUUAGAAAAAUACAUUUGCAAGUGAUCUCCAUCUGUCAAUCAAUUAAUCUAUACAAUAUUAAAAAUUCACUUGUAGUUGAUUUAAGAAAAUCACUUUGUUGGUGGUGGCCUGUCUCCGAUGUUACCCAAGUUUCAACUCUGGACUUUUCAAAUUAACAAAGUGCAGUGAUUCAUCUUUCUUCUUUGUUCCAUCUUUGGCUGAAUUGUAAUCCUUUUGUCUGUAACUUACGGAAAGCUAUGGAGUUCCUGAGCUCAAUCGUGGGUCUGGUCCCCUGCUUCUAUGAUCACACCUCUAAGCAUACCGUCUACAUUCGUGAUCUGAAGAAAAAUCUCCAAGCCUUGAGCAAGGAAAUGGUGGAUCUCAACAACUUGUAUGAAGAUGUGAAGGAAAGGGUUGAAGGUGCAGAGCAACGACAGAUGAAGCGCAGAAAGGAAGUGGGUGGUGUUGAUGCCUCGCGUCCCUGACGAUCCACGCAGUUGCUGAAUGGAUGGACACGCGAUCUCAACCCACAAAGGUUCUUGAUUCAGUCGUUAUACCUGCAAAAGACAUCCGGACAGGGUGUCCGGACGCACCCUCCGAUGGUUUUGUUAGCCAUGGUUAGAGAGGGAGAUAUAAAUCAGUUGGCCUUUUACUAGGUAUCAGGAGAUUACCUUCCUCUUCGUGUGAAGGUUUAUAUAUAGUGUCAGGAGUACUGUUCCUCACAUUAAUGGUGAGGAGAUAUUUUAUGUUUGUCAUGAUGACAUUCGGAGGCAGCAUGGUCAUCGCCACCCUACUGGCGGCUGUCAGAAACCGUGGUAGGUGAUGCGGCUGUCAGAGAUCGUGGGAAGUGAUCAUGUAGAAUGAUCGUGGGAAGUGACUUGUUGUCACCUCAACCCGUCCUUUCACUCUGCAGGUGAUGGGACGUGGGCCAUGGAUGGUUGUCGUGAUAGCAUGUAAGACUCGCUAUACUUUAGUCAAUGAUCCGGACAAUCAUAUCCGGAUAGCCCAUGUUGGUUAUCCGGAUGUAUUCUGGAGCGGACGCAUUGAUGGAAGACGUCCGGAUGUCUAUGUUUUGUAAGCGUCGUUUGCCCUCCCUUGAGGCAGUCCGGAUGGGAAAAGCGCGUCAUGUGUGCUUUAUAGGAAGAUCUGGAUGAGGGUGACCCGGAUGACAAUGUGUGCCACGUGUCACUGUAAGAUGCGUGCCACGUGUCACUGCAAGAUGCGUGCCAUGUGUUCUCGGAGGGAGGGGUCCCUACAAUGCCCCACUUUUUAACUUGCCUAUUUUGCCUUAGAAAAAAUGGGCGGGUUAAAAAAUAAUUGGUUUUUGAAACCGAAGUCGACUUUUGGUCUGGUUGGGCCACGUGGCGAGUGGGGGUGCGGGAGCCAAAAAGGCAUUUAUGAUGAGCCGCAGACUCUGGGUAUUCCCAGGCAACAUGUCAUUUCAAUGAUGGCGUUGUUUGGGCGUUUGGUUUUCCGAGGGGCUGUCCCCCUAUAAAUAGCAGACUGUGCCUUCUGUUUGUAUUUUUCCUACUGCGUUUCUUCUGAGAGUUUUUGCUUCUUCUUCCUUCUGUGCUUUCCUUUGCUUUUCUGAGUACAAAACCCUGGAGUUUUUUUCUGCCGGUGAUUUUGUGUCGCGACAGCAACCUUUCUUCUCCACAUUUCCAUUUGGUAUGUGCAUUUUGCUCUUAUUUUCCCUUUGUUGUGCUUGUUUGUUCAUUGGCUUGAUUUCUGACUUGCUUUGGGCAAAUCACUUGCAACUGUGUGUUGAAUGUUGGUGUUUGUUGAUUUUCUGGAUUGCUGUGUGUAACUGUUGCGCUUUUUUGUAUGUAGGUUUCGGUAAAACUUGGGCUAAAAAAUGUCUUCGAAGCAAAAAGCUACUUCAUCUGUCCGCGCCGGCGACGCUUAUGGGAAAUCUACAGACAAACUGAGCGUAAAGGAGUUCCGGGAUCGAUUCUGCAUUCCAAAUGGCGUAAUUGUGGAAUUUUUGAAUGGGGAGGAUGUCGUACCUACUGAGAAAGUUGAACAAGGUACCGUCAUCUUCUCCAAGGAACAAUUCAACGCGGGGCUCCGGUUCCCUCUGCCGGCGUUGUUCAAGGAAUUCCUCCAUUUCACCCAGAUUCCACCCGUCUUCAUUCAUCCCAAUAUCGUCCGGGUGCUGAUGGGAUGCAGCAUCAUAAACAUGCUGUACAACCUCGACCUCACGGUGCUGGAGGUGUUUUUUGUCUAUUCGCUGAAGAAGGUGAAAACUGACAUCUUCAGCAUGUCCGCGCACCUGCCCUCCCUUCAAUUGGUGACGGAACUGCCAGACUCGACGAAGGGAGGGGCGAAGGGACACGUGGCGGUCCAGGGUGCAUGGGCGGGGUCAUCAGGGCGUCCGGGGAGGCCCUUCUCUCCAAACUACUCUUUAGCGAUUCCGGGUAAGUUUGCUUUGCGACUUUUGUCCGGAUUUUUACCUUGUUGUCUUUUUGUUGAUCUUUUCGGAUGGUAUUCUCAACCUUUGUUGCUGUCAAUGUAGGUCCGGAAAAAAGGGGCCACCUUGUGGACUGGGUGGAGAAGGAGUCCUUUGCCUGUCUCAGUAAGUUAUUUGAGAUAGACGCCAAGGAGAGGCACUACAAGACGCUGCUUACUGCGCAGAACCUGAUGGCGGUCGUCCGGGUGUGGUUCGGUAGGCCCAUAGGACGCCGGGUAGCUCCUCGACCCACUUCCCUUUGGCUUGUUCAAGCCUUUUCUUUAGGGCGGUGAUUAGGGUCUUGUUGGUGGCUUCUGCUUGCCCAUUACUUUGAGGAUAUCGCGGCGUGGAGUAUGAAUUCCGGAUGUUCAGUUCCGAACAGAAUUUCCUGAAGAUGAUGCUGUCAAAUUGUGGACCAUUGUCAGCUAUGAUGGUUUGGGGGAUUCCAAAACGGCAAACAAUGUUUUUCCAUACGAACUUGGUGACAUUUUUGUCUUUGAUGCUAGCAUAUGCUUCAGCUUCCACCCAUUUACUGAAAUAGUCUGUGGCAACGAGCAAAAAUUUCUUUUGGGCAGGUACAGCUGGGAGAGGUCCCACUAUGUCCAUGCCCCAUUGUGCGAAGGGCCAUGGGCCUGAGAUUGAUUUUAAUGUUGCUGAUGGCAUAUGUGGAAUGGGAGCAUACCUUUGACAUUUAUCACAUUUUUUGACAUAGGCUGCCCCAUCCUUCUUCAUUGUUGGCCAAUAAUAUCCUUGUGAAUGGGCUCGAUGUGCCAGAGAUCGUCCUCCUGAAUGAUUCCCGCAUAUUCCCUUAUGCAACUCAGUUAACACAUACUGGGCCUCUGAAUGCCCUAGGCACCGAAGGUAAGGUCCUGUGAAGGACCGCUUGUACAGGUGCCCCCCAAUCAGGGUGAAACGGGCAACUUGCACCCGGCCUUUGUGUGCCUGUUUGAGAUCUCCGGGUAGAGUGCCUGUCCGGAUAUAUUCUGCGAUGUCAUACGUCCAUUCUUGGUCGUCCGCUUGGGAUGCCUCAAUGGUACUGCAGGUGGAAAUUUCUGCGAUAGAGGGGUUGGGUUGCACAUGUAUAGGCAAUAGAAUAGCUUCUUUGAUGGGAAGGGAAGCAGCUAUUCCAGCUAAGGCGUCAGCGCGCCCAUUAUCAGUUCGCUUAAUUUUUUCUAUUGUCCAUUCAGUGAAUUGCUGCAAGGUGUCCCUUACUUUAGCUAAGUAUCGCGCCAUGCGUGCGUCUUUAGCCUCGUACUCCUUCUGGACAUGCCUUACCACGAGUUGUGAGUCACUGUAGAUCCAGAGUUUGGAGACGGAUAGAGCAAGGGCGAGGUCCAAUCCGGACAAGAUGACCUCAUAUUCUGUUUCGUUGUUAGAGGCAGAGAAUCCCAGCCGGAUGGCUUACUCCGAAUGUUCCCCAGUUGGGGAUUGUAGUAGGAGCCCAACUCCAGAGCCUGAUAAGCGUGAGGCUCCGUCAACUCGCAGAGUCCACCAUUCUUGUUUACUUGAUCCGUGGUGUUGGCUGGGUCUUCGGGAAUAUUCUAGCACGAAGUCAGCCAUUACUUGGCCUUUCAUGGACAAUCUGGGUUGGAAUUCGAUUCCAAACUCGCUCAAUUCAAUGACCCAUUGUAGCAUUCUCCCAGUUAAAUCUGGCUUGUGCAGAAUGUUGCGAAGGGGCUGGUCAGUUAGUACGAUUACUGGAUGAGCUUGGAAAUAAGGGCGGAGCUUCUGAGCAGCGCUUCGAAGGGCUAAGGUUGUUAGCUCCAUUUUUGAAUAUCUGGUUUCUACGUCUGCCAAUGCCCUGCUGACGUAGUAGAUAGGUUUCUGCUCCUUGGGUGAGGGGCAGCGGAAUAGAACGGCGCCGAUUGCCCAUUCUGAUACCGCCAGAUACAUGUACAAUUUUUCCUUCGGGAUGGGGCUGCUCAAGAUGAGUGGUUGCAUAAGACAAUGCUUAAUCUUUUCGAAAGCGUUUUGGCAACUGUCCGUCCAUCCGUGUGCUCCAGCUUUUCGUAUUGCCAAGAAGAAGGGUCGCAAUUCAUCAGUGAAGCGGGCUAUAAAACGCCCUAGUGCGACGAGUUUGCCUGUGAGCCGUUGUAGCUCCUUCUUGUUCCUGGGAGGGGGUAUUUCCAUGACUGCCUUGACUUGAUCCGGACUGACUUCUAUGCCCCUUUGGCUGACCAUAAAUCCCAGAAAUUUUCCAGCACUUACGCCAAAGGCGCAUUUAGAAGGAUUUAGCUUCAUGCCAUACUUUCGUAAGAGGUGAAAAACUUCUUGUAAGUGAAGGACAUGCUGCUCUCGGGUUUUGCUUUUAACCACGAUAUCAUCAAUAUAUACCUCUACUGUGUGGCCUAUCAGAGGUUUGAAGAUCUUUGUCAUCAGUCUCUGAUAAGUGGCGCCAACGUUUUUGAGUCCGAACGGCAUGACUUUGUAGCAAUAGAGUCCGUGUGGCGUUAUGAAUGCUGUCUUUUCCUCGUCAUCCGGGGACAUGGGAAUCUGGUGAUAUCCGGAGAAGGCAUCCAAGAAAGAGAGCAUCCCUUACCCGGAAGUGGAAUCCACAAUUUGAUCUAUUCGUGGCAAGGGAAAACUGUCUUUUGGACAUGCAUUGUUGAGAUUGGUGUAAUCUACACAAACUCGCCAUUUUCCUUCUUUUUUGGGUACCACCACUACGUUUGCCAACCAAUCCGGAUAAGAUACUUCUCUGAUGAAUCCGGCUUCGAGCAAUUUGUCAAUCUCAUUCCGGAUGACUUUUUGUCUAUCCGGGUGAAAGCGCCUAGUUUUCUGCCGGACAGGUUUGGCAGUUGAAAAGACGUUAAGUCUGUGAGAUGCAAUAGAGGGAUGAAUUCCCUUCAUAUCAGAAUGUGCCCAUGCGAAGAUGUCAUGAUUCUGUCUGAGAAUGUUUUGCAUGCUCUAAGUUUCUUCGGUUGUCAUGAGGGAACUGAUGUUCGUGAGGUGAGUGUUUUCCUCCGAAAUUUGGAUUGUUUGUAAGGGAUCUGCUGCCGGGGGAUCUUUGUCCGUCGGACCCAAUAAUUGCUAUUGGUCAUGUGUAUGGCUGGGUUCAGGGGGAGAUGCAUCCUCCUCGUUGGCCCUUGCUUCUCGUGCUAUCUGAUAGCAUUGGCGAGCGGCCAGCUGGCUACCAUAUAGGUCAAUUUGCCCUUCGUUGGUGAGAAAACUCACCAUUUGAUGAUAUGUGGAGGGGAUGGCUUUCAUGUAAUGUAGCCAUGUGCGCCCCAAGAUGAUAUUGAAGGGUGAUAACUCUUGUACCACCGAGAAUUGUACGUUGAGAGUGACUGGGCCAGCUUGGACCGGCAGUACAAUGUCUCCCGAGGACGUAGUUGAUGACCCGUUAAAUCCAGAUAGGAUUCGUCCAGGGUUUUCGAGGCCUGUAAGACUGUGUCCCAUGUGGCCAACGACUGAUGUUUGCACAAGAUCGGCCGAACUGCCUGGGUCAACCAAGAUACGUCGCACAUCGAAGUCCCCAAUUUCCAGGGACAAGAUGAGGGCGUCGCGAUGUGGUUGCAGUGUCCGGGUGGGAUCUACUGGUGGGAAAAUGAUUGUCCCAUCUAUGGGGCGAGGGCCCCCCCCAGUUAGCCCAGGCCGGAUGGAAUUGAUACGUUCGCAUAUUGAUGCGGCUCGCAACAAUUUUUGCCUCUUUCACCUAGAGUCGUACUCCUCGUCAGAUGGACCUCCGUUAAUAUAGUUUAUAACGGCCUUGGGGGCGGCUGGGGCCCUGGGGGCUCCAGGAUUGUGAUGUUGAGAUGCGUCCCUUCCUUCAUUAUCUGAUCGGAGGUAUUGCUUCAAAUGCCCUGUUUUUAUGAGCCUCUUGACCAGAUACUGGAAAGCUCGGCAUGUCUCUGUUGUAUGGCCAUGAUCCUUGUGGAAGGCACAUCUCCUACUACGAUCUCUUGUGGAUGGGUCCGUUCCAAUGGGUCUAGGCCACUUGAAGUCGGACAAGCCCUGGAUUAUUGGGAGAAGUUUCUCAUACGAUAUGGAAAGGGGUGUGAGAGGCGGCCUUUCCGGGCAACUUGGCCCUUCCUGCCUCCGGUCGGAUGGCUUUGGCCGGUCCGGAGGUUUAGCAUUUCUCUCUGCGUCACCUCUAGAUGGUCGUCCGACAACCAAAACUUGUUGGGUGGCUGCACGCACGUCAUCUUCAAGCAUUGAAUAUUUGUUGGCACGCCUGAAUAAGUCAUCCAUCGUUGUGGGAGGCUUUUUUGCCAGUGAUUCGAAAAAUGGAGUGCCUAGACAGAUGCUUCGCUUGAAGAUCUGUAGGACAGCAUCCAUACUGCAAGCCUCUACUUGAAGCACGGCUUGGCCAAACCACUUCACGAAUUCCCUCAAGGAUUCGUUAUCUUGCAUUUUUAUGUUCUGCAGGGUGCUGAUAUUUUGCUUGUGUCGAGCGGGGCACAAGUAUUGUCCCACAAAAGCUUCGGACAGGUCCCUGAAAUUGCCAACAGAGUUGGGAGGUAGGCGAUGAAACCAUGAGAGGGCCUGUCCUUGUAGGCUGGCGGGAAAUACUUUGCAUAGUAGUGCAUCGUUGCCAAUAUCGAGCGUCAUGCACUGUCGAUAAUGCAUGAUGUGAUCGAAAGGAUCGUUGGUUCCAUCGUAUGUGGAAAAUUUUGGUACGAGGAAUCCCCUUGGGGGCUCGUAAUGGAUGAUAUGAGAGCAGAAGGGCGUGGAGAGCAUGUCAUCCAGCCUUCUGCUGAUGGAGCCAAUGGGUGGCUCGUUUGGGAGGUUUCCCCCAGCCUGCUGUACCGCUGGGUGCGAAUGAACGUUCCGCAUCACGGGGGUGACUAUGGGGUCACGAUGCGGGUGUACGUUCUGCACCAUGGGGGUGGUCAUGGGGUCAGGGCGUGGUGCCCAAGUUGUGGCCAUUGGUGGCCUUGAUCUUCCAGGCUCUUGUGGGCUUAGUCUUGCGCGCAUCGAAUUUGACAACUGAGGUCUUCUAUCGCAUUGCCUUUUCGUUGAAAAAUGAGUAGAGUCUGAACUUUCCUCACGGGGAGCUCGGGGCAUAGGCGUGUGUGGCUCAUGAGGCCUCACGUUGCAUGCUCCUGGGAUAGCUCCUGUUGUUCCGGGAUAUAUUGAUUCUGGUUCUUGUUGAGGCCUUGAGUUUGCUACUUGGCCCCUUGAACGCUGACGUCGAGGAGGCCCUGAUGUUGAAGCCUGGAUGCGUAACACAGCGUUUUCCUCUCUCAAUCUUUCUGUCUCCUAGAUGAGAGCUUUUAGUUGUCGUUCGCUUGCCAACUGUCUCCUUUCGAUGGUUUGACGCCAUUCAAAAUUAUCAUCCCCUCCCCUACCAGAUGAACGGCUUCGGGAAGGUGUGGCCAUCUUUGCCAGUGACUGAAUCAAAAUGAAAAAGUAGUUCCCACAGACGGCGCCAAUGUUGAUGCCUCGCGUCCCUGACGAUCCACGCAGUUGCUGAAUGGAUGGACACGCGAUCUCAACCCACAAAGGUUCUUGAUUCAGUCGUUAUACCUGCAAAAGACAUCCGGACAGGGUGUCCGGACGCACCCUUCGAUGGUUUUGUUAGUCAUGGUUAGAGAGGGAGAUAUAAAUCAGUUGGCCUUUUACUAGGUAUCAGGAGAUUACCUUCCUCUUCGUGUGAAGGUUUAUAUAUAGUGCCAGGAGUACUGUUCCUCACAUUAAUGGUGAGGAGAUAUUUUAUGUUUGUCAUGAUGACAUUCGGAGGCAGCAUGGUCAUCGCCACCCUACUGGCGUCUGUCAGAAACCGUGGUAGGUGAUGCGGCUGUCAGAGAUCGUGGGAAGUGAUCAUGUAGAAUGAUUGUGGGAAGUGACUUGUUGUCACCUCAACCCGUCCUUUCACUCUGCAGGUGAUGGGACGUGGGCCAUGGCUGGUUGUCGUGAUAGCGUGUAAGACUCGCUAUACUUUAGUCAAUGAUCCGGACAAUCAUAUCCGGAUAGCCCAUGUUGGUUAUCCGGAUGUAUUCUGGAGCGGACGCAUUGAUGGAAGACGUCCGGAUGUCUAUGUUUUGUAAGCGUCGUUUGCCCUCCCUUGAGGCAGUCCGGAUGGGAAAAGCGCGUCAUGUGUGCUUUAUAGGAAGAUCCGGAUGAGGGUGACCCGGAUGACAAUGUGUGCCACGUGUCACUGUAAGAUGCGUGCCACGUGUCACUGCAAGAUGCGUGCCACGUGUUCUCGGAGGGAGGGGUCCCUAUAGGUGGGUGGAUCCGUGAAGUAAAAGACAUGGAGAAAGAAGUUCACGAAAUUCUGUAAAGAGGAGAUCAAGAAAUCCAGAAGAGUUGUCUCGGAUGCUGUCCCAGGAAUUGUUGGUCUAGCUACAGGAUUGGAAAGGCAGUAAGUGAAAAGCUGGUUGCUGUAUCUCGUCAAAUCGGCAAAGGACAUUUCGAUGUUGUAGCCGAGAUGUUGCCUCGUCCUCCAGUUGAUGAACUGCCAAUGGAGGCGACUGUGGGCCCACAAUUGGCGUAUGAAAAGAGCUGUAGGUUUCUCAAAGAUCCACAAGUGGGAAUUAUGGGAUUGUAUGGAAUGGGGGGUGUUGGCAAAACCACCCUCUUGAAGAAAAUCAACAAUGAAUUCCUCACAACAUCCAAUGACUUUGAGGUUGUGAUUUGGGCUGUGGUGUCAAAAUCGCCCGACAUUGAAAAAAUUCAGCAACUUAUUUGGAAUAAAUUGGAAAUCCCACGUGAUAAAUGGGAAACUAGAAGCAGUAGGGAGGAGAAGGCUGCAGAAAUAUUGAGAGUUCUAAAAAGAAAAAGGUUCAUCUUGUUGUUGGAUGACAUUUGGGAGGGACUUGAUCUCCUAGAAAUGGGGGUCCUGCGUCCAGAUACUGAAAAUAAGUCCAAGAUAGUUUUGACGACCCGAUCACAGGAUGUCUGCCACAAAAUGAAAGCUCAGAAGAGUAUAGAAGUGGAAUGUUUGGAGUUAGAAGAUGCCUGGACUUUGUUCCGGAAGGAGGUAGGAGAAGAGAUAUUAAAUUCUCAUCCGGAUAUACCGAUGCUUGCAAAGGUUGUUGCUGAAGAGUGCAGAGGUUUACCUCUCGCUCUUGUCACUCUUGGGCGGGCCAUGGCAGCUGAGAAAGAUCCCUCAAACUGGGACAAGGUAAUACAAGAUCUACGCAAAUCUCCAGCUGAAAUCACAGGUAUGGAAGAUAAAUUGUUUCAUCGAUUGAAACUCAGUUAUGAUAGGUUGCCUGACAAUGCUAGCAAAUCUUGUUUUAUAUAUCAUUCCAUGUUCCGAGAGGACUGGGAGAUUUAUAAUUUUCAACUUAUAGAACUUUGGAUAGGGGGGGGGGGGGGGGGGGGUUCUGGGGGAAAAUUCUGGAUUUAAUUGAACCCCCCCUCCUGGGGAAAAAAAUUUUUAAAAUUUUAAAACUUGCUGGUUUUUUAAAAAGUCUGGGUUCAAAAAAAAAAAGGGUAAAAAANNNNNNNNNNNNNNNNNNNNNNNNNNNNNNNNNNNNNNNNNNNNNNNNNNNNNNNNNNNNNNNNNNNNNNNNNNNNNNNNNNNNNNNNNNNNNNNNNNNNUUAUAAUUUUCAAUUUAUAGAAUUUUGGAUAGGGGGGGGGGGGGGGGGGGUUCAUGGGUGAAGUUCAUGACUUACAUGAAGCACGCAAUCAAGGGAAGAAAAUUAUUAAAACUUUAAAACAUGCAUGUUUAUUAGAGAGCUGUGGUUCGAGAGAAAAUAGGGUUAAGAUACAUGAUGUGCUCCGCGACAUGGCUUUAUUGUUAUAUGGUGAACAUGGGGUGAAAAAGAACAAAAUUCUAGUAUACAAUAAGGUUACUAGGCUUGAUGAAGAUCAAGAAACUUCCAAAUUGAAAGAAACAGAGAAGAUAUCAUUAUGGGAUAUGGACGUUGGGAAGUUCCCAGAAACAUUGGUGUGCCCCAAUCUUAAGACUUUAUUUGUGAAAAAAUGUCAUAAUUUGAAGAAAUUUCCAAGUGGAUUCUUUCAAUUCAUGCUUCUACUAAGAGUUUUGGAUUUGUCAGACAAUGAUAAUUUAAGCGAGUUGCCUACUGGGAUUGGUAAAUUGGGUGCCUUGAGAUAUCUUAGUCUGUCACACACAAGAAUAAGGGAGUUGCCCAUUGAACUAAAGAAUUUGAAAAAUCUGAUGAUUUUGCUUAUGGAUGAUAUGAAAUCCCUUGAAAUUAUUCCACAAGAUGUGAUAUCAAGCCUUAUAUCCUUGAAGUUGUUCUCCAUUUACGAAUCCAAUAUUUCAAGUGGAGUUGACGAAACUGUACUGGAGGAGUUGGAGUCCUUGAAUGACAUCAGUGAGAUAUCAACCACCAUAUCCAAUGCUCUUUCAUUCAACAAACUAAAGAGUAGUCACAAAUUACAAAGGUGCAUUAGUUAUCUACAUUUACAUAAAUGGGGGGAUGUGAUCUCACUUGAGCUAUCAUCUUCAUUUUUUAAAAGAGUGGAGCAUUUGCGGGGGCUUCAUAUAAGCCAUUGCAAUAAAUUGGAAGACGUGAAAAUUAAUGUGGAAAGAGAAGGCACACACAAUGAUAUGACUCUUCCAAACAAAAUUGCAGCAAGGGAGGAAUACUUCCACACCCUUCGUAAUGUGCUUAUAGAACAUUGUUCAAAAUUGUUAGACUUAACAUGGCUUGUUUAUGCUCCAUAUCUUGAAAAACUUCACGUUGAAGAUUGUGAAUCGAUAGAAGAAGUGAUAUGUGAUGAUAGUGAAGUCUGUGAAAUGAAGGAAAAAUUGAACAUAUUCUCAAGGCUCAAAUACCUCACGCUCAAUAGGCUGCCAAGAUUGAAGAGCAUCUAUCAGCAUCCGCUACUCUUUCCCUCUCUUGAAACCAUCAAGGUGUGUGAAUGCAAAAGCUUAAGGAGCCUCUCGUUUGAUUCCAACACUUCAAAUAAUAGUCUGAAGAAAAUUAAAGGAGAGACAAGUUGGUGGAAUCAGUUGAAGUGGAACGAUGAAACUAUCAAACACUCUUUUACUCCCUAUUUCCAAAUCCACGAAGCUGAAGCAUAUUUAACGGACUCUGAGGAGUCUGAAACUGGCAGCAUAGAUGAUAUUCAGGAAUGACCGAUAUCAAAUUAAUUUCUAUCAAUCUUUCAGGUAUUUAUUAACUUUUAUACUAUAUUUGGAAAAUCAUUUUCUUUCCUUAAUCCCAUUCUUUUGUGGAAAUUUUUACUCUAUCUAAGCCAAAGUGCAUCAAGUCUCAACAUCAUAAUAACUCAGUGUUUGAUCUAUCAAGUUUGCCCCUUUUGAAGUAACCGUAAUAAAAUUUGCCCAGAAGGGAGUUUGAAGGAGGUCUUUUAUUUAAACAUCUAAUGACAUUUCCGUUUGGUUACUUGAAAAGUUAAAAACAUGCAGAGUUCCCAACUAUUUUAUUUAUCUUGUCUUAAUUUUUUCAAUUCAUUUCAAUCUAUAAACAGAAAGAGAAUUCCUAAUUUCAACUUAAUUCCUUAUAUUUCAAGUUGAAACAACAGCUGUUUCACAACAACUGUAGGUAAAGAUAUUCCAUUAAGAAUUCUCGCUUUGUUUAAUGUAUUUACCAGGACCAACUAUAUGUAAUUUCCCUUCUUUUGUUCAGUUGCCUCUAUCUGGUUGACUCUCAGUUGUUUUUUUUAUUUUCUUUUCUUUUCUUUUUUCUACUGCAUUCAGAGUUGGGGCUUGUUCUAGAAGUUCUGACAACAGCUGAGAUUCAAUUAGCUCUAUGUAGUGGGGCCUUGAGUUUUUUGGUUGGAUGCAGAGUAGGGUCUUGUUCUACCCGUUCUUACUCAGUUGGGAUCUGAGCUUCUUCGGCUGCUUCCGUUUCGUCCUGCUCUGAGCUGGAUUAUGUUUGCUUGCUGGUCUGAGUUUCUGAUAUGUUUUGUGGCGGUGUGCUGAUUCUCAGAGUAUCGUUAUUCAUGGUGCUCAGUCUGUUGGGAAAGUUGGUUAAUGUCCAGAUGCAGGGGCUCAUCUCGGCAGGCUUUGGUUGGGAUCCAUGUGUUUGCUGGAAUUGGAUUCUGUGGGUUGCCUUUGGCUUUUGAUGUAGGCUGGGUUUGUUUUCUUUGUUGAGGCCGGUGGAGUAUGGUGGCUCAGAAGCUGCUAGUAAUCUGUCUGUUGUAUGCUGAGGCUGGAAUCUUCAUGGUGGUUGCUCUGGUGGGUCAAUAUGAUAUGGGAAUGCUUUUGCCUUUUUCAGUCCUUGGGCGUCAGCUGGUUGCUUGUGUUUCCUCUGCGCUUUAGUUCAUAUACCAGAGUGCAUACUUCCUUGAGUUCCAUAUCCCACUGCCAAGUGUGUUGUCCAUGAUGUAAUGUAAAGCAGUUAAUUUGUAUACCUGGCCUUCAGUUCCUCUCUAGAAAACUUUGAACGCCCUUUAUGAAUGAAAUGUUGUGAGAAAAACUGGAGUUGAUUUUCACAUUUGAGGUCGUUAAUGGUGAUUUUCCUUAAUGUAAUUGUGAUCGAAAAGAAAUUUGAUCAAGGAGUC
rnacentral:lncRNA from 1 species